GCAAGUGUUGGUUUGGAAGUACUCGCCAUACUUCCAUUGGCUUUUAAAUUAAGCAUGGUGCUUAGGUUAAGCAGCCUUCCUUAAUCUGAUUAGACAUGGAGUCUAGUUCGGUUAUUGAACUAAAAACUGCUUGUGUAGACAUUGGUAUAUUUUUGUCGAACUAACCCCUGCAGAAAAACUUUCAAUAUCGAUUUGGGAAGUCUUGAGAUAAACUCACAUCAGAGACGAAGAGAGUGACACAUGAAGUUUAACAAUUUGCACAAGAAGGACAUAGCUCAUUCGUCAUAGAGAGAUGAUCUAUGGAGGGUGCCACAAACACGAUGCACAACCGCUAAGAAAGGAAAGCUUCCACAAGGUGACACUGUACCAUCACUCUUCAAGCAAGGUAACAUCUUAAGGUACUUGACUAUCACUUUUAUAAGCUUCUCCUUGGUUCUGGCGUUCAUAUAAAUAAAAGAGACAAACAUGUAUGAUUUACAACUCUAGAUUAACCAACCCAACUGAUUCAGCAUGUUUAGUCCUUUAAUCCUUGUUCUUAGUACUACCUCUAUGAUCCCACACUCCUAAUCAUAUGAGCUAAAAUGUUACACACUCAAUCUUUGAGAGAUAUAAAGAAAAAGACAUAUACAUAGAUAGAUUAUCUUUCCAUAAGGUUGAGCGAUCUGAUCUGACAAAUGUUAUAAGUGCUACACUCAUGAACUUUUCAUCCAUCAACUUUGUCUUGCUCACUAUGCUUAGGGUUAGAGAAGAACAAAUACACUUUUGGUUCUGUUGGUAUUUUCCACCAACAGGGCCCAUGCACUUGAUCUCUGCCUUGUCUCUAUGAGUAGGUACACUUUGAGCAAAACAUGGAGGAGUUUUAUAACUCUCAGACUCUACCAAGUGAAGGACCUGGAUCUACGAGCACAAACACACUGAGCAGGUUACUGCCAACGCCGCACUUCGAACUACUGGGCAAACGAAGAACAUGGGUGACACCGUAUUAAGAGGUGCAGACGUCAAGGUCCACACCUGAAUCAAAUGACGCACCUGAAGAAUGAAGACAGUGAGAAGUCUUGUUCAGAAGACUUAAAACAUUGAAUCCUCGCCGAAAGGUAAGAUCGGUAGUUAUCCAUAUUUAUCCUUUCUGCAUUCCCGUUUCCCUUUAAUUAUUUACUUUCCUUAAAUAGAUUAUUAGUUAAUCAUGCUAUCUUGAAAAGAAAAUAAAAAUGUUAAAAAAUACUAAGCCCCAUGUGAGUAUACGAGUGGCAUAAAACCCAUAAGUACCUUCACUGUGGUGGUAUAAAAAUAAAAUAAAUAUUUCUUUUCUACUUUAUAAAAUAAAAAUAUAAAACAGGGAGUAAUAUUUAUUGAGGAAUCUCAAUAUGAUGAAGGCUAGAUAUUUAUGCUAACACUUAAUUAGUUCCACAAGCUUUAUUGUCUAUUUGAGCUCCACAGAAUUUAAGAAUCAAGAAGACUAGCAGACGGAGGACAUUCUAAUCGCUGUCAGAAUGCUGCUGACUUUCAAAUACACCUCUGCCACCUGCUAGCACAUCAAGAGAAAUUACGUCAAAAUCUAGCUUGGGGGAGAGCACCCCCAUUUAUCUCGCUAAGUAUUUCUACCUAUCUUUAUACUAAUAUUAUAUUAGAAUAUUAAAUUACAUAAACUAUGAAAAACCAAAUAAAGAUUUUGUGCUUAUAUAUAUAUCUUUUGCUUAGUGUGUUUAAUAAAUAAAGUGGCUAUGCUAAUCUGAAUCUUAAUAAUAAAACUCUAGCAUGGAUAUGAUGAAUAGUUGCUCUGCCUAAUUUGCAAAUUUGAAGUUCUCUCUCAAGUUUAGACAUAACUGUUAUAAUUUAAAGCUUGCUCUAGAUCUAAACUUGUGGGAUGAAAACUUGAUCUGAAAUCUAAGUUGUUAACGGAUAUGAUAUGGGAAGGUUGAGCUGCUGUUUAUCUGUUCCUAGAGAUGCUAGAAUUCUGGAGAAUUUUAUCUUUGAAAAAUCUUUAAAAUAUUACAUGAUGAGUUCCUGUAUGAUGAGAGUUUAAAUUCCUACCACAACCAUAUAUAUACAUGCUUGCUAGACUUUGAGCCACACAUUUAUUAUUUACUGCUUAUGAGCAUUGAGUGUGGUCAAGCUAUGUAGACCCUUAGGAGCUUAUCAUGUGGUUAAAUCAAGAUUCACUUGCACGUUCACUCAUAUAUGCUACUUCUACUCCGGAAGUACCAUCCACAUAUAUCCAUCCAUGUCCACCUCCGGAACCACCCAAAAAUAUUCUACUCCUAAUUCGGGAGAGAAUAGCCAAAAAUAUUUCUAUUUUCCCUUGUGAAAUAAAUGCUCAAGUUAUCUUGCUACUACCACUUGCUAUAUUAUCUCAAGAGAUGAGUGCUCUGAAAAAAAAAGAAAAAAAAUAAUAAACGAGGAAAUAAAAAGGGGCAAGUGCCCGGAACCUCGAAAGAAAAAAAAGAGUGAGACGAGAGGUAAAAAUGGACAAGUGUCCGACAGUAGAAUUAGGGGUACAGGAUACCCACCUGAGAGGAAAGAAAAAUGAAAGAUAGAGCAUCUCAUUCUCCUCAUAAAGUUUCAAAAAGCAAGGAAGGUAUGUAUCCCCUCAAAAGAGCAAAAGUAGAAUUAGACUUCCACCAUUGUUAUCACCAUCAUCAGCAUACACCAUUCAUUCGCCACACAUGCACAUCUUGAUUUGACUUAUUGACUUGUUUCUCUGGAUCCAUGGUUUGACUAUGCAAUAAAUGUCUUGUAAGUAUGUAUUAGUUGUCUCCCACCUAUGAGCUCCAGAUAUUAAAGCCUUAUUAGAGUAGGGUGAGAGAGAAGGCAAUGUCACUAUGCCUUAUACCACAAAUACCACAUAUCUUGAGAGAAGGCAUAUACCAUCACUGCCUUGGUAAGGAUCCAGAAAUACCACAAAAGAGAGAUUUGGAGAGUCAUACAAGGAAUCUCUGAGUUUUAUUUGAAAAUCUGCAAAAACUCCAGAGCUAUAGCUGAUCAAGAAUAAGAGACAUGGCACUUGGCUAGACUGUUCUAUCUUUUAACUACUCAAGACAGAAGUGACGGUUACAAGUCCCAUGGUGAAAGGUAAAGUAAGUAAGUUUUAGUUCUUGACAGUUUACUCUAACUCAGAGAUGAGAUCUUAUUUAAAAGCAUGUGUACCGUCAAAUUUUUAAGAUAUUGCAACAACUUCUGAUCCAUUGCUGAGUCUAUCCUUGCUCAGGGACGAGCAAGAGGUAAGCUUGGGGGAGUUUGUUGACGGUCCUUAAGUAUCAAAUUUAAUUAUCAAAUAAACAAAGAAAAGGAUCUAAAUGAAAUCAACAUCUAGACUUAGGGUUUUAUCUGACAGAAUUCCACGAGUUUUGGUGUUUGUCUAUUUCUGCAGGGGGUUAUCAGGAAAUACGGAAGAAAGGCCCACACAUCGGGAUUACAUAGAGAUAUCAACGUGCCGCGCAAUUAUUUUACAUCUAGAAGACUCCAGAAGCCACGGGAAGGAAGCGGAGGCCGAACGGAGCCAGGACCUGGGCGCCCGCCCUGCUACAGUGGCCAAUCACGUUCAACCUCGCGGAUUAUGCUCCACCGACCUAAAGGAUCAAGAAUAACCGUUCAAUCAAUGUCGGUUUGAUCCGACGACCCAGGUUCACUUGAGGGGACUAUAUAACCAGACCCCCUGGCCCCUGGAGGAGGCACCCCUUGAUCAUUAUUCAUUAUUCAUAGACAGAGCAAAAGCUAGGGUUUAGAGAUGAGAGCUCUCCUCUCUUCUCUAAACUAGAGUAGAUCUAGAUAGUAGUAAGAUGGAGAGAGAAGGAGGAUUAGAGGAGAGGUCGGCCUGUCUGUUCUUCCUCCGGUUGUACUUCAUCAUGAUUAAGCUCUAAUCAAGCUUGCUCACGGGAUGACUCUGGUAAUCUAUUUCUAAUUCAUUAUGCAAUUACUAAUUUUGUAUGUUCUGGUUCACAACUAUUUUGAGUACUUCUAAUCUAUAGGACCCUAUAGGUUAGAGUUGUAGUAUAGGUGUAAGCGUGGUGCUUAGACCUAGAUUACUUGUGGAUAUCCUCUGUCUAGCUGGAUCGUGUGGUAGGCCGCGUAGGUGACAGUUACGUUGGUCCUCUGUAGUCCACCUCUCGUUAGCAGGACGGGUAGGGUUUAUCGGCCUAUGGAUAAGCAUCCUUUGUGGUGUAAACUUAUCACGUGGUUCAUCCCAGACAUAGACAUACCCCUUUGAAGUAGAGAAACCAUAGUUAUUCUCUCUAUUCUGCUACCAUCGCCCAUAUACUAGAUUGCUCUACUCUCUAUUCCCAUAUUAUCACUCACUGUUAUCUUACCUUUAAUAUUGUUCUUAUUCGAUUCUACCGUCUUUCCUAUUUACAUUUACUUAUCUAUCUAGGAUUAAGUUAGAGCAUAGUUGGUUCUCCCGUUUCCCUAUGGAUACGAUAAAACCUUUAACCGGGUAAAAGCUUCAACGGUAUCCGUGCGCUUGCGGAUUAUCUGUGUGCGUAUAAAUACCAUAAUACACUCUAGUGCCAUGCUGGGGAUGACAACCUAGUAUUCAAGUGGUGUUAGUAAGUGUCAACAAUCGGCUUCUUAUUCUUCACCCAUUCUGCCAAGCCGAUGACUGGCUCUUCAUCCGAAUCUGAGCUCGCUCCCUCAUCAACAAAUGAUACCUUUUUGCUCCAAGCUCUCUUGGGUUCAAAGGGUUUGAUAUCCUGGUCGGAAAUCCUCUGUACCAGGUGACUUAAGCUCUCGAACUCUUGAGAAGCAUACUUGUCUCUGAUAUGUGGCAACAAACCCUGGAAAGCCAAAUCGGCUAGCUGCCGAUCGUCCAGAACCAGACUAUAACACUUGUUCUUAACUUCUCGCAAUCUCUACACAAAGCUUUCAACUGAUUCAUCAUUGCGUUGCUUCAACCUGACUAAAUCGGUAAUUUUCUUCUCAUGAACUCUAGAGAAGAAGUACUUGUGGAAUUGCUUCUCCAGAUCGGCCCACGUAAUCACUGAGUUGGGAGGUAAUGAUAUAAACCAAGUGAACGCCGAUCCAGACAAUGAUGACAAGAAUAAAUGAACCCUCAAUUCGUCUCUGUUAGCAGCCUCGCCACAUUGGAUGAUGAACCUGUUGACAUGCUCCAUAGUUGACGUAUCAUCCUGUCCAGAAAACUUAGUAAAAUCGGGUACCUUGUACCGAUUUGGAAGUGGAAUGAAAUCAUAUGCAGGAGGAUACGGUGUCCGAUAAGAGUAGGUGUUGACUUUGGGUUUUAUCCCAAAUUGGUUCAUCACUUCUGCUAUCUUAUCGGCCCAAUAAGCAUCGUCAUCUUGCCGAUGAGGCGGCUGUAGAUCUGGCACCUGCUGAUAUACUUCCACGUGUCUCUGGGGUGCACGAUCUGCAUGGAACAUGGGGUUGAUCAUUUGACCACCAAUCUGCUGACCGAGGUUCAUCAGUUGGUUGGCCAACCCUUGAUUCUGAAACCCAGGUUGGACUUGGCCUUUUUGAAACCCUAGAGUCUGAUGAUUCUGCUGAGACAUUUGUGGAAAGACCAGCUGUCCUGACCAUCCACUGUUAGGAUUCAUCGGCAUGGACCCUGCCGAUGGCUGGAAAUUGGGCAUCAUCAUUGAAUUGACGUACCCUGGUUGUGUCAUGAACCUCUGCUGCGUCGGCAUCGAGCCUGCCGAUGCGUUAGGCAUCUGGAACGUUGGUGCUUGAGAAUUCCUAGUGUAAGGUCUUGCAGUAGUAGUCGUAGUAUACUGGGGACUCUGAUUCAUCGGCAGAUUUGGAAGUGCCGAUGUCAUAGGAGCCUGUUGACGAUUCUUAAGUAUCAAUUUUAAUUAUCAAAUAAACAAGAGAAAGGACCAAUAUGCAACCAACACCUAGAAUUAGGGUUUGAUGUGACAGAAUUCCACGAGUUUUGUUGUUUAUCUGUUUGUGCAGGGGGUUAUCAGGAAUAAGGAAGAAAGGCCCACAUGUCGGUAUUACAUAGAGAUAUCAAUGCACCGCGCAAUUUUCUACCAUCUAGAAGACUCCAGAAGCCAUGGGAAGAAAGCAGAGGCCGAAAGGGGCCAGGCCCAGGGCGCCCGCCCUGUGGACCUGGGCACCCGCCCCCUCCUGUACUCCGUUCGGGACUCUCUUCGCACACGAUAUUCCACUGACCUAAUGGAUCAAGGAUAACGUAGUACCACAUCGCCUACCGACCCAAAAAUGCAUAGAGGAGGAGGACUAUAUAAGGAGACCCCCCUGUCCCCUGAAGGAGACAAAAAGUUAUCAUAGAGAUUGAGGGGUGCCCUCAAAGGAAAACCUCUUCUCUAAAUAAUAUUUCUUUUUAGGCUUAGCAACCAAUGUAAAGUAGAAAUAGAUCUUCUAGUUUCUACUAGAUUGAGAGAGAUAGAGUGGAGGUGUAGAUUGGAGGAAGCCUGGCCUGUCGGUCUCUACUCCAAGCUUGUAUCUGCGGGAUCAAGUUCUCCUAACCCGAAGCUUGCUCCUAGGAUUCUUCAGUAUUUCGACUUCUAAAUUCUAGUAAGUUCUUGUUUUAUUGUUCUUUUGGUUUAUGAGUUUACUUUAAUCUCUUCGCGUAGAGUUUAGAGUAAUCAUUGCUGGCGUAAACGUGGUGUUUAGGCUGGGGUACUCAUAGAUAUUCCCUGACUAACUAGACCGUGGUAGUAGUGAGGAACGUGACAUUUCCGAGUUACCUUUGCAGACCAUAUCUCGUUAGCAGGAAGGAUAGGGUUUAUAGGUGCGGGUUGAACAUCAUUUGUGGUGUCUCGAUUCCGUUAGCCUCCCCAAUUGAACAGUAGAUCAUCCUUACCAAGGUUAGAAGGAGAUUACGGUUGUAGUCUUCUCUAUUUAUCACUCACAUCGAGAGACAUUCUUUGUUGCCUAAAGGGUUAGUAGUAAUAGACCGGUUAGUCAGAUGCACUCUUUCUCCUAGUGGUAAAAAAAUAAAUACGAUACUCUGGAUAACCUCCCGGGUGAAGUGCUCACCGAUAUCCGUGCGCUUGCGGAUCAAUUCCUUAUUGCGUUCCCAAAUAUCAACAAGCAUUUCUGGCGCCGUUGCCGGGGAGAAAGACGGUUUGCUGAGAUAACCUUGAGUCUUACUACUAGCUUGUAUCUAUACAUUUAUCUUUUUUUUAUCUUUUAUAUUCUUUAUUUAUUUUCUUUACUCUUACCUUAUUGAAAACCAAAAUUCUAAAUCGAUCCAUGAGUCUGCAAUCCCUUCAGUAACUCACCUUUUACCAUGGGAGUCAUCACAGCCUAUCCAAACAUCCCAGUAUAAGUUAAGUUCUAGGUUGAUUGUCAUGAUUCAAAACCUAUCUUUUUUGGGAAAGGAAGACAAAAACCCUUACCUUCAUAUUAGAGAUUUUGAGCAAACAUGUGAUUGUCUUCGCAUUGAAGGCAUUUCGGAUAAAACUUUAUGUUGGAAGCUGUUUCCUUUUUCUUUAAGGGGAGAAGCUAGACAAUGGUACAGUCAGAAGGUAAGUCAACAACGAGGUGAAUGGGGACUUUUACGAGCCAACUUUUGUCCAGAUUUCUAUUCCCUCGACCGUAGAGCCGACCUUAGACUCGAAGUCCUAUCUUUUAAACAAAAAGAUAAUGAAACUUUGGGAAAAUCCAGGAAACGUUUUUCUGAUCUUUUAGAAUCUGGUCCAAACCUUAAUCUUGAAGACCCUGUUCUUUUAUUUCACUUUUUUCGAGGUCUUCAGAAAAAUCACAAACAAAUGCUACACACAAUGUCUAGAGGUUCUUUCUUUCGCAUCCCUACUGAUGAAGCUAGAGUGAUCCUAGAUAGAAUCCUAGAAGCUGAGAUGGAUAAUACCCUUCAUGAUGAAACCUACAAAGCCGAAGUAGACACUCUGCCAAAUUCUUCAUCUACUUUAGCUAUCCCAAGUUCUGAGCCAAAAGAGGAAGAAAUUCCACCACCGGACUUCAUGCUGGAUAUAGAAUCCGAUCUUUUUGCCGACUUUGGAAACAUUUCAAACUACCAUUCUAUUGACAAACCCCAAAAUGGCCAGUUUAGCAUUUAUUUGCCAAGUGAAUAUCAAUUGAGAGAGCUUAUCUUAGUCAUGAGUAGCGAAUGGUUGGAGGAAUCAGAGCUUUCCUCUGAUGUGAUCCGUUUGGACACACCCUCUAUAACUAUACGCUGUGCUUAUAAUUCUGAUCGAUUUAGUGCUCUUUAUAAUCCUGUUGUGGGGAUCAACAUCAUGUCUGAAUCUUUUGCACUUAAACUAUUUAAAAAUCUUGCCUUAACCCCCACAACAAAGGUCAUAAAGGAAUCUUCGGGACGAUUAGUCCCCAGUCUUGGAAUUAUUAAUGUCCUACCUCUUACGGUAGAAGGCUCCAUGGUUCAUUUGAACUUCUAUAUCUUUGAUACAUGGGACUUCGACCUGUUGAUAGGACAACCUUUUAGAAGACUCCUUUAUGAAGGUCAUACUGGAAAGCUACACAUUUCUUUUGGAAAAGCCUUUAAAUUCCCAAUAACAAUUUCACACUCUUUAAAUAAUAAGGCUGAGUCAUAUCUUUUGCCUGAUCCUAUAGAGGAGGUAAAGGCUACAUCUCUUGAACUUUUAGAAGAAUCAGACUUAGAAGACGAAACUCCUUUCUUCAUAGAAGAAGAAGCCGAACCCUCUGAACCUGAACCCUUUGAUGAGUUUGCAGAAACACCUAGACCCCCCAUAGAGCUUAAAACUUUACCACCCGGUCUUAUCUAUGCUUUCCUAAACAAUAAUCCAGAGUUUCCUGUGAUCAUUAGUGAUAAACUCACUCAGGAGCAAACUCUGCGAUUAAUGACCAUUCUUGAGAAACAUCACUCAGUUUUCGGCUACUCACUCCAAGAUCUUACAGGAAUUAGUCUUAUGAUUUGUACCCAUUGUAUUCCGACAGAUCCUUCUGUUUCACCUUAUCGAGAGCCCCAACGUAGACUAAACAACGUGAUGAGAGAGGUAGUCAAAAAGGAAGUUAUAAAGUUGCUGUAUAUAGGGAUUAUAUAUCCUGUGCCGCACAGUGAGUGGGUGAGCCCAGUUCAAGUUGUGCCUAAAAAGGGAGGCAUGACUGUUAUUAUGAAUGAAAAGAACGAGCUAAUUCCACAACGCACCGUCACAGGAUGGCGGAUGUGCAUAGACUAUAGAAAACUAAACAAAGCCACGAGAAAGGAUCACUUUCCUUUACCUUUCAUAGAUGAGAUGCUAGAGCGGUUAGCAAACCUUUCGUUCUUCUGUUUCUUAGAUGGAUAUUCAGGGUAUCAUUAGAUCCCGAUCCAUCCUGAUGAUCAAAGCAAAACCACUUUUACAUGCCCAUAUGGAACUUAUGCUUACCGUAGAAUGUCUUUUGGGUUAUGUAAUGCACCAGCUUCUUUUCAAAGAUGCAUGAUGUCUAUAUUUUCUGAUAUGAUUGAAGAGAUUAUGGAAGUUUUCAUAGAUGAUUUCUCUGUUUAUGGAAAAACUUUUGAUAGUUGUCUUGAAAACUUAGACAAGGUUUUGCAAAGGUGUGAAGAAAAGCACUUAGUCCUUAAUUGGGAAAAAUGUCAUUUCAUGGUUAGGGAAGGAAUAGUGCUGGGACACUUAGUGUCUGAAAGAGGUAUUGAUGUAGAUAAAGCUAAAAUUGAAGUAAUUGAACAACUACCUCCACCUGUGAACAUAAAAGGAAUUCAACGCUUUCUUGGCCAUGCUGGUUUCUAUUGUAGAUUCAUAAAAGAUUUUUCAUUUAUUGCUAGAUCACUUACUCUUUUGCUAGCCAAGUAUGCUCCUUUCGAAUUUGAUGAUGCAUGUCUAACAUCUUUCAAUUUAUUAAAGAAAGCACUCAUCUCUGCACCAAUCAUUCAACCCCCUGAUUGGUCGUUGCCUUUUGAAAUUAUGUGUGAUGCUAGUGAUUAUGCUGUGGGGGCAGUUUUGGGACAAACUAAAAAUAAGAAGCAUCAUGCAAUUGCUUAUGCCAGUAAAACUUUGACAGGAGCUCAACUUAAUUAUGCAACCACUGAAAAGAGCUUCUGGCUGUUGUCUUUGCCAUUGAUAAAUUUAGAUCUUAUUUAGUUGGAGCUAAAAUAAUUGUUUACACUGACCAUGCUGCACUAAAAUAUUUGCUCACUAAAAAAGAUGCUAAACCUCGCCUGAUUAGAUGGAUCUUAUUACUCCAAGAAUUUGACUUAGAAAUAAAAGAUAAAAAGGGAGUAGAAAUGAUGAGGACAUCACUCCUUCGGAUGCACACGAUGAUCCUACGCUGGAUUUUCAAGGUCCAAUCACAACAGCUCGCGCGCGACAACUAAAUUUACACGUGAGCUCGUUUCUAAGCAAGUCUUUAUAUGAUUUUGAGAAUAGAUUGCUACCUAAUGAUUAUAUUGUGCUUAGGAAUCAUGGAGAGGACCAGGGGAUGCAUAAGGGAGGGCUUGGAGGCGUGGAGGACCAGCAAGGGCGCCCAAGUCAAGGUGGAGGCCCAAACCAAGUCGACUUCGAGCCUGUUUCAGAGUCCAGGACCAGCGAGGAGUAAAACGGACGCCCAGGACGCAUCCGGACUCCGUUUUCGACGAUCCACCCAUGGUUGGAAAGAUAAUUUCAUAAGGAAACCAAUGGCAUUGGUUUGAGGUCCAAAUUCCUUCUGAGUCAUCAGGAAACGUCAAAACAAGUCAGCGUCCAGAAUCUGUUCCAGUGCUGCGUCACCGUUUUUGGUCUGUUGGGCCGUGUAUCGUCGUUGAGCCCAUUAGGGGGGCGCGUCCAGGGGUGGCGACGACCCUUAGACCUCUAUAACCAGCCGCCGCCACUCUCGUUAGGUUUUGUGUUUUGCUUAGAUUAUUCUGCCAAGAACUGUUUCGCCGCCGCGUCGGUUUGUGAGACCCCAACUCGUGAGAUUAAUCAUUCAUCUGCAAUUUGGUUGCAUUCUUUCUUGUUCUUGCUUGUGUUCUUCAUUUUGCAGGCAAAGGACUCAGCCUUCUUGGCGAGGUCGACCGUGCAUCAACGGUCGAUAACCAGAGGAGACGUGGUGCUGCUAUUGCGGGGUUUCAGGACCGAGUUGUUCGGAAGCCGGAUCGAAUUGUGUCGCGACUCCACCAAAUCGAGAGUUAUCAGAACCUUUCGGAAGAUCAGGAACCCUAGUUCACAUCAAGAAAAUUCUGUUGCUGAUCACUUGUCUAGAAUUUAUUUUAAGAAUCCACAGGAAACUUCCAUCAAUGAUUCACUCCGGGAUGACAUGCUCUACGGGAUUAACAGGUCUGACCCCUGGUAUGCAGAUAUUGUUAAUUUUAUGGUUUCAGAGUAUGUACCACCAGGAGCAAACAAGAAGAAGCUUAUUCAAGAAAGUCGUUCACAUAUAUGGGAUGAGCCAUACCUCUUCCGAGUAUGCUCUGAUGGCUUACUCAGGAGAUGUGUGACCACUGAGGAAGGAUAGAAGAUCAUCGACAGAUGUCAUUCAUCACCAUAUGGAGGUCACUAUGGAGCAUUCCGUACACAUUCAAAGAUCUGGCAGUGUGGAUUCUACUGGCCUACAAUGUAUGAAGACACGAAGCAAUAUAUCAGAAGAUGUAGGCCAUGUCAGAGGCACGGAAACAUAAACACAAGGGAUGCCAUGCCACUCACCAACAACCUACAGAUUGAGCUCUUUGAUGUCUGGGGAAUAGAUUGCAUGGGUCCAUUUCCCCCAUCAAAGAAGUGUGAGUUCAUCUUGGUGGUAGUUGACUACGUCUCCAAGUGGGUAGAGGCUCUACCUUGCAAACAUGCCGACAACAUCAGCUCAAAGAGGAUGUUUGAAGAAGUUAUAUUUCCAAGAUUUGGAGUUCCCAGAGUAGUGAUAAGUGAUGGAGGAGCACACUUCAUUGACAAACACUUCAAGCAAUAUCUAGCAAAACAUGGAAUCCGUCACAACGUCGCUACCCCUUACCAUCCUCAGACAAGUGGCCAAGCAGAGACUUCCAACAAGCAAAACAAGAAUAUUCUACAGAAGACAGUUAAUGAGAUGGGAACGGCAUGGAAAGACAAGUUACCCGAUGCACUCUGGGCAUACCGGACAGCAUACAAGACCCCAAUUGGAAUGUCCCCAUACCAAUUGGUGUACGGGAAGACUUGCCACCUACCUGUUGAACUAGAAUUCAAAGCACAUUGGGCCAUAAGGAGAUGGAAUAUGAACCUAGAUGUCGCUGGAGAUCAUAGAAGAAUGCAAUUAACAGAAUUGGAAGAAUGGCGAGAGAAAGCAUACCACAAUUCGAAGAUCUACAAAGAAAGAGUCAAAAGGUGGCAUGACAAGAGGAUCAAGAAGAAGGAGUUCGCACCCGGAGAUAAGGUAUUACUUUUUAAUUCUAGGGUGAAGCUUUUCGGGCAUGGAAAACUCCGGAGUAAAUGGGAAGGACCAUUCAAGGUAAUCAAUUCAUCAUCCCACGGAGCUAUCACACUUCAAACUGACGAAGGUAUGUUAUUCAAGGUAAAUGGUCAUCUUAAAUUAUUUUUAGAGCCCAAUAAAGAAUUAGAAGAAAUAGACGUAAUCUAUUUCUACCUUCCCAUGGAGAAUUAGAGCCCAACCUUUUUAACCUGACGUUUUUGGGCCACAUAUAUAUUUUUCGAAUAAAGUCUGUAUCUAGAAGCACGCUCGAGGAAGCGGGCCCACAGAGGGGCCAGGCACAGGGCGGGCGCCCUGAUGAAGACGGCGGGCGCCCAGCCCCUGUUCCCUCUCAGUACCAAUUUCCUCCGUCGUGAUAAACACAUUUUUGGUAAACUAAAUAAUCAUACAGAUGGAAAGUUUCGCACGCACGGCAGCGAGAGUAGCCCGAGCAAACCCUAGAGGCACUUUUUGACCCCUAUAUAAACAGACCCCUGACGUCAGUUUUUAAACACCAAUCUAUUCAAGCCUUCUCUUCUUCUUCUAUUAGAGCAUGCUUAGUUCCUCGCUGCUCCAAUGGCCGAAGAGUUCCACGACGAUUGGGAAGUCAUCCCCUACGACCUCAACAAAAAGCCCAAGGAAGACCCCGACGCCUACGCUCUCAUCCCGGCCAACACAGAGCGACAGCUAGAAGCCAUGCCAUUACGCCAGCACAGCUCCGCCCAAUCCUACCAUGCUCAACCAGUUCUCACCGCACCGCCACAACCCCUACUUCUCAAGGGACCAUCAGCCAAGAAAGAGGCCACCAUCAAGGUGCCAGUCGGCACAAGGAUCCUACCAUCCAGACCCAAUGAGAGGGUCGUUGGAGUCAAGACCAACCGGAGCGGCGAGAUCAGCAGCAUCCGCUACACUACGGAAGAGGAGAGGCCUUACUUUGAGAGGAUUAGAGCAGCCAAAGUCCGUUUCAUCCCUCCAAAGGCAGCCCCGAAGCACGCUCUCAAUGCUCUCGAGACACCUCCUAAGCGUCGCAAGACUAUAGUAGAUAUUGAUGAGGACGUUCGUAGGCUAGACAAGAUCAUCAUAGAGCUCCAGUCCUCGGUUAACUCUAUCACUAGGCAGGUCUCUAACCAGAACACCGUUAUACUAGGCCUUAGGCAUGAUCUUGCUAGUGCCAAUAAGAAGAUCAGGGAGUUAGAGCGCCGCUAAGUUAUCUAAAUUAGAUCUUGAGGCAAUGCAUCUUAGUUAUUUAUCUUUAAAUUCGGUUUAGAUCUAUUAUUAGCUUCAGUUCAUUUCUAGUCAUUUGUAAUAAAUGCCACAAGAUUAAUAAAGAUUAUUAUUAUUAUUAUUAUUAUUAUUAUUAUUAUUAUUAUUAUUAUUAUUAUUAUUAUUAUUAUUAUUAUUAUUAUUAUUAUUAUUAUUAUGUCUUGUGUGUCUCUACUUUAUUUUUAUACAAGAAAGCAGAAAACAACUAUGGGGGAGAUCCCUCGACAUGCCAAACACACUUCGACUACACCACUCCAUGAUUCAGGUACAUACUCUGCACACUUUACACAUACACAUAUAUCUUAGAUUAUGCAGAAUAUUGUCUCCGAUAUGAUAAAUUAAAAAGAUUAAAAUGUCUCUAAUCAUGAUUAAUCUCACUCUGUGAUAUUUCUUGAAAACUUUCAACUAUUGAAAAUUAUUUUAAAACCCUGUGUUACUUAGGUCAUUGUGUAAUGUGAGAUGGUAGAGCAUGAGUAUCUUAUUCUUGAUAUCAUUGUUGCUUGGAGAAUUUAUUCUAGCUACCAUCCUCAGUGUUUUAUAUGCCUACUAAACCUGAAAAUAUUGAUAAUUAUAAAAGCUAUCUACUCUGUAUUGACUUAGUUCAAAAUGAGUUAGACCCUUGUUGAGAGAUUUAUCAUACUCCUAAGAUCAAGAUAUUUAUUCAGAAAGAUUCACUCUUCCGAAGUAUUAUUGUAUUAGAGGCAUGGGCUAUCCAAAAAUAAGGAUAUUUUGAGGAAAUAAAAAGGAGCAAGUGCUCGACAACCUCGCAGAGAAAAAAAUGGACAAGUGUCCGGCAGUAGAAUUAGGGGUACCUCGGUAUCCACUUAAAAAAAGAAAGAGAAGAGAGAAAGAAGAAAAUGAUAGCCCAUGGUCCCUCUAAUGAACAAUAUGCCAGUAAGAGUUGACAAGUUUUUAAUUUCCAAAGUCUUUGAUCUAAGAGUAUGGCAUUCCUCUCCUCGGAUCACGUUUUGAUCAGGCAAUAAAUGCAAGGUAAGUAUGCUUGAGAAUGUCUGCAAAAUUAAAACAGCAUCAGUAAGAUAUACAAAAGAUAAAUGAGUGAUCUGAGAGAACCUAUGAGGAUAAAGGUAUGCUAAAUUUCCUUUCAAAAAUAUACAAAAAAAUUCCAAGUAACAGGAUUGAGAAGAAAGGACCUUUACCCUUGACCAUAUAUUUCCCUGACUACAGUACAUAGUGAAUUUUCACAACACCUUGCAGGUAUGAAGAGAAUGUUUUACAAUGUUUUAACCCCAAAUAUUUUUCUUAACCAUCCUUUUCUCGAGGACGAGUAAAAGCCUAAGUAUGGGGGUGUUUGUUGACAGUUCUUAAGUAUCAAUUUUAAUUAUCAAAUAAACAAGGAAAAGGACCAAUAUACAAACAACACCUAGAAUUAGGGUUUGAUCUGACAGAAUUCCACAAGUUUUGUUGUUUAUCUGUUUCUAUAGGGGGUUAUCAGGAAAUAUGGAAGAAAGGCCCACAUGUCAGGAUUACAUUGAGAUAUUAACGUACCGCGCAAUUUUCUACCAUCUAGAAGACUCCAGAAGCCAUGGGAACGAAUGGGAAGGCGAUCGAGCCCGGGGGCAGGGCGCCCGCCCUCCCCCCUAGGGCGCCCGCCCUGGUGUUUCGGCCAAUCGCGUUCAACUUCGCGGAUCAUGCUCCACCGACCUAAAGGAUCAAGGAUAACCGUUCAAUCAAUGUUGGUUUGAUCCGACGGCCCACGUUGACCUGAGGGGACUAUAUAAGCAGACCCCCUGGCCCCUGGAGGAGAACAAGUUCAUCAUAGAGUUGAAAGGUGCCCUCGAAGGAUAACCUUUCCUCUAAAUAGACUUAGGGCUUAGCAUCCAAUGUAAGAGUAGACUAGAUCUACUAGAUUGAGAGAGAUAGAGUGGAGGUGUAGACCGGAGGAAGCCCGGCCUCUCGGUGUCUACUCCGAGGUUGUACCUGCGGGAUCAAGUUCUCCUAACCGGAGGCUUGCUCCUAGGAUUCUUCAGUAUUUCAACUUCUAAAUUCUAGUAAGUUCUUGUUUUAUUGUUCUUUGGUUUAUGAGUUUACUUUGAUCUCUUCGCGUAGAGUUUAGAGUAAUCAUCUCUAGCGUAAACGUGGUGUUUGGGCUAGGAUACUCAUAGAUAUCCCCUGACUAGCUUGUGGCAGAACCCCCUAAGUGAUUGGGCCCACCGGCACCUGUCAUUGUCCUACGGACCUCUGACGGUGAUGCCGGGAGUCCUCCCACUUUAGAAGUCCGAUGAGCAUCGCUGGACGCUCAUUCCACUGCUACCUGUGGCGUACCAAGCCGGCUCGUGCUGACCACUGGUGAUGGUCAAUUAACGAGAACUUCUUCUUCUCGCCCUUACAGCAUAGCAAGUGGCCACCUUAACACCAGGAUCAUUCGUUGCGAGGACAACGCAGUAACACAAACGGCACAAGACCAAAAUAAUAUUUCAGAGUAAAACGGCGGAAGUAUUACAUAACUUAAUUUACAGAAGGAGUUCUUCCAAGUAGUAGAGUAUUAUUACAAGCCUGAUCCAGCGGAGCAAGUUAAACUUUAGUACAGAGAUUACAAAUUUACAGACCCUGCCCAUGGGUCACGCUUACUCUUCUUCGUCGUCAACCUCGACGAAGGUCACACAAUAGGGUCCGAAACAAGUCGGCUCCUGCGCUUCACCUGCAACAGGGGGUUGGAAAACCCUGAGUACGGGUGUACUCAACAAGACUUACCCGGUGGAAAAGAGGAGAAAGUAGGAAUGCAGGCUUAGGGUAGACAAGGAGUGGCUGAGCAAGGAGCCAAAGUGUUUUGCUAAAAAGCUUACUAGUAGUGCAUCCUUACUUUCAAGUUUUACCCGCGAAUUCCUCUCCCGCAGAGGUCGAGGAGUUCGAGGACAGUCUAUCUAGUUGCUUCUCACAGACAAGUCUGUAAGUUCCUAGUCCUUAAUUAAAGUACUUUCUCUCCAACGGCCACAGCUUCAUGUCACUCUGAGUCCGGGAAUUGGGAUCCGAACUUCAUGAGACAUUUCCCCCUUUCUCAUUUUACCAAUUAGUUGCAUAUUUAGCUACGAUGAGGGUCAGUGGAUUGAGUCUCCCAAUCGGGGAGCAACGACGAUUCGAACCGCUUAGCAAUCCAGCUGGAGUUCCUAACCACCCGACAUAUGUAGAACCAAAUCUUGCAUAUGUCAACCCAAAUCAAGCUCUCCCCAAAUUUGACCAGGUUCGCGGCACCCGAGAGCACAGUACUCCACCCUCCUACAGCCGAUCUAGAUGUUUCCCGGUCAUCUCAGACCCGUAAGGUGGGUACACGCUACUCUCGCCAUCUUUCCACUCCCAGUGCGCGAGUAGCUGUUCGCGUCGAGGGAUCACAAGACUGGGCUUACCGAGGGUAAGUGGCCAGUACUACAAAUUCUCAACCCAUCAGGCCACCAACGGACCGGUCCUUAACCGACACAGUUGGAGACACUACUUUAAGACUCCAUUCUUAAAGCAAGUCCACCGACCGGUCUCAAGUUGAAACCUCAUUGACCAUAACUGUAUUCCACAACAACCCUUCAAACUAUGUUUGAAAACCUAUCUAGUAGCAGGGCUAAGCAUCACUACGCAUUUUUAAAAAUAAAACAGGUGCCAAGGACAAGAUAACAAAUAACAAGGUAGUAAAUGCAGCAUGUAGGUUAACCCAAUUCUCAACUAGCUAAUGCAGCAUUUUCAAUUCAUAAGUGACAAAAGAUUUAAAACAUUCAAGGAGGGGUUAAUGCAUCCGGGGCUUGCCUUGGUUGCAGGGCAGAGAGGGACCCUCGGAGACUUCCCAAGUCUCGGAUCCGACUUCCUCGAACGGAGCACCGACCUCGGGGUUCGGUUCAACGGGCGCUCCUUCGGUCACGGACACUAUACGCAAAAUGAUGAAUGCUCAUGAUAUGCGUAUGACAACUAUGCAAGAAGGAUCAAGUCGAGUACAACUUGCCUUCUCGGUGCAAUACAGAAUAAACCAUAUAUAAAUUUGUUUUUACCCAAGAGGUUGCAUCUGUAAAUUAAGACUUCUCUUAAUUUAUAAUUACCUUAAAUUAACUAAUUAUUAAUCCUUUUAUCUUAAUUAACUCUUAAUUAAUUACUACUGACAGCAAUUAAGCAUUAAGGCCAAACAAUAAUUAAAUGCCAAAGGUCAUUAGGGUUAAUGACCUCAGGUCUUCACAUAAUUCCAAAGUCACUUAAACCCUAAUUAUGAGGAUUGAACUAAUCCUUGUUUAAUUAUUUUGGAAUUAUUAUUUAAUUACUAAAUAAGGGUUUAAUAGUAUUUUCUUCAAACAUUAUCCAAAUGCCACCAAAUUUUGUGUGAAGCCUGGAAACAAUAUUCAGAGGCUCCCCACAAAUUUUGGUGAUUUUUGGACAUACAAAUAAAUUAUUAAAAUUCAUACAAGUCUUAUUUGUUAAUUAAAGGAGCCAAUUGUUAUACCCUUGCAAACUAUCAGAAAACAGAACCUAAUAUUUUUCUUGGCUCAUACAUAUUUCAGGGAGUCUAUACAAAAAUUUUUAUCAUUUUUGGAUCAUCACACAGUUUAUUACACAAAUUCAAAUAUAAACAAAAAACUGCACAAAAAGAAAAAAGAAAAGAACAGCGCAGCGGGCGGCCUGGAAACUGGGCCGCAGGCCGGCCCACGCGCGCUCGGCCCGCACCCGCGCUGCACGCGCCCGCGCCCUCGCCUCCCCUCAGGACGUCGCUGACAGCGGGCCCCCGCUGUCAGCUCCGUCUUCAACCUCCGGCCGGCCGAAUCGACGGCGCGACCGAGCCAUCCGCGCCUCCUCUGCUUCUCGCGACCCGCUGGUCGCGUUCUCCAUCCCAAGGCGCACCUCUGGACACUCUUGUCACCCCCUUUCUCCUCCCCUAACCCCCGCGACCACGGACACGGCGGACGGCCGCCUCGGCCGGGCAAACACCGGCCACUACGCUUGAGUAGAGCGCGAAGAGAGUAGCGCAAAAGCAACAGAGGCUCACCACAACUUCAACCGAGCAACAAACAGCAGCGGAGAGGCUUUGAGCGAUGCUGGCCACGGUGGGAUGCUUGCGGCGGCGCUUUGGCCGGAGCUGGAGGGGAAAACGACCCGGUUGUAGCUUAUGGGGGCUUAGAGUUUGCGUUAGGGGGCGCAAUCGGUGGCGGGGCUCAAGGCGGAGCUGCUGGGGUGCUCAAAUGGCUUGAAACGGCAACAGGUGAGGCGAAUUGGAGAGGCGCAGGGAGCUCGACGGCGAUGAGGUUCAAGGAGAAGAAAAGAAAUGUCCCGGCCACCCGAGGCUUUAUCCACGCGACGGCGCCUGCGAUGCGGACGAGGACGUCGAGCGAGGCACAGCAGCAAGCAGCUGCGUGGCCUUGUGCGUGGCGUCGCGCGCGGAGGCGGCUCUGCCCCGGCGGCAGAGCACCCUCCCCUGCCGAACACUGUAGCAAGCCAUAUCUCCUCACCUUGUCUUUUUGUGAAAUUUGACCAAAACUUGAACUAAAGCCCAAUUUCCACCAAAAUGAAAGCUGUGCAAAAUUUUGUAAGCUCCAAAAUAUGUUUAGGUGUCCCAAGCUGAUUCUGAGUGGAAAAAGGUUAAUUUGGCCAAACAGUUUGAAAAUUAAACUUGAUUCAAAGGAAUUCAAAUUUUUGAAUUGGGGACAAAUCAGGAUUUCCAAAAUUACUUUUAUUUUUCCUAAACAACUUGAAAAACUCCCAACAUGAAAGUUGCUCAACUUUUUGUGCUCUACAACUUUCAUGUUGGCCACUUUUCAAAAUUCCCAACGGAUUUUGAAUUGGAGGUUUAAAUUGGAAAAGGAAACACUUUCUGGAAAUCUGUAUUUUCAAAAUUACUUUGAAUUUUGUAUUGAAACUUCAAAAACUCAAAACACCAAAGUUGUACAUCUUGCCAAGAUCUACAACUUUGCUUUUGAACUCAUCCUCAAAUUUUGCUUGGUUUUUGAAUUGCACAAAAAGGGGCAAUUCUAAGGUCCGGAAAUCAGGGUUUCCCCCCCUUAGUCUUUCGGAAAGCUCCCACCCUAGGGUUCUAGCAACCAAGUCAAGCAUUAAUUUACAACAUAAACACACUUUAGUUCCCUAAGCACAUUCAACCAAAUUAAACUCGUUUUGAGUUGAUGCAUCAAGGUGUGCUUAACACUAUGCUGUGCAAUGCUGAUGAUGCCAUGAUCCGUUUUUAGUAACCGUAACAUCGGGGACGUUACAGCCCUUCCCCCUUAAAGAAAUCUCGUCCCCGAGAUUUAAAACCUUAGGGUAAGUAAUGGAAAAGGAAAUUUGUCAAAACUCUUUCAUCUUCAACUUUCCCAUAAAGCAAGAAGUUGGGGAAAACCACUCUAUUAUAAACAUGUACGUACACUAAGUACAUGGCUUCGGUUACUCUUUUCCUUCACUAGAGUACACUCCCUAUUUAUCACAUGUUGUCCUGAAGAGAAGCGUGGAAUUCAGGAAAAUUCUCCAGCAGAUAGUCUUCAGAUUCCCAGGUAGCUUCCUCUUCGGAAUGCUGGCUCCACUGUAUCUUGUACCACUUGGUAGUCGUUCUUCGAGUAAUUCUAUUUCUUUGAUCCAGUACUCGGAUAGGAUACUCCGAAUAAGUGAGAUCUGGUUCAAGUUCUACAUCUUCAAUAUCUUGGACUUGGUCUGGUACCCGAAGACACUUCUUCAGUUGAGACACAUGGAACACAUUAUGUAUCCCGGAUAAUCGUUCGGGCAGUUUAAGGCGGUAAGCUACCUGUCCACAUCGGUCAAUAAUUGGAAAUGGACCAAUGUAACGGGGCGCUAACUUGCCCUUAACACCAAAACGAUUUACUCCUUUCAUUGGGGAUACUUUCAAAUACACAUGAUCACCUUUGGCGAACCUUAAUGGUCGACGUCUCUUAUCAGCGUAGCUUUUUUGUCGGGACUGAGCAACUUUCAAGUUAUUUUGGAUGUGUCUCACUUUGUUCUCAGUCUCUUUCACUAAGUCAACUUCGAAGAACCAUCUUUCUCCAGGUUCCGACCAGUGUAACGGAGUUCGACAUCGACGGCCAUAUAGUGCCCCAAAGGGAGCCAUUUUGAUACUCUCUUGGUAGCUAUUGUUGUAAGAAAAUUCUGCUAGAGGCAAGCAGCCAUCCCACUUAUCUGGAAAAUUUAGGGCACAAGAUCUUAAUAGAUCUUCUAGAGUUUGAUUCACUCUCUCAGUUUGCCCACCUGUUUGAGGGUGGUAGGCUGUACUAUAUAAAAGCUUGGUGCCCAAGGAUUCAUGUAAGCAUUUCCAGAACUGGGAGACAAAUUGUGUGCCUCUAUCUGAUACUAUCGUCUUUGGCACCCCAUGCAGACUUAAUAUACGAUCAAAAUAGAUCUUAGCAUAGGUAGAGGUAUAAUACGAUUUCUUUACAGGUAAGAAAUGUGCUGUUUUGGUGAGACGAUCCACAAUGACCCAAAUUGAAUCAAAGCCUUUGGCCGUCUUGGGCAACCCCACUAUGAAAUCCAUACUAAUAUCAUCCCAUUUCCAUGCGGGGAUAGGCAAAGGUUGCAACUCCCCAGCGGACUUGAGAUGAAUAGCUUUGACCUUUCGAUAAGUGUCACAUUGGGCCACAUAGCAAGCUAUAUCUAUCUUCAUUUUUGUCCACCAAAACCUUUGCUUUAGGUCCUGAUACAUCUUAUUGCUUCCCGGAUGAAUAGAAUACCUCGUGGUAUGAGCUUCAUCCAGGAUUUGUUGACGUAGCUCAGGUACCUUUGGAACCACUAACCGGUUUUUGAACCAAACUACUCCUGCACCAUCCACCUUAAAGUCUGUGGGUGCUCUAUUAGAAAUCUUCUCUUUAAGAUGUUUCAUGCCUCUGUCUUCCUUUUGUGCCUCUAUAAUUUGAGCUUCGAGAUUGAAGUCAAUUUUUAGAUUGGCAAGGCUUCCCUGGGAAAUCAUUUCUAUCCCCAAGUCCUCUAGCUCUUGGCACAAAGUUAUAUCUCUAGGCAUCACUGUUAAGCAAUUACAGUGAGCCUUACGACUGAGGGCAUCCGCUACUACAUUUGCCUUACCAGGGUGAUAAUGCACCUCAAGGUCGUAAUCUUUGAUUAGUUCUAGCCACCUUCGUUGGCGCAUAUUAAGCUCGGCUUGAGUAAAGAUAUACUUCCAGCUUUUGUGAUCUGUGUAUAGAUGACAUGUGUUUCCCAACAGAUAAUGGCGCCAGAUCUUUAGUGCAUGUACCACGGCGGCUAGUUCAAGAUCAUGGGUCGGGUAAUUCUCCUCAUGUGGUUUAAGCUGUCUGGAAGCAUAUGCAAUUACGUGACCCUCCUGCAUUAGCACACAGCCUAUCCCUAUGCUUGAUGCGUCACAAUACACAUCAAAGGGUUUUUCAAUAUGUGGCUGGGCUAAGACAGGUGCAGUUGUCAAUAAUCUUUUCAGAGUCUGAAAGGCUUGCUCACAUUGAGGUGACCAAACAAAUUUUGUUUGAUUCUUGAGCAAGGUCGUGAUUGGUUUGGCGACUCUUGAAAAGUCCGGGAUAAAACGACGGUAAUAUCCCGCCAUACCCAGAAAACUACGGACCUCAUGUACCGUAGUCGGGGGUUUCCAAUUCAACACAUCUUCUACCUUGCCUGGGUCUACAGCGACUCCCUCCGCUGAUAAUACAUGACCCAGGAAAUGAACUUUGUCCAGCCAGAACUCGCAUUUGCUGAACUUAGCAUAUAGCUGAUGCUCCCUAAGACGGGUUAGCACAAUUCUCAGAUGUUCAGCAUGUUCUUUCUUAGUCUUGGAGUAGAUUAAGAUGUCAUCAAUAAAGACGACCACAAAUUUAUCUAGUUCUGGCAUGAAGACAGAGUUCAUCAGGUACAUGAAAUGGGCCGGUGCAUUGGUCAACCCAAAAGACAUUACCAAGUACUCAUACAGCCCGUAACGGGUUGUAAAAGCUGUCUUGGGCACAUCUUCCGGCCUAAUUUUAAUUUGGUGGUACCCUGAUCUCAAAUCAAUUUUCGAGAAUACUUUGGCCCCGGCUAGCUGGUCAAAUAAUAAGUCAAUGCGGGGCAAUGGGUACUUAUUCUUAAUCGUCACCUCAUUCAGGGAUGAUAGUCGACACACAGCCUUAAUGUUUGAUCUUUCUUUUUCACAAACAAGGCUGGGCAACCCCAUGGAGAAGAACUGGGCUGAAUAAAACCUUUCUGCAACAGCUCUUGUAGUUGGGUUUUUAAUUCGGCCAGCUCUUUCGGUGCCAUUCUGUAGGCCCUUCGAGAUAUUGGGGCUGUCCCUGGUUUCAAUUCUAUACUGAAUUGUACAUCCCGGUCCGGAGGCAGACCUAGUAAGUCUUCAGGAAAUACAUCCGGAAAAUCCCGAAUUACCGAGAUAUCUUUGACUUCAGACACAUUAGUGGCAUGAACUUGCCCAAUCGCCCGUUUGGGAGUAACUAAUUGAAUUAGCAGAUAGGAAUUCUCUUUGGGCAAUGGGAUUUUAAUGGUUCGAUGCAAAGUGUCUAGCACAACCCCUCGUUGUGCCAUCCAGUUCAUGCCUAGUAUGACAUCAAUCUCUUGGUCCUUAAGAACAAUCAUGCUAGUGGGAAAACUAUGCCCACCAAAUUCGAUGGGUAUCUGGUGAACCAUCUCUUUAGAACUUAGCCGUCCCCCUGGCGACUGUAUAUAAAAAUGAUCUUGUGUUUCCCCAAUGGGUAUGCCAUGCUUUAACACAAAGGUGCGAUUGAUGAAUGUAUGAGAUGCACCGGAAUCGAAAAGCAUUAAAGCAGGAUGUUUCGCGACAGGAAACGUACCCAUCAUUAUUGGUUCACCCUCCGGAAUCGUCUCCACUUCUGUAUGGAAGACUUGUCCCACAUUCUUCGCUGGUUUCCCCUUUUGCACGUUUUGUCCUUUCUGAACCCCAGUCCUGAAUUGGCCCGCCUAGGGUUGGCCUAUAGGUGGCCUUUGGAAGGUAGGGUUGGUUUGGCGGGGGUAAGGGCACUCUUUAGAGAAAUGCCCAGGCUUACCACAAUUGAAACAAGGGUAAUUGUGGCUGAGCGGAGCAGUGGGGCGAACACCUGGGGCGUUCGGCUGGCGUGGUGCAAGGGCGAUGGGCAGUAGGUCGAGGGUAUACCUGCUGCCCUGGUCUAUAUUGUGGUGGGGAAAAGGGACCACGAUAAGGUGACGGCGCUUGAAAGCGUCCGUGGCCCUGCGGAUGAUAAAUGAUUCUCUGGCGCUUUUGACCGCGACCAGAGAAGGAGGAGGAAGCAGCCUUCUUCUUGGCUUCUUUGUGCUUCCUAUUCUUUUCCUCUGAGGCGAUAGCAAUAUUUACCGCCUCGUAGAAGGUAGCAUUUUGGCAGGUGGUCAUCAUGGUCUGAAGUUUAGUAUUUAGACCACGCAUGAAGCAGGCUUUCUUCUUUCUGUCCGCGUUCACAUGGUCUGUGGCAUAUUGAGAGAGAUGAUUAAACUUUGCCACGUACUCCAUGACACUUUUAUCGCCUUGCUGCAAGGCGAGAAACUCUUCGGCCUUCAUGGCCAUGAGCCCUUCAGGUAUAUAAUGGGCGCGGAACGCGUCCUUAAACUCGGUCCAGGUAACCUGGUGUCCGGGAGCUUGGAUAGCUAAAAAGUUCUCCCACCAGGCACCUGCAGCUCCCCGAAGCUGCUGAGCUGCGAACUGCAGCUCCCCGAAGCUGCUGAGCUGCGAACAGGGGCUUCUGAGUUUCUGAACACUGAAUAAAACUAAACUUGUGCUCCAUGGUUCGGAGCCAGUCAUCCGCUUCUAACGGCUCAUCGGCCUUAGUGAAAACCGGGGGCCUUGUCUCGGUAAAGUCCACGUAGCGAGCUUCUCCGUCCCCAUUGUGCGGUGCCCUGAAGUUUGGGGCGGGGUGUGGUUGACGUUGUGCUAACUCGCGCAGCAAGCGAGCGUUGUCGGUAGUGGCACUCAACAGAACAGCAAUGGCAUCAGCCAAAGAAGGUGGAGCAGGUGGAGGGUUGGGGAUAUCAUCCCCUCCCUGAGAUGUUCCGGCUCCAUCAGAUCCUCGUGUACGCAUCGGCAUCUGCCACCAGAGUCACAGGUACUUAUUACCACAUGAAAUUCAUAACUUAGAACAUAUCUUACAUACUCCCAUUUAUUUAUUAAACAGCAGUUCGACACACCAGGAACAAACCAGUACAACUUCUCAAACUGAAAGAAAACUUUAUAUUACAAACCCGACCCCACUACGGUAAACUAGGAAUCCUACAACGACGUUGCCCGCUGCUCCACCGAACUAGUCGGUGUGGCUAGAGCUGUAGCCCGGGUCGUCAUUGCCGUCAUCCUGAUCACCCCCCGAGUUGUUAUCAUCGGGGUCGGACUCCUCUUCAUCACUGAUGCCCUGAUCGGGUUCCCCAUCGUCCGCCAACUCUCCAUCCGUAUCCAUCUCUCCUUCAUCUGGCGGUGGAUGGAGCUGGUGAUAUAGGCCAAAUGCAAUGUCACGAUAUUGCAUUGCCAAGUCAUUAACGGUGUCUAAAUGAUGUGCCAGCUCCAGCUUCUCCAAUUGGAGCUGGUCCUCUCGCUGCCACGCGACAUCCCGCUGCGCGGUGACCGUGGCCGCCAUCUUCAUGUACAGAUCUUUAAUGUACCUGGCCUUGUCCAGCUUUGCAUUCAUCCUAGUCAGCUCGUGCCUAUGUGUGCUCCUAGCCUCUUCUUCUCGGGCAAUAGCGGCAUUCCUCUCCUCUACCAUACGGGACAACAUAGCCUCACAGUUCUCGGUAGCUUGUUUUUCUUUGGCUAGUUGAGCUUUAAGUUCGCCGAUCUCCAUGACAUUGUACAUCCUUUAUCUCAUCACUUCAGUCAACUCGGCGGACAACCUGUCCACCUCCUGCUGCGGCGGUGAACGGCUGCUGCUUGCUUGAUCGCUUCGCGGGGCCAGCUGGUGUUUGGGGACCCCUUUUGGUCCUGUCCUCUUACGCGGGGUCAGCUUCCAAUGAGGUAUCCUGUAGAGGGUAAGUUUGGAUUAAUAAGGGAGGCCUUACAGGUUAGCAAGAAUGGGAUUGAUUCUAUACAACCCAACCCAAACAAGGAGGAAGGAAAUUUAACCAAGUUGACAAAUCAUGAUGCAUGCACGUACUUACGACUCCUAUCAACAAUUCGUAACGAUAUUACUCAAAAUUGUACAACAUAGGGCAAUACUUAAUGUUGCUCCUCCAUACCACUCCAAAAAUUCUAAGAAAGCCUACAGACAGGGGUAAGUUAGGACUAAGCACUUGGACUCAAAAUAGGCAAGUUUAUAGUAUUGGAUCCAAGCGAAUUUUGAAGUUUUUCAAGAGGUACAGCAGUCAUCUUAGCAACGAAUGCUCUGAUACCAGCUGUGGCAGAACCCCCUAAGUGAUUGGGCCCACCGGCACCUGUCAUUGUCCUACGGACCUCUGACGGUGAUGCCGGGAGUCCUCCCACUUUAGAAGUCCGAUGAGCAUCGCUGGAUGCUCAUUCCACUGCUACCUGUGGCGUACCAAGCCGGCUCGUCCUGACCACUGGUGAUGGUCAAUUAACGAGAACUUCUUCUUCUCGCCCUUACAGCAUAGCAAGUGGCCACCUUAACACCAGGAUCAUUCGUUGCGAGGACAACGCAGUAACACAAACGACACAAGACCAAAAUAAUAUUUUAGAGUAAAACGGCGGAAGUAUUACAUAACUUAAUUUACAAAAGGAGUUCUUCCAAGUAGUAGAGUAUUAUUACAAGCCUGAUCCAGCGGAGCAAGUUAAACUUUAGUACAGAGAUUACAAAUUUACAGACCCUGCCCAUGGGUCACGCUUACUCUUCUUCGUCGUCAACCUCGACGAAGGUCACACAACAGGGUCCGAAACAAGUCGGCUCCUGCGCUUCACCUGCAACAGGGGGUUGGAAAACCCUGAGUACGGGAGUACUCAACAAGACUUACCCGGUGGAAAAGAGGAGAAAGUAGGAAUGCAGGCUUAGGGUAGACAAGGAGUGGCUGAGCAAGGAGCCAAAGUGUUUUGCUAAAAAGCUUACUAGUAGUGCAUCCUUACUUUCAAGUUUUACCCGCGAAUUCCUCUCCCACAGAGGUCGAGGAGUUCGAGGACAGUCUAUCUAGUUGCUUCUCACAGACAAGUCUAUAAGUUCCUAGUCCUUAAUUAAAGUACUUUCUCUCCAACGGCCACAGCUUCAUGUCACUCUGAGUCCGGGAAUUGGGAUCCGAACAUCAUGAGACAUUUCCCCCUUUCUCAUUUUACCAAUUAGUUGCAUAUUUAGCUACGAUGAGGGUCAGUGGAUUGAGUCUCCCAAUCGGGGAGCAACGACGAUUCGAACCGCUUAGCAAUCCAGCUGGAGUUCCUAACCACCCGACAUAUGUAGAACCAAAUCUUGCAUAUGUCAACCCAAAUCAAGCUCUCCCCAAAUUUGACCAGGUUCGCGGCACCCGAGAGCACAGUACUCCACCCUCCUACAGCCGAUCUAGAUGUUUCCCGGUCAUCUCAGACCCGUAAGGUGGGUACACGCUACUCUCGCCAUCUUUCCACUCCCAGUGCGCGAGUAGCUGUUCGCGUCGAGGGAUCACAAGACUGGGCUUACCGAGGGUAAGUGGCCAGUACUACAAAUUCUCAACCCAUCAGGCCACCAACGGACCGGUCCUUAACCGACACAGUUGGAGACACUACUUUAAUACUCCAUUCUUAAAGCAAGUCCACCGACCGGUCUCAAGUUGAAACAUCAUUGACCAUAAGUGUAUUCCACAACAACCCUUCAAACUAUGUUUGAAAACCUAUCUAGUAGCAGGGCUAAGCAUCACUACGCAUUUUUAAAAUAAAACAGGUGCCAAGGACAAGAUAACAAAUAACAAGGUAGUAAAUGCAGCAUGUAGGUUAACCCAAUUCUCAACUAGCUAAUGCAGCAUUUUCAAUUCAUAAGUGACAAAAGAUUUAAAACAUUCAAGGAGGGGUUAAUGCAUCAGGGGCUUGCCUUGGUUGCAGGGCAGAGAGGGACCCUCGGAGACUUCCCAAGUCUCGGAUCCGACUUCCUCGAACGGAGCACCGACCUCGGGGUUCGGUUCAACGGGCGCUCCUUCGGUCACGGACACUAUACGCAAAAUGAUGAAUGCUCAUGAUAUGCGUAUGACAACUAUGCAAGAAGGAUCAAGUCGAAUACAACUUGCCUUCUCGGUGCAAUACAGAAUAAACCAUAUAUAAAUUUGUUUUUACCCAAGAGGUUGCAUCUGUAAAUUAAGACUUCUCUUAAUUUAUAAUUAUCUUAAAUUCACUAAUUAUUAAUCCUUUUAUCUUAAUUAACUCUUAAUUAAUUACUACUGACAGCAAUUAAGCAUUAAGGCCAAACAAUAAUUAAAUGCCAAAGGUCAUUAGGGUUAAUGACCUCAGGUCUUCACAUAAUUCCAAAGUCACUCAAACCCUAAUUAUGAGGAUUGAACUAAUCCUUGUUUAAUUAUUUUGGAAUUAUUAUUUAAUUACUAAAUAAGGGUUUAAUAGUAUUUUCUUCAAACAUUAUCCAAAUGCCACCAAAUUUUGUGUGAAGCCUGGAAAUAAUAUUCAGAGGCUCCCCACAAAUUUUGGUGAUUUUUGGACAUACAAAUAAAUUAUUAAAAUUCAUACAAGUCUUAUUUGUUAAUUAAAGGAGCCAAUUGUUAUACCCUUGCAAACUAUCAGAAAACAGAACCUAAUAUUUUUCUUGGCUCAUACAUAUUUCAGGGAGUCUAUACAAAAAUUUUUAUCAUUUUUGGAUCAUCACACAGUUUAUUACACAAAUUCAAAUAUAAACAAAAAACUGCACAAAAAGAAAAAAGAAAAGAACAGCGCAGCGGGCGGCCUGGAAACUGGGCCGCAGGCCGGCCCACGCGCGCUCGGCCCGCACCCGCGCUGCACGCGCCCGCGCCCUCGCCUCCCCUCAGGACGUCGCUGACAGCGCCCGCUGUCAGCUCCGUCUUCAACCUCCGGCCGGCCGAAUCGACGGCGCGACCGAGCCAUCCGCGCCUCCUCUGCUUCUCGCGACCCGCUGGUCGCGUUCUCCAUCCCAAGGCGCACCUCUGGACACUCUUCUCACCCCCUUUCUCCUCCCCUAACCCCCGCGACCACGGACACGGCGGACGGCCGCCUCGGCCGGGCAAACACCGGCCACUACGCUUGAGUAGAGCGCGAAGAGAGUAGCGCAAAAGCAACAGAGGCUCACCACAACUUCAACCGAGCAACAAACAGCAGCGGAGAGGCUUUGAGCGAUGCUGGCCACGGUGGGAUUCUUGCGGCGGCGCUUUGGCCGGAGCUGGAGGGGAAAACGACCCGGUUGUAGCUUAUGGGGGCUUAGAGUUUGCGUUAGGGGGCGCAAUCGGUGGCGGGGCUCAAGGCGGAGCUGCUGGGGUGCUCAAAUGGCUUGAAACGGCAACAGGUGAGGCGAAUUGGAGAGGCGCAGGGAGCUCGACGGCGAUGAGGUUCAAGGAGAAGAAAAGAAAUGUCCCGGCCACCCGAGGCUUUAUCCACGCGACGGCGCCUGCGAUGCGGAUGAGGACGUCGAGCGAGGCACAGCAGCAAGCAGCUGCGUGGCCUUGUGCGUGGCGUCGCGCGCGGAGGCGGCUCUGCCCCGGCGGCAGAGCACCCUCCCCUGCCGAACACUGUAGCAAGCCAUAUCUCCUCACCUUGUCUUUUUGUGAAAUUUGACCAAAACUUGAACUAAAGCCCAAUUUCCACCAAAAUGAAAGUUGUGCAAAAUUUUGUAAGCUCCAAAAUAUGUUUAGGUGUCCCAAGCUGAUUCUGAGCAGAAAAAGGUUAAUUUGGCCAAACAGUUUGAAAACCAAACUCAAUUCAAAGGAAUUCAAAUUUUUGAAUUGGGGACAAAUCAGGAUUUCCAAAAUUACUUUUAUUUUUCCUAAACAACUUGAAAAACUACCAACAUGAAAGUUGCUCAAAUUUUUGUGCUCUACAACUUUCAUGUUGGCCACUUUUCAAAAUUCCCAAUGGAUUUUGAAUUGGAGGUUUAAAUUGGAAAAGGGAACACUUUCUGGAAAUCUGUAUUUUCAAAAUUACUUUGAAUUUUGUAUUGAAACUUCAAAAACUCAAAACACCAAAGUUGUACAUCUUGCCAAGAUCUACAACUUUGCUUUUGAGCUCAUCCUCAAAUUUUGCUUGGUUUUUGAAUUGCACAAAAACGGGCAAUUCUAAGGUCCGGAAAUCAGGGUUCCCCCCCUUAGUCUUUCGGAAAGCUCCCACCCUAGGGUUCUAGCAACCAAGUCAAGCAUUAAUGUACAACAUAAACACACUUUAGUUCCCUAAGCACAUUCAACCAAAUUAAACUCGUUUUAAGUUGAUGCAUCAAGGUGUGCUUAACACUAUGCUGUGCAAUGCUGAUGAUGCCAUGAUCCGUUUUUAGUAACCGUAACAUCGGGGAUGUUACAUAGCUGGACCGUGGUAGUAGCGAGGAACGUGACAUUUUCGAGUUACCUUUGCAGCCCAUAUCCCGUUAGUAGGAUCGAUAGGGUUUAUAGGUGCGGGUUGAACAUCCUCUGUAGUGUCUAGAUUCCGUGAGCUUCCCCAAUAGAACAGUAGAUCAUCCUUACCAAGGUUAGAACGAGACUACGGUUGUAGUCUUCUCUAUACAUCACUCACAUCGAGUCACAUUUUUUGUACCCUAAAGGUUAGUAGUAAUAGACCAGGUUAGUCAGAUGAACGCUUUCUCCUAGUGGUAAAAAUAUAAAUACGAUACUCUGGAUAACAUCCCGGGUGAAGUGCUCACCGAUAUCCGUGCGCUUGCGGAUCAAUUCCUUAUUGCGUUACCAUAUAUCAACAGUCUUCAAGAUUAAGUUUUGGACCAGAUUCUAAAAUCUCAGAAAAACGUUUCUAGGAUUUACCCAAAGUUUCAUUUUCUUUUUGUUUAAAAGAUAGAACUUUGAGUCUAAGAUCGGCGAUACGGUCGAGGGAAUAAAAAUCUAGACAAAAGUUGGCUCGUAAAACUCCUCAUUCACCUCGUUGUUCACUUACCUUCUAUCUAUACCAUUGUCUAGCUUCUCCCCUUAAAGAAAAAGGAAAAAACUUCCAACGUAAAGUUUUAUCAGAAAUGCCUUCAAUGCGAAGACAAUCGCAUGUUUGCUCAAAAUCUCUAAUAUGAAGGGUUUUUGUCUUCCUUUUCCGAAAACUAUAGCUUCUUAAUCAUGGCAAUUAACCUUCAACUUAACCUGUACUCAGAUGUUUGGAUAGGCUGUGAUGACUCCCAUGGUAAAAGGUCAGUUUCCGAAGGUGUUGCAAAUUGGUAAAUCGAUUUCGAAUCUUGGUUUUCCAUAAGGUAAGAAUAGAUAAAAUAGAGAAUAUAAAAAGAUAAGAAAAUAUAAAAGUAUAAAUACAAGCUAGUAGCAAGACUCAAGGUUAUCUCAGCAAACCGUCUUUCUCCCCGGCAACGGCGCUAAAAAUGCUUAUUGAUAUUUGGUAACGCAAUCAGGAAAUGAUCCGCAAGCGCAUGAAUAUCGGUGAGCACUUCACCUAGUAGGUUAUCCAGAGUAUUGUAUUUAUAUUUUACCACUAGGAGAAAGCAUGCAUCUAACUAACCAAAUCUAUUACUACUAACCUUUAGGCUACAACCACUAUGAUUUGAUGUGAGCGAUGUAUAGAGAAGACUACAACUGCACCCUUGUUCUAACUUUGGUAAGGAUGAUCUACUGUUCUAUUGGGGAGGCUUAUGGAAUCUAGACACCACAGAGGAUGUUCAACCCAGACCUAUAAACCCUACCGAUCCUGCUAACAGGAUUAUGGGCUACAAAGGUAGCUACGGAAAUGUCACGUUCCUCGCUACUACCACGAUCCGGCUAGAGAGGGGAUAUCUGAGUAUCCUAGCCCAAACACCAUGUUUACGCUAGCGAUGAUUACUCUAAACUCUAUGCGAAGAGAUCAAAGUAAACUCAUAAACCAAAGAACAAUAAAAGAAAGAACUUACUAGAAUUUAGAAGUCGAAAUACUAAAGAAUCCAAGGAGCAAGCCUCGGGUUAGGAGACUUGAUCCCGCCAGUACAACCUCAGAGUAGACACCGACAGGUCGGGCUUCCUCCGAUCUACACCUCCACUCUAUCUCUCUCAAUCUAGAAGAACUAAUUCUAAUCUCACAUUGGAUGCUAAGCCCUAGGAGAUUGGAACCCUAGAGGGACCUCUCUCUCUCAAUCCUCUCUUGAAAAUAUGCUAAUGAAUAAUGGGAUUGCUCUCCUCCAGGGGCCAGGGGCCUUGCUUAUAUAGCCCUCUCAAAUGAACGUGGGCCGUCGGAUCAAACCGACCUUAAUUGAACAGUUUUCCUUGAUCCUUAGAGGCGGUGGAGCAUAAUCCAUGAGACUCGUGCUGAUUGGCCACCAAAGGGGGGCGGGCGCCCUGCUGCUGGGCUCGCUUGACCUCCCGCUCGUUCAUGUGGCUUCUGGACUCUUCUAGAGCGAGGAAAAUUGGUGCACACGUUAAUAUCUCUAUGUAAACCCAAUGUGUGGGCCUUUUCUUCAUAUUUCCUGAUAAUCUCCUGCAGAAAUAAAUAAACAACAAAACUCAUGUAAUUCUAUCAGAUCAAACCCUAAUUCUAGGUGUUGCUUGCUUAUGGAUCAUUUUCCUUGUUUAUUUGAUGAUUAAAAUUAAUACUUAAGGACCAUAAACAAUAAGCUUGAUGUUAAGAAUGACAUCAGUUUCUCCAAAAUUUUUCAUAUCGAAAUUACUCGAUAAAAGUUUCUUUACUUCCUCAAUCACAUUGAGGUUUGAUCCAAAGGUCAAUAUGUCAUCAACAUAAAGGCACAACAUAAUGACCUCAUCCCCACCAUAUUGAUAAUACACACACGUGUCAGCUUCAUUCACAACAAAGCCAACAGUAGUGAGAGUAUUAUCAAACUUUUCAAGCCAUUGCUUAGGUGCUUGUUUUAGGCCAAACAAUGAUUUUUAAUAACCUACGCACCUUGUUCUCUUGACCAUCCACAAUGAAUCCUUCUAUCUGAUCUAUAUAGAUCUCCUCAUCCAACUCUCUAUUAAGGAAAGCUAUCUUAACAUCCAUCUGAUAAAUGAUAAGACCAUAAGAGGCUGCCACAGCUAUUAAUGUGCGAAUUGUAGUCAACCAAGCCACUAGUGAAUAGGUGUCAAAGAAAUCUUCACCCUCCUUUUGGGUAUAUCCUUUGGCCACAAGCCUUGCCUUGUACCUCUCAAUUGUACCAUCAGGCCUAAGCUUUUUCUUAAAGAUCCACUUGCACCCUAUAGGUUGACAACCAUAAGGAUGGUCAAUGACCUCCCAAGUUCCAUUAGACAUAAUAGAAUUCAUCUCACUCCUUACUGCUUCCUUCCAUAAGUUAGCAUCAGGAGAGGAAUAUGCCUCUCUAAUGGUGGUUGGUGUGUCUUCCACAAGGUACACUAUAAAGUCAUCACCAAAGGAUUUUGCAAUCCUCUAUCUCUUGCUCUUUCGACUGACUAUAGUGUCAUCUUCCUCGGGGAUGUGCAUGUGAGUCUCCUCAACAUGAUCUAUAGGAAUUGAUAAUUCUUGCUCAUGGGGUAUUAUAGUCUCAUGACUAGUUUUACUAGGUGUAUUUUUUCAUGGGAAACUCAUUCUCAAAAAAUGUAGCGUCUCUUGACUCCAUGAUAGUAUCAACAUACAUAUCAGACACAUCAGAUUUUAUAAUUAAGAACCUAUAUCUAGUGCUGUAAAAAGAAUAGCCUAGGAAAACACAAUCAACAGUUUUAGGCCCAAGUUUACGCUUUUUGUUGAUUGGCACAUUCACCUUAGCCAAGCAACCCCAUGUGUGCAAAUAUGAGAGAUUUAAUCUUCUCUUUUCUCAUUCAUCAAAUGGUGUAAUCUCUUUGUUCUUUGCUAGAACUCUGUUAAGGACAUGACACGCUGUCAAAAUUGCCUCACCUCACCAUUCCUUGGAUAAUCCCGCUCUACUCAACAUGGCAUUUACCAAAUCAGUUAGAGUGCGGUUUUUCCUUUUAGCAAUCCCAUUGGAUUAUGGUGAGAAUGGAGGUCUCAUGAACAUUUCCAUGUUCCACACAGAACUCAUCGAAAAGAUUAGAGAAAUAUUAUCCACCUCGAUUAGACCUUAGCCGUUUUAUUUUCCUCUCAAGUUGGUUCUCAACUUCAGCUUUAUAGGUCUUAAAAUAAUUAAGCACUUCAUCUUUUGUUUUCAAGAGAUACACAUAGCAAAAGCGCGUGGAGUCAUCUAUAAAAGUGAGAAAGUAUCUUUUGUCAAAAUUCCAAUCAUCUCACACAGAUCAGAAUGAACAAGUUCUAGAGGUGCCAAAUUCCUCGCCUCAGCAGCCUUGUGAGGCUUGCGGGGUUGUUUUGAUUCAACACAUACAUGGUACUUAGACUUUUUGACCAAGUUGAAUUUAGGAAUUAAAUUUAGAUUUGCUAGCCGCAUAUGACAACCAAAACUUACAUGACAAAAGCGUGAAUGCCAUAAAUCUGACUCAUCAGAAAUAUUAAUAGAAUUCACUAUUUUAUUACACUCGUCAUGCAAAGAUAAGCGGAACAAACUUCUGCAAUCAUAUCCUUUACCAACAAAGGUACCAUGUUUCGACACAACACAUUUAUUUGACUCAUGGACAACUUUGUAGCCAUCUCUAUAUAACAUAGAUGCGCUAACAAGAUUCUUCUUUAUGGAGGGCACAUGCUGCACGCUCUUCAAUGGCACUGUCUUCCCCGAAGUAAACUUCAGAAUGACCGUACCAACACCAAGAACAUGAGCACGCGACCCAUUUCCCAUCAACAAGGCACCAGAUCUCCCGACCUGAUAGGAAGAAAACAAAGACACAUCAGCACACACAUGAAUAUUUGCACCACUGUCCAUCCGCCACUCAUGUGAAUUACAAACUGGAAGAACAAAUGUUAAAGAAUUACCAUACCCAGAUGUUCCAUCUUCAAUUUCGGUAGUUACAACAUUAGGUGAUUUCUUGUCCUGUGUGACCUUGCGAUCAGGGCACUCUCUAGCCCUGUGUUGAUCACUACCACUGACAAAGCAUCCUUCCUUUCCCUUAUUUUUGUUGCUCUUCUUUUUAAACUGUGUUUUUUGAAGAGGCUUAGGUGUAUUCUCUUGCUUGUUCUGGAUUUUCUUCUUGUUAAACUUGCGGAAUUUCCUCUGCACCACAUUAGCAGAAGAUGUUUCAACACCUUUCCCAAUGUCCUUUACUCUAGCCCUCUCGUCAACACCAAGAGUACCAAUGAGCUCUUCCACAUUGAACUCUUGUCUCUUAUGUUUGAGAGAGGUGGCAAAGUCCUUCCAAGAAGGUGGUAACUUGGCGAUUAUACCGCCAGCCACAAACUUGUCAGGCAAAGGACAAAGAAAAAGUUAGUUUCUUAGCUAGUGACUGAAACUCAUGAGCCUAUUCCACUACAGAUUGGUUCUCAACCAUCUUGUAGUCAUACAACUGCUCUAUGAGAUACAGCUCGCUGCUAGCAUCAGUAACUCCAAACUUUCCAACAAGUGCAUCCCAUAGCUCUUUCCCUGUAGGGAGAAUGAUAUAGCUUUUCUAGAACUUUGUGUCAAGUGCGCUAAUCACUGCACCUCGAAAGAGGUUAUCAUCAGCCUUAAACUUAGCCUCAUCCUCAGGAGACAAGUUAGCAGGCUUGCCCUCAGAGGCAUGAUAACAUGAUAUAGCAGUUAUCUACAAUUUUAUCUUAGCUUUCCAAAUCAAUAAGUUUUUACCACCAAAAGGAUCAAGUUUCAAUACGGUAGCAAAACCUCUGACAGAAAAAAUACCUAUAAUUAGAUUCUUGGAUUGUUAGAUAUUUAGGCAAUUUCUAUAUCAUUUUAAUUCCAUAAAUCAAUAUUAUGAUGAUGACAUAUAUAAUAUAAUUAAUCAUAGAAAUCAUGAUAUUAAACAUGUUCAUAGGAAUAUAGAACAUGUGAUCUAUGAACAUAUAGAACAUGUGAUUAUUAAAAAUAUAAAAGUAUAAUAUAUAAAAUAUAAUAACAAGGCAAGACAUAUAUCUUAAAAUAGCAAUAAACAAGAGACUGCGCGUUAAACGACAAAAUAGAAUUACUGAAACAUGUGAGAAUGUGAGAAACAGUAUAUCAAACGACGUGACUGAACCACUACUGAAACAUAGAGACAGCAACAUAUGAAACGUUUUAACUUAACCAACGAAACAAGCAGACAUGACAUAGAUCUUACAACAGAAAUAUAUAUAAGAUAAAAACAGAAAAGACAUGAUAGAAUAUACGAAACAUAUCCAGAAUAGUAUGCGCAACAAUAUAAAUACACUACUGCAACAUGUAUGGAUAGGAAGACAAAACACAGUAGAAAGAUGAACGGAUUAUACCCUCCCAUGUGCUCCGAUGAUCCCGAUCCUUGACCAAUUUCCAUGAUGUAGAGGACGAAGACAAUCUUUCCACCGAGAAGAAAAAAUCCGCCCGAACCAGCUUGAGGAAGACGAACAGCAGCGAUGGAUUGGCCAGUCGCGUAGUCGCUCUGUAACACCCAAAAUUUGGCUCUUUUAAAAAUAGAUGAAUUUGACUUUAUUAAAUAAUUUUGUGAGCAUUUUCAAUAAAAUAAUAAUUUUUGGGGAAUUAAAAUUUAAUGUAGGUUUAGAAAAGAUUUUGUUGCAUACAUGCUGGUGCAAUUUUACUGUGAUGAUUGUUUUAAAAACAAAAUGUCUUUUGCUCAAAAAUUCAUUUGGGAAAAUGCAAGUGGAAAAAUGUAUUUAAAAAAAAAGAAAAAGAAAAUGGAAUUUUCCUUUCCCCCUCUUCCCCUCUCGGCCUUUCGGCCCAACCCCUCCCCCGCGCUCUUCUCUUCCUGGGCCGCGGCCCAGCCGGCCAGUUUCCUCCCUUCCCCUCUCUCUCUCACGCGCUGGCAAGUGGGGCCCGCUUGUCAGCUCCUUCCCCUCCAAACUGCCCCCUCCUUCUCUCCUUUCUCUACAACCGCCAGCCGAGCCGAAGCCCCACUCCCGCUCCCACGUUCUCUCCCCCGCGCCUCGCCCUCUUUGGUCGCGCCCGCGCACGAGCCGCAAACCCCACACCCCCUUUUCGCUCUUCCCUCGCACCCGCUCCCACUCGCAGAGCGCAUAAACCACCGUCGGAGCGCCGCCGCGAUCCACCGCCCGCUGUCCGGCCGAAUCGAGCCAUUUUCGCUCCAAUUCUUCGCGCUGGUGAGCUCUACUCCUUCCCCGCGUUCUUCUCAAUCAAAUUUCAUGCAAUUUGGUGCCUCCUAGCGUCCUAGCCAUGAGCUCCGAGGAGCCGGCCAUGGCGCCACCGCGGUCCGCGCUGCGCGGACGUUUCUCCGGCCGCGCAAAGGCUAGGAUUGGAUUCGCCGCGACCUCCUCUCUCUCCCGGUGUUUUUGCUUCGCGAAACCGAGCUCCGUAGCGCUCUGUAGGUUUUCUCCGGCGAUCUCGGGCCGGCCGGCCAUGGAGCGCCGCCGUCUCCUCUUCCCCCUCCGGCCGGCAUCUCUUGUCCCCCCCCCCCCGAUCUAAUCGUGAGCGUCCGUUUUCAAUCCGAUGGCCAGGAGCGCUCCAUACCCCUUCGGGUGGAUAUUUUGCUAAAGAGUCCUUUUGAAUUUAGGAAAUAAAACCCGCAGUCCAUGCCGCUUUGCAGGAAAUACGCUUCCCUUUUGGAGAAGCGUAAAGUCUCGGUUUGAAUCAGAAUACGUUUUCAGUAUUUACAGUUUUGCCACUGAGAUUGUUUAGCUCAUAAAAUAUUCAUUUUAACUCCGAUUUGACCUGUUCAAAUUGCGUUAGGUUCGUCUUUGCGAGCUCUACAUGUUAGUAACCUGGUUUCACCAAUUUGAAACAUUUUAAUUUCGUGACCCUAUUUAAUUAUUUACUUUUCUAAAGAAAAUGUUAGAAAAUUCAUAUCUUCUCCGUUUUAGCUCCGAUUCGAUCCGUUCAAGUUGCGUUAGUUUUAUAAUCUCAUAAGCUUCGCGUUGGUACCUUUGUUGGCUAGAUUCACCACUAUUAGAUUCCCUAGUUAAUUACAAGUCCGUAAACUCCUGUUGAAAUCUCGUUAAAAGCGUAACUUUCGCGUCGUAACUUCGUUUUCCGUGAAUUUCCCGUUGACGUGAUCGUAGCAGCGUGUAGAUGAUUUUGGAAAACUUUUAUUUACAUUUAUUUACUGCUGGUGUACUGUUCUAAUUGUAAUCUUGUUUGCUUCGUGUAUGUCUGUCCCCGAUUGCUUGUGUGUUGAUGAUUGGUGACCGAGUUUAGUCAGUGGGCAUUACUUCGGUGGUCAAGAUCAGAGCCGUGGAAGCAAGUAAAAUCAGCAGGACCAGCAGGAGCAAUUGGAUCAAGGCAAGUAUAGCAUUUGGGUUUUAAUUCUAUGACCAUGAUUUUGUGACUAGAUUAAUAUUAAGCAGCAAAUGAUAAUAAUGACUUUUUAGCAACUUGAGGACUUAUUCGUAAGUGAUAACCGGGAUGAAAGUGCAACCAUGAGGGCUAUAAUGGCUCUGGCUUUAGUCAAGUAUGAGUAAUUUUUCUAGCUUGUUAGAGGUUACCCGUGUGGCGCAAAUGGGGGAUAGCAGACCGUGGAUUCCCUGCGAGUGGUAGAAUCACACGGACUGACUAACGAAACCAAGCGGCCCUAACUUGUUAGACGAACCUUUGAAAGACUUCAUAGUGAUCUCUGCCGACCUACCUUGGUAGUGGGUUACGAGGCUGAUCACCUCAGGCGAAAGGGUAAAUCAUGACUCAUGGGUAAAGAUGUACAACCUCUGCAGAGUGUUAAAAACUGGUAUACUAGCCGUGCUCACGGUCACGAGCGGCCUUGGGAACUCUUACAUUAAGGGUGAUGAAUCUUGUGUUAAGAAACUCAUUGAUUAUUGUUUAAUGCUCUAUAUUAUUUAUGUCACAUUGAUCAUGAGAUUGUGGGAUCUAUACAAUCUAGUUGUUAUACUUGCGGAGUUCGUCAUGGACUCACUCUUGCUAUCUCCCCCACACCUCAGGAGAAGUUUUAGGCUUGUGAUCAACCAGUCAGUUGGAUCCAGUAGAGUGAGGUUAACACCCGAAGUUUGGAGUUCUCUUCUGUGUUUGCUGCCCAAGGUUGUUUCUAAUUUAUUAUCUACGCUAUAUAACUUAUGCGUUGUCCUUUGAUAUUACCCCUUAUUUGUAGCUAUAUGUGAGGCUUGUCUUCUAAAACUCACAUAUGGUGCAUAUCUGAUUUUGUUCUUAAAAUCGGGUGUUACAAAGUGGUAUCAAAGCAAUGCUGACUGUAGGACGCAAGCCUAGUUAGAACCGGACGUUUUAGGAUGCUUCUAUCUCUGCUGACUUCUUGCUUUCACCUUAACCUUGAUAAUUGCUAAAAAUUAUGCUUACCUCUACCCUAUUCUAUUAUAAAACUUUGUCUCUAUUCUAAGUCCAUGAACCUUGUCUAUUUAGAUGGUUCAUAACAAGGAGACCUUUGGCAUGAAUGAACAAAAGGACUCAGAAAUGCCACUCGUAAAAGCAUUCGACAAAGAGAAGCUUCUAGCCAUGCGAAAGCAAGUAGUGGAAGGAAUGACUCAGAUUGGGAACUCUCAACAGUGCAUCUCAGGACCAGUGAAGAGACAAGUAGCAGAAGCUUGGAAAAAUAUAAGAACCCAUGGAGGUGCUGGUAGUAAUACAUCAGGAUAUCAUGAUCAAUGCCAUUGUUGUAGGCAUUAUGGUCUUCCUUGUCGUCGGAAUAGGUCAUUUAAAAAGGAAGCUAAGGUAAAACCAAAUUGUGGGACUAAUGAGGAUAAGAAGAGGAAGGCAAAAUAACUAGAUCCAGCAUUGGGAAGUGAACAACAUUCAAAUCCUAUGUUGUCACAUUUAGCUUUGAACUCUGGCCAUGAAAAUCCAAACCUUGGAGAUGAAGAAACUUCUCAAGCUAACCCCACUGCUCAUGAGGUAUGCAUAGAUGGAUGGACCUUUACUUAUAAAGAGUAUCAACCUCGAAGGAUCAACCAAGUUAGGAAGAAAGCUAGCCAACCAGAGACAAACCUUCAGAGUCAGCAAACUGAUAACACACCGAGCAACACCUCAGUGGAAAAUCAUAUCACGAAGGAUCCAGCUAAGAAAAAGUGUUAUCACUGCCGACAGGAAGGACACUAUGUAAAGUCUUGUCCACAGAAGAACCAACAGUAGUAUCAUGAAAGAAGCCACACUGAGUUUAAGAUAUAGGAGUUUGUGCCCUUGUGUAAUAAAAACGGUAGCAGCGAAAGUCAAGUUUGUGUGCCUUGUGAAACUUUACUGCUUGGUUGAAUUGUCUUUAUGUUUAUGUUUGCUUUGGAUCUUUGUAAUGACUGUAAAGAUCUUGUGAGUUUCUUCACAAUUUCAUUUAGUUUAUAUGUCUAAGGCAUAAGGAUUAAUGACAUAAAUAGUUGGGUUUUGGUUUUUCUCUUGUUACCUUAUCGUGCCUUUCUAGAGUAUCUCAUCUUUAUCGGCUUAUGUCUUUGAUCUUGGAUGAAUAAAAAUCAUGAUAAAAUUCUGGAUGAGAGUGGACUUCAAGAUCUUUCUCUGACCGUAAGAAUCACCCUCAUAGCUAUUAUGGUUUGGAAGGUACAAAAAUCACAAGACGAUACAGAUGUCCUGUCAAGAAUCUGGACCAGUUUUGGUUGCCUGCUGUUUUGGACAAAUAUAACUAUAGACUUUGGAAAAGUGUUCUAUAGCAAAGUUUUAGGUAAGUUUCUAAGCUUUCUAACGGUAUAAGCUAUAACCCUAUUGGGUUACAGAACAAGAGUUAUGUCCAUUUUACUGCGCUGGUGAUUUUCAUAUCGCGAGGAAAAUCAGGAUAUUUGUUUCAUCCUUGCACAUAAGUUCCUUGGGAUGUCAAAAAGGUCUCAAUGCAAGAUAACUUGUCAAAAAAAAUGCAAGCUACCUUCCUUGUGCCUCCUAGUCGACCUUUCUUAAGGGGGUAGUACCUUGGUAUCACGGGUUGAUGCAUUUUCAACUUAUCUUGACGUGAGAGUUGUCUCGUGAGAUAUUCUAUGAAUAUGAUCAUCUCUCCUUCUCGUGUCAUUGACGUUGGUCACUUGAUGACAGGGAGUGUAGUAUCCCUUGGAUCAAGAGUCCUAUAUGAUGCCUCUUACUGAUACGUGGGAAGAGAAUGAUGAUCCUACCCUUGAAGAAUGUUAUGGGUAUGAUGAAACUGAGUACUAUCAAAAUAAUGAUACUGAAGAGCAAGUUGGAAGUGAAUCAAAUCAGAAUCCACAACGGCGAAGGAGAAAAAGGAAAAGUCGUAAGAAGUCUGCUCAUGGAAGUAAGGUGCAACAAGACUAUAUUAAUGGAAGACUGAGCAAUGUGGAUAGGCAUAACAUUCAUGGAGCUACCAAAGUGGUUGGUGGCUAUAUUCAAGUAGACUCAGUGCUAGUUUUUGCUCUGUUUGACCCAAGUGCUUCGCAUUCUUUCAUUUCCACCGACCUCGUGAAGACAAUCAAGAGGGUGAAGAGCCCAACGAGGAAGCCUUUGUUAGUUCAAACCUCAGUGGGAGAAAUACAAGCAGAUCAGGUGUGCUCAAAUAUCAAUCUGGUCAUAAACAAGGAAAACUUCAGUGUAAACCUCAUUGUGUUAGAGUCACUUGGUAUUCCCUUGGUCCUUGGUAAUGGAUGGUUAUGUGCACACAAAGGAGUGAUCUAUGGUACCCAGUACAAAAUGCUUUUAACAGCACCGUCAGGGAAAAGAAUUGAGUAUCACGGUGGUCCACUCCUACCUGAUGAGGCAAAUGCAUAUUAAGUUUUCAUGUCUCUUGGAGUUGUAAACAAAAAGAAAUUAGUAGUCAAGAUGGACUUUGGUCAACUUAUGAAUAAUAGUUAUUUAGUGGAAAUAUUGUUCACGAGAUGUGACCUUGAGGUAUAAGUGUUUAAGUUUGGUAUGCAAGUUGUGAAGUUGAAAGGAUUAUCAAGAUAAUUUCCUGUUUCUCUCAAAGGAUCUGAGCCUCUUCCGAAUCUCGAGGACGAGAUUCAUUUUAAGGGGGGUAGAAUUGUAACACCCAAAAUUUGGCUCUUUUAAAAAUAGAUGAAUUUGACUUUAUUAAAUAAUUUUGUGAGCAUUUUCAAUAAAAUAAUAAUUUUUGGGGAAUUAAAAUUUAAUGUAGGUUUAGAAAAGAUUUUGUUGCAUACAUGCUGGUGCAAUUUUACUGUGAUGAUUGUUUUAAAAACAAAAUGUCUUUUGCUCAAAAAUUCAUUUGGGAAAAUGCAAGUGGAAAAAUGUAUUUAAAAAAAAGAAAAAGAAAAUGGAAUUUUCCUUUCCCCCUCUUCCCCUCUCGGCCUUUCGGCCCAACCCCUCCCCCGCGCUCUUCUCUUCCUGGGCCGCGGCCCAGCCGGCCAGUUUCCUCCCUUCCCCUCUCUCUCUCACGCGAUGGCAAGUGGGGCCCGCUUGUCAGCUCCUUCCCCUCCAAACUGCCCCCUCCUUCUCUCCUUUCUCUGCAACCUCCAGCCGAGCCGAAGCCCCACUCCCGCUCCCACGUUCUCUCCCCCGCGCCUCGCCCUCUUUGGUCGCGCCCGCGCACGAAUCGAGCCAUUUUCGCUCCAAUUCUUCGCGCUGGUGAGCUCUACUCCUUCCCCGCGUUCUUCUCAAUCAAAUUUCAUGCGAUUUGGUGCCUCCUAGCAUCCUAGCCAUGAGCUCCGAGGAGCCGGCCAUGGCGCCACCGCGGUCCGCGCUGCGCGGACGUUUCUCCGGCCGCGCAAAGGCUAGGAUUGGAUUCGCCGCGACCUCCUCUCUCUCCCGGUGUUUUUGCUUCGCGAAACCGAGCUCCGUAGCGCUCUGUAGGUUUUCUCCGGCGAUCUCAGGCCGGCCGGCCAUGGAGCGCCGCCGUCUCCUCUUCCCCCUCCGGCCGGCAUCUCCUGUCCCCCCCCCGCCCCCGAUCUAAUCGUGAGCGUCCGUUUUCAAUCCGAUGGCCAGGAGCGCUCCAUACCCCUUCGGGUGGAUAUUUUGCUAAAGAGUCCUUUUGAAUUUAGGAAAUAAAACCCGCAGUCCACGCCGCUUUGCAGGAAAUACGCUUCCCUUUUGGAGAAGCGUAAAGUCUCGGUUUGAAUCAGAAUACGUUUUCAGUAUUUACAGUUUUGCCACUGAGAUUGUUUAGCUCAUAAAAUAUUCAUUUUAACUCCGAUUUGACCCGUUCAAAUUGCGUUAGGUUCGUCUUUACGAGCUCUACAUGUUAGUAACCUGGUUUCACCAAUUUGAAACAUUUUAAUUUCGUGACCCUAUUUAAUUAUUUACUUUUCUAAAGAAAAUGUUAGAAAAUUCAUAUCUUCUCCGUUUUAGCUCCGAUUCGAUCUGUUCAAGUUGCGUUAGUUUUAUAAUCUCAUAAGCUUCGCGUUGGUACCUUUGUUGGCUAGAUUCACCACUAUUAGAUUCCCUAGUUAAUUACAAGUCCGUAAACUGCUGUUGAAAUCCCGUUAAAAGCGUAACUUUCGCGUCGUAACUUCGUUUUCCGUGAAUUUCCCGUUGACGUGAUCGUAGCAGCGUGUAGAUGAUUUUGGAAAACUUUUAUUUACAUUUAUUUACUGCUGGUGUACUGUUCUAAUUGUAAUCUUAUUUGCUUCGUGUAUGUCUGUCCCCGAUUGCUUGUGUGUUGAUGAUUGGUGACCGAGUUUAGUCAGUGGGCAUUACUUCGGUGGUCAAGAUCAGAGCCGUGGAAGCAAGUAAAAUCAGCAGGACCAGCAGGAGCAAAUGGAUCAAGGCAAGUAUAGCAUUUGGGUUUUAAUUCUAUGACCAUGAUUUUGUGACUAGAUUAAUAUUAAGCAGCAAAUGAUAAUAAUGACUUUUUAGCAACUUGAGGACUUAUACGUAAGUGAUAACCGGGAUGAAAGUGCAACCAUGAGGGCUAUAAUGGCUCUGGCUUUAGUCAAGUAUGAGUAAUUUUUCUAGCUUGUUAGAGGUUACCCGUGUGGCGCAAAUGGGGGAUAGCAGACCGUGGAUUCCCUGCGAGUGGUAGAAUCACACGGACUGACUAACGAAACCAAGCGGCCCUAACUUGUUAGACGAACCUUUGAAAGACUUCAUAGUGAUCUCUGCCGACCUACCUUGGUAGUGGGUUACGAGGCUGAUCACCUCAGGCGAAAUGGUAAAUCAUGACUCAUGGGUAAAGAUGUACAACCUCUGCAGAGUGUUAAAAACUGGUAUACUAGCCGUGCUCACGGUCACGAGCGGCCUUGGGAACUCUUACAUUAAGGGUGAUGAAUCUUGCGUUAAGAAACUCAUUGAUUAUUGUUUAAUGCUCUAUAUUAUUUAUGUCACAUUGAUCAUGAGAUUGUGGGAUCUAUACAAUCUAGUUGUUAUACUUGCGGAGUUCGUCAUGGACUCACUCUUGCUAUCUCCCCCACACCUCAGGAGAAGUUUUAGGCUUGUGAUCAACCAGUCAGUUGGAUCCUGUAGAGUGAGGUUAACACCCGAAGUUUGGAGUUCUCUUCCGUGUUUGCUGCCCAAGGUUGUUUCUAAUUUAUUAUCUACGCUAUAUAACUUAUGUGUUGUCCUUUGAUAUUACCCCUUAUUUGUAGCUAUAUGUGAGGCUUGUCUUCUAAAACUCACAUAUGGUGCAUAUCUGAUUUUGUUCUUAAAAUCGGGUGUUACACGCUCCCCAAAAACCUAAUUGCUGAUCCCUCGUGAAAGGUCUCGAACGACAAGAGCUUCGGAGGCACCUGCCCUCUCGCUCCUCCGUGCGCGUGGAGUUACGAGAUGGGGGUUCCUUCUUUGUAACAGAAUUGUGUUCUGAGUUGUGUGUUGUGUGUGUACAAGACCAAAGGCUCAUGUCCUCUUUAUAGCCUUGCCGCAGGAGAUGGAGGAGAGGAAGGGAUGACAGCCGAAGAGACAUCAAUUGGUGAGUUAAACACGAAGUUGAAACUCCUAUAAUUAGUGAGUGCUAAAACUUAACACACCACAUCACUACACCGCAUGUCUGCCUGCUUGGCUCCCCUUGCCUCGCCAUGUCCGGUACAACUCGUAUUAUUCACAAUUACAUACCAUAGAGUUUAUUUGAUUUAUUAAAUCUAAUUGAGCCUAGCCCAAAAUAAAUCCAACAGUUUCGUUGAGAGUGUUAAAGUUUAACACGUACGGUAGCAUUUUCGUCUUAUUUGACCAAUAAUGUUUAAUCAUGGACUAGUUAUGCUUAAAAGAUUCGUCUCGCAAAUUACACUCUAGCCGUGUUUUUAAUUUCAUAAAUAGUCUAUAUUUAGUACUCCAUGCAUGUGUACCAACUUUCGAUGUGACGGUCGAUAAACUUUACUGGCGCCAACCAAAUGGGGCCUAAGUGUUGAGUCUAUUAGACUGUUCGAUGAGUGAGAUCGGACCGUCAGAUAACUCAUGUAGGUUUUUUAGAUUCUCGUCACAUUGAAUCUUUAGACAUAUUCAUGGAGUAUUAAAUAUAGGCGAAAAUAAAAAAUAAUUGCACAGUUUGGUCAGAAUUGACGAGACGAAUCUUUUGAGCCUAAUUAGUCCAUGAUUGGACAAUAUUUGUCAAAUACAAAUGAAUGUGCUACAGUGUUGAUUUUCUAAAAAAUUUUGGAACUAAACAAGAAGUUGAAUAGGGAUUGAAUUGUUCGAAAAGUCACAGUGUGGGUGUUCUAAGGAAUUUCGUGGGUGAAAAGCGCAUCUAUGGUUUUUUGGAGGUAAAAGGUUUCGUGUUGGGUUAGCAGGUGAGGCCUAUAAAUGAGAUUCCAUGUAUAUGUAUGAAUGACAUGAUGCAAUAAACAUGUUUCCUAGAUGUCACAUGCUAAAAGAAGGCUAACAGAAUUAGUUUCAUGAUUUUUGAAGUUCCAGAGAAGUAUCUGCAGUAUCUGCGCAUUUCGUAAGCAGGAAUGCAUUCACAGUAGUAGUUGAAAUUAUAAAUAUAGUUUUGGAGUCAAAAUUUUAGAUGAUAGAGAAUUUCAUAAGGAAACCAACAAAACUUAUUUCAUAAAUAUUGGAGUUAAAAGGAUUUUUACAAGAUCAUGCAUACAUCCGGGGUUUCUGUUGUGCGAGGAUGGACUGCUCGAUACAACACCAGAAACAACUACAGGAAAACUCUGGCCCUACCACUAUAGAAAAACUUGGCUUUGCCGACUGCUAGAAACUUUUACACCUGCCAACAGCAAAUAAGCAGUAAGCAAAGGAGUCUUUGCCAACUGUCCUCAUGUCCUGAGCUGUCGACCACUCUAAGCAGUCGACAAAGACGUCCUUUACCAACUGUCUUGCAGGUGGCAAAGAAAAGCUGGUGGUAAAGGUGGCUGGGGCCAAACGGCGCCCAUCGCCGUCCCUUUUGCUACCUGCCAGGUCGUCAAGCAGUCGGCAAAGAAAAAAUUUUUUAUUUUUGAAAUUUGAAUUUAACUUUUGGACAUUCGACGUCGUCACUUGCUUCAAACUUCCUCAAAUUUUUCCAUAGCCUCCACAUGCAAUAAGAGUGAACCUUAAAAACUUUCGUGAUUUUGUGACCCUUUUUGCUAUUUUUCAUUAAUUAAUUUCUUUUAAUUGUAUUUUCCACCGCAGAAUCCUACUUUGAACUGUAGGUGCAUGAAAUAAUGAAACUUAGCCAUUCGAAAAAUGAUGUUCAUGUUGGAGAGUCUAUUUUAAGGUUGUGUCCAGAAAAUCACCCAAAAUUUUGACGUCCUUGUCCACGGAACAUGACCAUCCAGGUGUGGUAUAGGUGCUUUUUAAUUAUAUAAAAUUCAAACGAAGUCGAAAAAUUACGAAACGCCUCGAUCUGGCAGUUCACCGAGGCAGUUCGCAAGCGCCAUGGUGAGGCCUACGAUCCGGCCACCGAGCCCCUUGACACGGACGUCCUGAUGAGGACGGGAGGAGGGAAGCAGCACGGCCGGUACUUUCUUGCCCAUAGCGUAAUCGACCCGGUACCUUCGUGAGGUUCGUCGAUCGGACAACAUGACCUCCUUGGACGUCCCCAUACAACCUCAGCGGCCAAGCUCUACGCAGAUGAUGGCGGUGGUUCAGGUAACUAUUCGUCGUUCAUUGGUUUUACAUAUGUAGCUUUCCUUAUGCAUUGUUUAAACAUCACGCGUGUAAUACUGCAGUCCCAGCUGGGGCCAAGUUGCGGGCCCAAGAGGAGGCCCAUCGGCAGCUCCUGGCGGCCCAGCAGGAGGCCCAUCGGCGGUAGUUGGAGGCUAUCCAGGACAACUCGGCACGUUAGAUGAAAGAGUUUGCCAGCUUCUUUCAAGGCCUGGAGAUUCCUGGUUUCAGAUGUCCUCCGUUGCCUCCCGUGAUCUUUGCUCCACCCCAUGUUCUCGCUCCACCCCUGUUCCUAGCCCUUUAUAGACUCCAGUGAGUUUCUAACAGUCUGUCUAUUGUGUUCGCUUAUACGGCCAUCUCACAGGUACUAAUGAGAUCGCUUCUCCUCUGUGCAACCACUAUCGACGAGUUCAAACCCGACUCCACAUGGCCUUUCUCCAGGCUAGGUAGGACAAGGUAGCGUUGCUCCUAGAUACCCUUAUCAGUGUAACGNNNNNNNNNNNNNNNNNNNNNNNNNNNNNNNNNNNNNNNNNNNNNNNNNNNNNNNNNNNNNNNNNNNNNNNNNNNNNNNNNNNNNNNNNNNNNNNNNNNNNNNNNNNNNNNNNNNNNNNNNNNNNNNNNNNNNNNNNNNNNNNNNNNNNNNNNNNNNNNNNNNNNNNNNNNNNNNNNNNNNNNNNNNNNNNNNNNNNNNNNNNNNNNNNNNNNNNNNNNNNNNNNNNNNNNNNNNNNNNNNNNNNNNNNNNNNNNNNNNNNNNNNNNNNNNNNNNNNNNNNNNNUGUGUGCUAUAUAUGUGGAUUUAUGUGAUAUAUAUGUAGAUCUGUGUGAUAUAUGUGAAUUCCAGUAAUAUAAUCAUAUUUGUGAUUUGAUUGGUGUGAUGCAAAACAGAAAAAACAGACCAAAAUUUUACUUAUUCCAGCUUUGCCACCUGCCACGUGGAAAACAGGUGACAAAGCUAGAAUCUCAUCAACCAUGGCAGCUUUGUCACCUGCCAAUAAAGGUACUCGGCAAAGAAUCCUUUGCCACCUGCCAAUAAAGGUUGUCGGCAAAGAAUCUCUGUUUUGCCACCUGCCCAUCAAGACAGUCGGCAAAGAAAUUCUGUUAUAAAAAAAUUAAGAAAAGCCUUUGCCGACUGUCGUGUGUCAGUCGGCAAACGGAACGCGCUCCGUCAUCUCACAAUGGUGUACGUCUCCUUUGCCGACUGCCAUAUUGACAUAUGGCAAAGGCUUUGUCGACUACUUUUCACUUGGUAGGCCGCAAAGGUUUCUUCGCCAAUGAAUUUUUUGCGACGUUUUCUUUGCCAAUUGUCACAUGAAAAGUACUCGGCAAAACCUUUGCCAUCUAUUUUAGAGUCUUUACCGACUGCUUUUGGCAGUCUGACAAAGAGGGGCGUUCCAGCAGUGUACCUCUUGGAUUGUUCGUCGGGACACUCUCCGAGGACGUAAGGAGGCCGUCAGAAGUGAUUUUGGGCGCCUUUGUGGCUUUAGAUCUUUCCAUCUCUAAAGGUAAGGGUACUUUUAUAGGCAAGUAAAAAUAACAGUCGCCUCUAAAAUAGUUUUGUAGAGACAAGUUGUUUCGGAAAUCAUUUAGAGACUUUUAGAUAGUCACACCUCUACUAAAAAAUAAAAAAAUCAACUAUGUACCAGUGUCGUAAGAAAAAGAAACCAACUAAAGAGGGAACUAGCGAGAUAAAUUUAUAUGAAGAAGAAAUUAAAUAAGAAGAUUAAUUGGAGUUAGUCUCAAGGAGUACUCCAACCUUUGAUUUUCUUGAUUCUCCUAGUUUUUUAUACUAAAAGAUUAGGUAAUCCCAAUUUCAAACAACCCUGUUUAGAAGAAGCCACCCAAUUUAUGAAGAGGUUAUAAGCUAGCUCCAGCAGCUAUUGCAGCUUUUCAAAAUCUUCGAAGGAUCCACACAGAGACUUCUCAAAUCAAGGAACAUAUAUGAAUGAAUACUCUAAAUAGCAGCAUACGUACACCUUGUAAUCACCAUGUAUUCUUCAGUUAAACAUGACAUAAGAACUUCGUUAAGCUUGGGUUGUCAAACAUCUCACACCGCUCGAACAAUCCUUACUGACACCAAGAUAUUCAGGUUGGACACAGUAUCAUAAUAGCGUGUGUUCUUAUCCUGAAAAUGCACACACCUGGCACCCCAUAGCCCACGACACGUCACCGAGCCAGUUAUACCCCACUCAAUCGAUCUAAAGAAGUGAUAUCUAUACAUGUAUCUGGACCCUAAAAUACUUGCAAUGUUAACAUGUUAAUUACUUCAACCCGAUGCGUACAGUCAGCUCUUGCUUUAGUUUAUCAACAAUAAUGGAGAGGUGACCAAGAAUGACGACUAUUAGUAUAUAUGUCAUACUACGUAUAAUAUAUAUGUACACUAAACGAUUACACUACUACUUAUAGGGUAUUUAAUCUAGCGUUCUACAGCUUGCCACGUAAGUAAGAUGUUAUUUUUGCAACAGAGAACACCAUGCAUGAUGCAUGCACAUAUAUAUCUAUGUAAAAAUAGUCGUUGUUAAUUGGCAAUAUGUUGUCAUCAGAUACAGGAUGACCUCACUGAUAUAUAUUUUUAGUUUACCAGGCUAUUUUUUAUACACCGACAGCGUAGUAGUGAUAUGUGUCCCUGUCAAUGGUUCUUAACCAUGUUCGUGGUUUUUUUAAUGGGCGGGUGUAACACACAGAACAUACACCACAAUGUAUGGAGCGUUACCGUACUACACGCUUCAACACGUAUAGUUAAAUAAAAGAUUAAAAUUAAAACAGCAACAACAUUAUCUUAAAUAGACUACGUGAAAGCCAAGUGCAAUCUAAAUUGAAUAACAAAAUAAGGGCCAUUUGGCAGAGCGUCUCCACCGGCUCCACUAAUAACAAGCUUUAACAACUCUUCCACCAUAACGUUCAAGACUGAAGCAACUUUACCUAAGACUAUCUCCAACAAUCGUCACCAAAAAUAAAAGAUCCAUUUGUCCUUGGUAACACUACAAGUAAAAGGUUUCAUAAAUAUUUUUAGUUUUCUCCAACAACAAUACCUAAAAGAUAACACUCUCUCUAAAUGGGUCUUGAGGAGAGAGGAUACCUAAAUUUGGAAAUUUGGGUUAUGCCUCUCUUGAUACCCAAAAUGGGUCUUCUAUAUGGAUACUCUAUUAGAGGUAUAGGUAUUAUGUUGAAGACUCAUUUUGGAUUUGGAUUCCAAAUAGAUCUCCUAUUAGAGACAGCCUAAGGAGCUUCACCUAGCUCUCAUUCAUGUCGGCUCAUCAUGUGGUCCGAUCUGUAUCAUCGCUAUACCAUAACAAAUAUUUUAGGAGAUAUGUCAGGCAGGCAUAAAUUUUACAUGUGCCUUUUAAAAUAACUAAUGAUUUACAGAGGUAGUCAUUUUAUUUAUGGAUACACUAAAAAGUUACCGGCCUCUCAAAAUAAUUUACCGAGGCUGUCAUUUUACUUACAGGGGCACUCGAAAUGCCCGCCCCUGAAAAUCCGUCUCUGUAAAUAUAUUUUUAGAGGUAGGUAUUUUUUAUUAUAUCUGUAAGUAAAAUCGACCAUCUUCGUCAAUCAAUUUUGAGAGGCAGACAACUUUUGAGUCUAUUUGCAAAUAAAAUGACCGCCUCCAUGUUGGGUAUUUUAAACGCAAACAGAAAAAUCCACAAGCGCACGGAUACCGAUGUAGCUUUCACCCGGGAGUAUUCCAGAGUAUCGAUUUUCCACAGAGAACGUGAGUGUACUAAUUAAGAUCCAAGAUCGCCCAAGGAUAAUUAUUUUUGGUGGGAAGAGAGGAAGUUUCCUGAGAGUUCUCUAGUUGAUCUAAGAAUCAAGAAUUACUUCAAGAUUAUCUAUUUCGGGACAUCAGAACACUAACCACAGAAAGAGAUGAUAAGGGGGCUAGGAAGCUCCGACUACGGUCCUACAAACACCGAUCCGAACGAGGUGGAAUACGUCGACCGAUAGGGCUGUCACUACCCUAGGGCUACCACAACAAUCCGCAGGAUUGGGUGCAAUUCCAGGUAAUUGCAAGACUAAACACCACGUCUAAUUUGUUAAUUACUACUCUAAUGUUUUAAAGAUUAGAGCACUUGAUGCAAGCGGGAAUCCAAUAAAUAACUUGAAUGUAAAUAAAAGUAAUUAGAGAACUCAGGAGUUAUGAAUUGAAGAACCUGGAGAACGAUGAAGAACGAACCAGUUGCUGCAAAAGUACAAUGUUGAGGAAGAUCCGACAGAUCCGGCUUCUCCUCCUCUGCUCUCCUCUUCUCUCUCCCUAUUUUCUAGAUUACAACUAGAACUAACUAGAACUAGAACUAGAUGAACUAGAACUAGAUCUAGAUGAACUAGAGGUAGAACUAGAAGAACUAGAGGGAUCCUCUCUACUUGGAUGAAGAAUUAAAACCCUAACUUUGAUUCUGUAGAAGAGGUAUGAUCUCCAGGGGCCAGGGGGGUCUGGUUUUAUAGUCCCUUCAAGUGAAUCUGGGCCGUCGGAUCAAACCGACAUUGAUCGCACUGUUUUCCUUGAUCCUUUAGGUCGGUGGAGCGUUGUCCGCGAAACGUGACCGAAUUGGUCUCUGGAAGUGGGCGGGCGCCCAAGGGACUAGGGCGGGCGCCCUGUGCCUGAGCCCUCUCGGCCUCCGCUUCGGUCCCGUGGCUUCUGGAGUCUUCUAGAUGAUAGAAAAUUGCGCGGCACGUUAAUAUCUCUAUGUAAACCCGACGUGUGGGCCUUUCUUCCAUAUUUCCUGAUAACCCCCUGCAAAAAUAGACAAACACCAAAACUCGUGGAAUUCUGUCAGAUAAAACCCUAAGUCUAGGUGAUGGCUGCAUAUAAGUCCUUUUCCAUGAUUAGUUGAUGGUUAAAUGUGAGCAUUAAGGACCGUCAACAAGCUCCCCCAAGCUUAACCUUUGCUCGUCCCUGAGCAAAGAUGAACUCAAGAGUUUCCGCAGUGGUUUCAUAACUUAAAGAUACACAUGCGUUUAAAUAAGAUCUCAUCUGUGGGUUAGAGUAAACUGUUAAGACUUAAAACUUACUCAUUUACCUUUCACCAUGGGACUUGCAACCGUCACUUCUGUCUUGAGUAGUUAAAAGAUAGAACGGUCUAGUCAAGCACCAUGUCUCUUGUUCUUCGAUUAACUAUAGCUCUGGAGUUUUUGCAGAUUUUCAAAUAAAACUCAGAGAUUCCUUGUAUGACUCUCUAGUCUCUCUUUUGUGGUAUUUCUAGAUCCUUACCAAGGCAGUAAUGGUGUAUGCCUUCUCUCAAAGUAUGUGGUAUUUUUGGUAUGAGGCAUAGUGGUAUUGCCUUCUCUCUCACACUACUCUAAUAAGGUUUUGAUAUCUGGAGCUCAUAGGUGGGAGACAGCUAAUACAUACUUACAAGACAUUUAUUGCAUAGUCAAACCAUGGAUCCAGAAGAACAAGUCAAUAAGUCAAAUCAAGAUGUGCAUGUGUGGCGAAUGAAUGGUGUAUGGUAAUGAUGGUGAUAACAAUGGUGAAAGUCUAAUUCUACUUGUGCUCUUUUGAUGGGAUACAUACCUUUCUUGCACUUUGAAACUUUUUGAGGAGAAUGAGAUGCUCUAUAUUUUCUUUUUCUUUUCUCUCAGGUGGGUAUCUUGUACCCCUAAUUCUACUAUCGGACACUUGUCCAUUUUUACCUCUCGUCUCACUUUUUCUUUCUUUCGAGGUUCCGGGCACUUGCCCCUUUUUAUUUCCUCGCAUUCUUUCUCUUUUUUUUUCUUUCUUCUUUUUUUUAGAGCACUCAUCACCUGAAAUAAUAUAGCAAGUGGUAGUAACCAAGAUAACUUGAGCAUUUUUUUCACAGGGAAAAACAGAAAUAGGAGAAUGUUUUUGGCUAUUCUCUCCCGGAUUAGGAGUAGAAUAUUUUUGGGUGAAUCUGGAGAUGGAAAUGGGUGGAUAUAUGUGGAUGGUACUUCCGGAGUAGAAGUAGCAUGUGUGAGUGAACGUGCAAGUGAAUCUUGAUUUAACCACAUGACAAGCUCCUAAGGGUCUACACAACUUGACCACACUCAAUACUCAUAAGCAGUAAAAAGUUAAUGUGUGGUUCAUAGUCUAACAAGCAUGUAUAUAUGGCUGUGGUAGGAAUUAAAACUCUCAUCAUACAGGAACUCAUCAUGCAACAUUUUAAAGAUUUUCAAAGAUAAAAUUCUCCAGAAUUCUAGCAUCUCUAGGAAUAUAUAAACAGCAGCUCAACCUUCCCAUAUCAUAUCCGUUAACGACUUAGACUUUAGAUCAAGUACUCUCCCCACAAGUUCAGGUUUAGAGCAAAUCUUAAUUAAUACCAGUCAUGCCUAAACUUAAGAGAGAUUUCAAUUUUUAGAACUAAUCAUGGCAGAGCAACUAUUCAUCAUUUCCAUGUGAGAGCUUAUCACGAGGGUUCAUAGCAAAUUUUAUUUAUUUAUUUAUUUAGCAAACUAAGCAAAGAUAUAUAUAUAAGCACAAAAUCUUUGUUUGGGUUUUUAUGAUUAUGCAUCUUUUUAUUAUUUGAGUAAAAUAUAAACGUGAGUAGAAACACUUAGCUGGAUAAAUGGGGGUGCUCUCCCCCAAGCUGGAUUUUGACGUAGUUUCUUCUAAUGUAGCUAGCAAGUGGUGGAGGUGUAUUUGAAUGUCAGCAGUACCCUGACAGCGAUUAGGAUGUCCUCCGUCUGCUAGUCUUCUUUGAUCCUUGAAUUCUGUGGAGCUCAAAUAGACAACAAAGCUUUGUGAAACUGGUUAAGUGUUAGCAUAAAUAUCUAGCCUUUAUCAUGUUGAGCCUCCUCAAUAAAUGUUACUCAUUAGUCGGAUCAUAAUUUAAUUUUUAUAAUUUUAUUUUUAUAGGACAGGAAUAUAUUUAUUUCAUUUUUAUGCCACCACAGUGAAUGUACUUAUGGGUUUUAUGCCAUGAGCAUAUUCACAUGGGGCUUACUAUCUUCAACAUUUUUAUUUUCUUUUCAAGAUGAUGUGAACCUGAAUAACUAAGCAAACUAUUUUAAAUAAUUGAAAGAAAAAAAGAUAACUACCAAGUUUACCUCUUGGCAAGGCGUUCGGUGUUUUUAAGUCCUCCGAACGGGACUCUCCGUUUUCUCAUUCGUCCUGGGAUUCGUUGGAUGGCGUAGUCGGUGGUUCCGGUGGAGCCUCCUCUUCAUGUAUAACUAUCUUCUCUCUCCACACCUGACUCGGUGCUACGGUCUCCUCAGGACAGUUCUGUUCAAGCUGUAUGUCUUCAGACCUUACAACUUCUCCUUCAUAGUCUACCCAUCCGUCCUUGAUGAUUUGCCUCCUCUGGUUAUGGUUGUGUCGUCUUCUUCUUGUCCUGACCUGCUUAGAGUCUUCAACUAUAUAGUUAGGGUCAGUUAAAUAGCGGCGUACCUUCUCAGAGGGGAAGUUCAUGUGGACUUCUCCGGUUCCAAUGUAGAUGAUUGCUUUAACGGUGCUGAGGAACGGUCUUCCAAGGAUGACGGGUGGAUUGUACUCGUCUUCUCCCAUGUCAAUAACCUUUCGGGAUGUCUGAUCUGCCAUUUGGAGCUGAAUGUAUGUUGGUUUUAGGGGCAUGGUUCCGAAUAGGAGCUGAUAGGUGACUGCGGCCAUUAUGUUGACGCCUGACCCGAUGUCGCAAAGCAUCUUCUGGAAGUUGUAUCCAUUAGUGGAGCACUGGAUGCUUGGCAUACUUGGGUCGUCCUUUUUGGUCAGGAACGGUGACUUAAGUCGACGAUCUUGACCUCCUUGAACUGCAGUGACCAUCUUAGCUGACUCGGUCCACAUUUGCUUGUUCAUGUUCCUCCUGUUGGUCCUUUCCUUGGUUCAUGUCAGGAUUGCUCUGAGAUUUGUGUAAUCUUGUUCUUGAAGGAAAACGUCUCCUUCCUUCCCUUGAUGUAGAAACUGAUCUUGGCAGCAUUAGCGUAGAUGACAGCUCCUGAAGUGUUCAAGAAUGGCCUCCCUAGGAUGAUGGGUGCCCUCUCAUCAGUACCAGUCUCUAUCACCACGAAGUCUGCUGGAGCAUAUAAGGUACCAACUCAGACGUAGAGGUUCUUCAAUAUUCCCUUUGGGAAACUUAGUGUCUGAUCUGCAAGCCUGAGCAUAAUGUUGACGCUGGAGCCAAAGUUGCAGAGUGCUUCUAGGAAGUCCACCAUGGCGAUGGAGAUCGGGAUGACGGGACGUCCUGGAUUGUAUCUCUUGACCGGCAGAAGGUCAGUAAUUACUUUCACAACGGGGUUACUCCAGUAGUUACAUCCUCAAGCAUCUUAGGGCAGUGUUUGCAUGAGUGUCCAGUAUCUCCAAUGUGUUUGUGCUCAUAUAUCUAGGUUCUUCACUUGGUGGAGUCUGGGAGUUGUAAAACUCCUUCAUAUUUUGCUCGAAGUGUACCUACUCAUAGAGACAAGGCAGAGAUCAAGUGCAUGGGCCCUGUUGGUGGAAAUCACCAACAGAACCAAAAGUGUAUUUGUUCUUCUCUAACCUCAAGCAUAGUGAGCAAGACAAAGUUGAUGGAUAAUAUGAUCAUGAGUGUAGCAUUUAACAUUUGUCAGAUUAGAUUGCUCAACCUUAUGGAAAGAUAAUCUAUCUAUAUAUAUGUUUUGUUUAUAUCUUCUAAAGAUUGAGUGUGCAACAUUUUAGCUUAUAUGAUUAGGAGUUUGGGAUCACAAAGGUGGAAGGACUAAACAUGUUGAAUCGAUUAGGUUGGUUAAUCUAGAGUUGUAAAUCAUACAUGUUUGUCUCUUUUAUUCAUGUGAACGCCAGAAUCAAGGAGAAGCUUAUAGAAGUGAUAGUCGAAUACCUUAAGAUGUUACCUUACUUGAAGAGUGAUGGUACAGUAUCACUUUGUGGAAGCUUUCCUCUCUUAGCGGUUGUGCAUCGUGUUUGUGGCACCCUCCAUGGAUCAUCUCUUGUGAGCUAUGCCUGUGUCUCUCUCUUUGUCUCCAAUGUGAGUUUAUCUCAGGACUUCCCAAGUUGAUGUUGAAAGUUUUCUUUUUUUUCUGCAGGGGUUAGUCUGACAAAAUAUACCAAUGUCUACACAAGCAGUUUUUAGUUCAAUAACCAAACUAGACUCCAUGUCUAAUUAGAUUAAGGAAGGUUGUUUAACCUAAGCACCAUGCUUAAUUUAAAAACCAAUAGAAGUAUGUACAGUACUUCCAAACUAACACUUACUAGGAUAAACAAAGGUAGCGUGAUGGCUUUUAUAGAGAUGUACUCAAGUGGAGAUGAAGUAGUGUGAUUACUAUUUAACAAAUUGAGCAUGUCUCAAAGGUAGGGACAACCAACAUAGCAACAUGGCAAAUGAUGUUUUUAUAUAAAGUACUCCCCCAAGCUUGAAUUUUGCAAAAUUCAAGUUUGGAUGAAUUUAAUUCAAUGUUGUAUGAUGAUUGGUUGUACAUACCUUGUGCUUGUCAUUCAUCCGAUCUUCUUGCUCCAAUCCUAGAAAGGUUAGUGACAAGAAUACCCGAAGGAAUUUUUUUACAAUUAUCCUUAUAUGCUCAAUACACAAGGUAAUGUUGCAAAUAAUUAAAAGCUCAUGUUACGAUCUGAUCAGUGCUUAUUUUAGGACACUAAGCUUGUCCUUAGGAAACCCUCAAUUUAUGUCGGCGAAGUGGUUUCCCCUCCAACGCUGACCUAUAUCAAGAUCAACUCAACGAGAUCUGCAAAAUUUAUUAUAGACAUAUGCAUCGACAACCGCCCUUUUAAAGUUUUUAUAAAUAGAAAGGAAGUGGGGGUUGGAGAUCUCGAAUGUGGUGAUGUUGGAGAGACCAAUGGAUUGUGAAGAUGUUGCAUAUGAGCAUGGAGUAAAUGAAGUGGCUAUGAAAUAAAUUCCAUGCUCAUUAAUGCUUAGAGUGAAAUCCAUGUGGUAUGGUGAAAAUGGUAAGGUGAGUGUGGUAAAAAAGGAAAAGAAAAAGGAUACACAGACGACUUGGUUCGAAACUAGCACAGCUACCGUUCCCCGGCAAUGGCACCAGAAAGCUUGUUGGGUAUUUUAAACGCAAACAGAAAAAUCCGCAAGCGCACGGAUACCAAUAUAGCUUUCACCCGGGAGUAUUCUAGAGUAUCGAUUUUCCACAGAGAACGUGAGUGUACUAAUUAAGAUCCAAGAUCGCCCAAGGAUAAUUAUUUUUGGUGGGAAGAGAGGAAGUUUCCUGAGAGUUCUCUAGUUGAUCUAAGAAUCAAGAAUUACUUCAAGAUUAUCUAUUUCGGGACAUCAGAACACUAACCACAGAAAGAGAUGAGAAGGGGGCUAGGAAGCUCCGACUACGGUCCUACAAACACCGAUCCGAACGAGGUGGAAUACGUCGACCGAUAGGGCUGUCACUACCCUAGGGCUACCACAACAAUCCGCAGGAUUGGGUGCAAUUCCAGGUAAUUGCAAGACUAAACACCACGUCUAAUCUGUUAAUUACUACUCUAAUGUUUCAAAGAUUAGAGCACUUGAUGCAAGCGAGAAUCCAAUAAAUAACUUGAAUGUAAAUAAAAGUAAUUAGAGAACUCAGGAGUUAUGAAUUGAAGAACCUGGAGAACGAUGAAGAACGAACCAGUUGCUGCAAAAGUACAAUGUUGAGGAAGAUCCGACAGAUCCGGCUCCUCCUCCUCCGCUCUCCUCUUCUCUCUCCCUAUUUUCUAGAUUACAACUAGAACUAACUAGAAAUAGAACUAGAGGAACUAGAACUAGAACUAGAUGAACUAGAACUAGAUAUAGAUGAACUAGAGGUAGAACUAGAAGAACUAGAGGGAUCCUCUCUACUUGGAUGAAGAAUUGAAAUCCUAACUUUGAUUCUAUAGAAGAGGUAUGAUCUCCAGGGGCCAGGGGGGUCUGGUUUUAUAGUCCCUUCAAGUGAAUGUGGGCCGUCGGAUCAAACCGACAUUGAUCGCACGGUUUUCUUUGAUCUUUUAGGUCGGUGGAGCGUUGUCCGCGAAACGUGACCGAAUUGGUCUCUGGAAGUGGGCGGGCGCCCAAGGGACUAGGGCGGGCGCCCUGUGCCUGAGCCCUCUCGGCCUCCGCUUCGGUCCCGUGGCUUCUGGAGUCUUCUAGAUGAUAGAAAAUUGCGCGGCACGUUAAUAUCUCUAUGUAAACCCGACGUGUGGGCCUUUCUUCCAUAUUUCCUGAUAACCCCCUACAGAAAUAGACAAACACCAAAACUCGUGGAAUUCUGUCAGAUAAAACCCUAAGUCUAGGUGAUGGCUGCAUAUAAGUCCUUUUCCAUGAUUAGUUGAUGGUUAAAUGUGAGCAUUAAGGACCGUCAACACUCCAUAAAUUGUUAGGGUAUUUUGGGAGACAUGUAAAAUUUCUGCUCACCUCUAAGUAAAAAGGGCAUGUCUCCUAAACUCCUUUUUGGUAGUGAGAGAAAAACAACCACUACAAACAUUUUACCUUUUUCAACUGCAGGCGAAGCUGUUUUAACAAAUGUUUUUCUAGCCAAAGAAGCUAAAAGGCUAAUGCCAAAAAAAACUGUUUUAUGGAGAAGUCAUAACUGAGCGGUUUUAGUUAAAGUUGAAGCUACAUCAAACUCGUUGAUGACCACUAUAAGGUGGAUGGAUAAGGCUGCUACUGGGACACAAGGAUGAAUGCCUACUUCCAAUCUUCCACUAUAUCGACACACAUGACAUUAGACGUGCUACUCCAACUCUUUUUCGUUGUGCUGCUUUGUCUAGUUGUAACGUUGUAUGAUCUUUUUCUCGCAUGAUAUCUUGGUUAAACAUGGUAGAUUUACUAUCAUAGCACAUUUGUUCCCUAUAUAGAUAUCGACAUUACAAUCAAACUUACAUAUACCGUAUAAACCAUUGUCAAUGUCCUGAAUGCCAGAAAAUUAUGACAAAUAAAAGUAUCUUUUCUAUCACUCUUCGCUAUACAAAAUGAAAAGCAAAUUGCAUGAGAUAGAUCACUUAUACUCGCCAUACAUCCCCCAACCACCGAGUGCUCCACUAAUAAGGGUGACUCGGGAGGUCCCCUGUCGGCACCGCCCACCCUCACCACCUUGGCCUCCCCUCUGGCCAUCGCUGCCACCAUUCUCCGGCGCGCAGCGGCACGUCUAGCGGUGGAGCCCCUAAACCCUAAACCCCACCCCCACCCCACUUCCUGCUCUCUUUCAACUCCUAUGAGUUUGAGGCGGUUUUGGGACCUACAUGGCUGGAUCUCGCGAGCUCUACUCCGAAUCUAGUGAUUGUUGUGGUGCCUAGGCCAGGUCACUAGAUCUUGCGGCCAUGGCCCGCAUGGAGGCCACCACGGGCCCGACGGGCACCUGUUGGGCAUGAUGUGCACCAUGUAACACCCUAAAAUUUACUCCUUUUGAAAUAUAGAUAAAAUUAUUUAAUUUUGUAUUUUUUCUCUCAUAAAAAUAUAGGAAAAAUAAUAUUUUUUUUAUUAAAUUAAAAUUUAUCAUAAGGCUUAGCAAUAUUAUUAUGCAUACAUGCUGGUGUAUAUGUUUUGAUGUGAUGCUUGAUGCUCCUUUAUGUGUUGAGUGAGCAAAGUUUUUAAAAUGUGUUUAGUAGAUCGAUUUUCCUUGGUUAGUACAUCUUUAUCUUUAUCUACAACCAAAUUCCUUGUUUCUAAGCUCAAGUUUUUAUUAGGAGCUUCCAGAAAUCUUUUCUUUGUCACUCAAAGCACUUCUUUUAGUUCUUCGUCCAUCAAGCACUCUCUACAAAGUUUUCGGGAAUUUUUUUCACAUUCUGUUCUCACUUUUCUGUGAGCAUGAUCUAAUUUUUAGAUGCUCCAAUCAAUCUUCUCAUGAGCUCCAAAAGCUUUAUUUGGGUUCUUCAUGUUCCAUAAUGUCUCCGAGAAUUUUCCAUGAAUUUUCAGAGCUUUUGGAGUAUUUUCGCAGUGUAAAUAGUAAUUAUGGACUUUUCUAGGAUUAUUUUGUUGACAAAAAUAAUUAAUUCCGAAAAUAAUAAAUCCUUCAUUUUAUCUCAACGCUCAGCCCAUGAUUUCAAAGGCCAAAUGUUUUUUUUACUAAUGGGCUUUAAUAAUUAAUUAGGCCUAUUAGUAAAGAUGAAGGUUGCAAAUCAAUUAGUACCAUAUCGCUAGUUGACGUGGAGGUGGGGAGUUUCUCUCUACCAACCCCUUAAGCAAAGCACAUCAAAGACUAUCAUAUGGGAAGCCUCUAAUUUGAGAAUUCCUAAGGUAAUAAAAUAAAAUUUAUAUUUUUUUCUCUACAACGUGAUCGCCAUCGUCUCGCCUAUACACGACAUCUACGAACGGUCGGCUGCUCCGGCAUUGCUGUAGCUCCAAGAAAGCGUCACUGUCGGUGAACCUACUCCCUGUCCACCAAUGUAAGCCCCAAUCACUUUAUCUUUCAGUUUGGAAAAUACAAACGGCUCGAUUUUAGAUUAAAAAUACGUUUUCACUAUUUACAGAAUUGCCACUGACUUUCUUUUGGCCAUAAAAUAUUCAUCUUAACUCCAUUUUGACCCAUUCAAAUUACGUUGGAUUCGUUUAAAUGAGCUCUACAUGUUAGUAACAUUGUUUUCUCAGUUUGAAACUUUUUUAUUUUCGUGACCCUAAUUAAUUAAUUACUUUUCUAUAUAAAGUCUUAGAAAAUUCAUAACUUCUCCGUUUUAGCUCCGAUUUUCGUGAUCUUUACGUCUAUAAAAUCUUAGCGAUGCGUAGAAUCAUUUUAUAAACUUUUCAUACUGUUUUCACAUAUUUGGUGUACUGUUCUAAUUGUAGUCUUGUUUGCUUCGUGUAUGUUUUCUUCGAUUGUUUGUGUGAUCGAUGAUCGAGAUUAGACGAUGAGCAAUCCUUGGUGAACCAGAGUGCUUCAGUGAUCAAGAUCAGAGCCUUGGACAACUAGUAAGACCAGCAAGAGCAAUUGGAUUAAGGCAAGUAUAGCAUUUGGAUUUUAUUUCUGUGACCAUGAUCCUGUGACUAGAUUAAUGUUAAGUAAUAAAUGAUAAAAAUGACUUUUUAGCCACUUGAUGAUUUAUCUGUAAGUGAUAACCGGGACAACAGUGCAACUAUGAGGGCUAUAAUGGCUCUGGCUUUAGCUCAGUAUGAAGACCUUUUCUAGCUUGUUAGAGGUUACCCGAAAGGGCGGAGGGGCUGAACCGUUUUGGGUAUAGUGCGAGCCCCUGUCCUUAUAUGUAUAGACUGUGCGUCAUUGUGCCAUUUGGAAGGGGGGUAUCUAUAUCUGCGCGCAAAGGAAACCUUGCGGCCCUAACAUGUUAGACGAACUUUUGAAAGGCUUCAUAGUGAUCCCUGCCAACCUUCCUUGGUAGUGGAUUAAGAGGCUGAUCACCUCGGGCGAAAGGGUAAAUCAUGACUCAUGGGUAAAGAUGUACAACCUCUGCAGAGUGUUAAAAACUAGUAUACUAGCCGUGCUCACGGUCAAGAGCGGCCUUGGGGAUUCUUGCAUCGACGAUGAUGAUUCUUGUGUGUUAUAUAUGUUCAUUAUUUAUUAUUUAAUGCUCUACAUUAUUUAUGUCACAUUGAUCAUGAGACUGUGGGAUCUAUACAAUCUAGUCGCUAUACUUGUGGAGUUCGACAUGGACUCACUCUUGCAAUUUCCCCCACACCUCAGGAGAAGUUUUGGGCUUGUGAUCAACCAGUCAGUUGGAUCCUGUAGAGAGAAGUUAAUACCCGAAGUUCGGAGUUGUCUAUCCGCUGUUUGCUAUCAAGGUUAUGUCUUUUAUAUUAAGUACGUUAUAUAUUUAUGCAUUGUCUUUUGAUAUUACCCUUUAUUUGUAGCUAUAUGUGAGAUUUGACUUCUAAAACUCAUAUAUGGUGCGUAUCUGAUUUUGUCCUUAAAAUCGGGUAUUACACACCACUAGGGUGUGGCCUCUCCGGGGCCUAGGGAAGGCAGCGCAGGCUUGGCCUCCACUUCUACAGGGGCGACAACAGUAGCUAUGGUGGUUGUCAGUGGCGGCCAAGUCAUGCCAGAUCUGCAUCGCCCAUCCCCAGAUCUGCAUGGUAGCCGAAUGAGCUCAGCAGUUGGCUAGCGGGCUAGCAACAUUGUUUCUCAGCGAUGUCUGCACCAACCCAUGAUAGUCGAGGCCCGGUGCACAACGGCGCUCAGGCGCUCUAGGAGUGCUCGGCACCUAGUCUAGUAGCAGGAGACCUACCAACGGGCCGACCAAGCCCUCCACCCAUGGUGGGUCAGAUCCUCGGCUCCUUAUUAGCAUGGCAACGCUCGCCCUAUCAAGUGGUGGUGUUGACGCUGUGCUUGGGUGUUUACCUUGCUCGACUUCUUGAUGGGCUAGCGACGAUGGCGCAUUCUAUGUCAUAUCCCUUCGUGGAGGUAUCGUCGAAGCUGGUCUUCACUAGGGGUAACUUGGGCAGGUUCUAGGAUGAAAGUCUUGUGUGCUCUGUCAAUGAUGAUGGCGUCUUUACAAUGUCAUUCUGCUCCGUGGAGGCUUCGUUGGAGCACUCCUGCAGUUGUGCCUCUGCCUUCCAUUCUUACUGGUUGUGUUGGGCCUGAUUGUGUGUCAUGUUUUCUUCACAUUAGUUUGUCUAGUAGUUGAUUGGUGUUACCGCAGUUGUUUGUUGUGUAGCGGAUGCUUUGUCGCUAUCACUCUUCUUGGAUGAAUGCUUCAUCAUCAACUACCUAGGCGGAUGCUUUGCCGUUGAUGUCGUGAUGCCCUCUCCCCUAAGGCAGAUGCUUUGCUUCUAAGGACACGCAUUGUAGUAUAAUAUAAUCGAGGCGGUUAUGUUAGGACAACUGGCUUAGUUAAUAUUCGGUUAACUAAGGUGGUUACAUUACAAUGCCCGCCUCGAUUAGCCUAUUAAGUGAGGUGGGCCGCUGGCCCAACCGCCUUCGAGGGGGGUUUUUAAAACACCUCCCAAAAGUUUUUUUUAGUAGUGGCAUGAUGGCUAGGCUACAAUUCUUGUACGGUUGCUUCGCCGUCAUUGUUACUUAGGUGAAGGCUUUGCCGCUGAGGUUGUGGUGGCCUCCCAUAUGGCAGAUGCUUUGCUGCUAAGGGUGUGAUGGCCAAGUUAGAGUUGUAGCGGAUGCUUUGUCACCAUGGUCUCUUCUCUAGCGGAUGCUUUGCCGAUAUGCUUUGUCACCAUGGUCUCUUCUCUAGCGGAUGCUUUGCCGAUAUUGUCGUACUAGUGUCCUUGGCGGAUGCUUUUUCCGCAGAGUUUAAGCCUUGUUGUCUGCACGAUUUCACUAUAUUACCUGCUAUUAUUGUAUUGUCUUCGUGUAUUAGACUCAAACGAGGUGGUGGGUCCCCCCUCUUAAGUUUUCUUGCUGUUCAUUGUGUCUCUAGGAUUUGUUGGUAAUCUAAGGAUUAGACCUUUCUAUCGUUUUGUAAUAUUUGUUUACCUUCUUCUUAAAAAAAGGGUCGAACACCCGAUCCAGGGGAAAAAAAAAAGGCAAACUGCAUAGCUGAGCUCCAUCGAUCCCGAUUUGGCUUUUUGAAAGGAAAACCGACAUUUGAAUCUUAAGUGGACUGCAUGUUUUUAUUUUCUCGUCCUAGCUUUGCUUGGUUUGCUGACGCGUUAUCGUGACAGUAUGCACAGUGCAUCACCGGCGCCAGUUCCCGAAACCACGCGAUUUGGUCGCACCUAAAAUCACAUACGAGCACUCGUACGUGUAUAUAAAAAUGUACACCGGCAGUUCCCUCCACCAAUGACUAUAAUGCAUACAUCACAUGAUUUUCGUUCUGAGGUCACGAUAAAAUAUCCUCACGCGUCGUCUUCGGCAUAUAUAUAUAUAUAUACCCAUAUACGCGCGCUGACGUUGUCAAACCAAAAUCAGAAAUAGAUAUGGAUGCCGCGAAAUUGCACAGAUGGUUCUUAACUAAACUAUUACAGAUUUUUCAUCUACGUCCCAAACUAUAGAAUGGUAGGUCUAAUAAGCCACUGAUAUAUCUAAAUUAUCCUAAUUAUAGUAAAAAAAAGCAGCCACACACCAUAGCUUUAGCCAGACUGCCAGAAUUGGCAUAUCACACUUGGCUCUCUCUGCUUAUCGUUCUUUAAUGAAACACAACACACUUAUUCAUCGAUUGCCCUUUAACCAAAAUAAUUUGAAGGAUUAUUUUCUUUGUUACUAAUUUAUUAACCUAACCAAGCUCUAUUAACCAUAUAUUUGUUCACAAUCAAAAUAAGAGGAUAAGAAGUUUGAUCUGGGUUGGGGUUGCUGCCAUUUACUGGGCUAUCUGGCGAUGUCGGAAAGAUAUUAUUUUUAACAAACUCAAAACUAACUCUAUUAUGUAGGUUAUUUUCAGAAGAGCAUUUUGGCUUCGCUUUUGGGCCCCGCUGCAGCGUGAUGAGCAAGCUAAAGCCAUCCUUUCGGCGAUAAGCAAAAAGUUGGAGAUUAUUGUCUUAGACAUUUUAAAUAAAGGAUGAAAACAUUUAUACAGUUUGCUCUAGUAUCCUGGUCAUUGCUCAAGACUAUGGCUUGCUCUUUCAUUUUGUUUCAAAAACUUUUAAUAAUUGGUUGUAUACAUCUCUGGAUGUAGAGGCCAGAUAUUUAUAUCCAUUAUCUAAAAAAAGAAAUUGAUGUGUAUCAAUACAUCUGGAACCCAUUUUUUACAGCGUAUCUCAACAAUUAAUAUUUUUAUGAAGAGCACACAGUUUUUUUCCGCACAUAUUGUUUCUAAUAUAUAGCAUCAAUUUCAUGCUUUUCCGUAAAUCUCGGCCGGUAUAUUUGCACGCUUUUCUGUAAAUAAAAUAGCUGAAUCCUGAAUGUACAUGUGACACUAGCUAUGCUGUGCUCCAGACCUAUCGCCAAGCCCAGUUCACAUCAUGUCCCCCGCCGGAAAUCGAUAUAAAAUCCAUUGAGGCACAGCCCUUAUGAGCUCGUGGCCCACACUUAUCCUUUUUUUAAGGAACGAAAAAAUAUCUUAAAAUAAACUCUAAUACAUAUAAAAAUAGAUUUUGAGAAUGCUUAAGGUUAUUAUAUUUUUAUCACCUAAGUGGAAAACUUGGGUGCAAUUUUGUGGUUAUUAAUGUUAACGAUAAUGUUAAUUAGGAAUAAAAAAGGCAUUCAACAAGGAGAUAUAUUGCUCAUGUUAAUUAGCAGUGCCAAAGCGGAUAUGCAAGUUUGUGAGGUGGUGCAACAUCUGAUAGAGGGUGAGCUCUCCAUUCUACACACGGAUGAUACAACUUUGAAGGAUUAUGACUUGGAAAAGGCAUGCAACAUGAAGCUGUUGCCUUGUGCUUUCAAACAACAGGUCUAAAGAUCAAUUUUUAUAUAAGUGAUUUUUUUUUGCUUUGGUGAAGCUUAGGACGCAGAAAAACACAAUACACUGAACUGUUUGCCUACAAAUUAGGUGAUCUACCUCUAAGGUCUUGUUUAGUUGCACCCAAAAUCUAAAAACUUUUCAACAUUCUCCAUCACAUUAAAUCUUACGGCACAUGCAUGGAGCAUUAAAUAUAGAUUAAAAAAUAACUAAUUGUACAGUUUAUUUGUAAUUUGUGAGACGAAUUUUUUGAGCCUAGUUAGUCCAUGGUUAGUGCUAGCAAGGAUGCAAAUAACAGAGGACGACGCUGGGUUAGUUGGUAGAUCUUUUUUUUUUGUCAGCUUAUCUUUUCAAAACUUUUACAUAUGAGUUUGGAUAAAUAUAAAAUUUAUAUUAAAACUUUAGCCUUAAAAAAUAUCUAUAACUAUAGUAUUUGACCUUUUCAUUUAAAACCAUUUUGUGUGAAAUUGCCUCAAAUUAUCUACUGUUGCGUAUCACUUCAAAAUUAUAUUUUUAAAAAUAAUCACGGAUGAAGAUAAAAUUGUAAAAUAAUCUUAUUUCAUAAUGAUAUCUACACCCUUUUAGUUUAUAAUAUUUUAUUUGAAUCUAUCUUAGUACCAAAAUAGAGGUAAAAAUUUAUAAGAAAAUUAUAGUUCAAAGAACAUCUAUGGCCCAACUAGUUGUUGAAACCAAACUGUAACUCUUCUGAGACUGCGGACAUGAGUUGAAAAGAGAAUUAAAAUAGAGCUAAAAUGAUUUAUAGUUUUCAAAAUAAAUUUUAAAAUAAUUUUGAGUAUGGGUGAUUUUGAAUUUGACUUUUUAGGAUGUUACAAAAGUAUACGUACAUCAAUUUUUUUGCGAAUUACACAAAUAUAAAUACAGACGCUUAACACGUAUGCACACUUAACCCUAUGAGUACACGUACGCAAACCUACUCCUAUGAGCAUCUCCGAAAGACUGUGCUGGCACAUAUCAGAUUGACGAAGUCAUCACGUUAUGAAACUAAAAGGUUACUGGUAUUAUUGAGAAGUAGGAUUAUUUAUAAAUUUUACCAGCAUCUGAGAUUAUAUAAAAAAUAUUUUUUUUGGUGACGGUAGAUAAUUUGAGGCAAUUUAUUCACACAAAAUGAUUUUAAAUAAAAAAGUCAUAUACUGUAGGUAUAUGUAUUUUUUUAAGACUAUAAAUUUCAUAUAAAUUUUAUAUUUAUCCAAGCUCAUAUGUAAAAGUUUUGAAAAGAUAAGCUGCGCAGAAAAAAGAAAAAUGUGCCAACUAACAGAGCUCCGUUAUUUGCAUCCUGGGCACCAAUAAAGUGAAGGGCUUUCUAACCGUUCGAUGGUAAAUGGAUGAUAUCCAGGUGAUGGGAAGUCACAUGUGACUUUUCUACAGCAAGUUAGGCCUCGUUUAGUUCGUAAAAAUUUUCGUUUUUGGCCACUGUAGCAUUUUCGUUUUUAUUUGACAAACAUUAUCCAAUCAUAGAGUAACUAGGCUCAAAAGAUUCAUCUCAUAAAUUACAGGUAAACUGUGCAAUUAGUUUUUAUUUUUAUCUAUAUUUAAUGCUCCAUGCAUGCGACCAAAAAUUCGAUGUGACGGGAAAUCUUGAAAAUUUUUGCGAACUAAACAAGGCCUUAGAGAAUUCACGCCGCUCACAUUGAUGUCCUUUGCCAUUUCUAGAGUAGUACUUAUAGAUCUAGAUUUUACUGUUAAAGUGAUGGAUAUAAAAGGAAAUAAUGACCUGAGAAAUAAAACAUUUUGUGUUGUCCUAGAGACCAAUGUAUCCUAGGAAUACAGGACUGGCCUGUUUGAAUCUAUUAACAUUAAAAAUUAGCGACUAAAAUUAACACUACUAGAUUAAAAUGGACCUACUAAUAAAUCUACUAAUUAUUUAGCUAGAGAGCUGCUAACUAUUAGUUCUAUUAGUAUGUUUGGAGUUUCUAAUAGAUGCUAAUGGUUCAUAUACACCUUCAACUUACUAUACAACCAUAUAUUAGCACGUGGAUCUAACCAACCCUGCUAGUAGUUAUUAGUUAUUAGCUAUUAGCCAGCCAAACAGACCCUAAAACUAAAAAUACUAUUUUUUUUAGUGAAUAGCUAUUUUUACUACUUACAACAAAUGUGGUUUAGUAAUGGCUGAUUCAACAGCUUAGGUAUUCUUAUUAUAAAGGUUAUUCUAGAAUUUUGUAUAGCAAAAGUAGGCUUCAACUGACUUUGUAAAAAUAAAAAGUUGGUAUCCUUUGAUUUUUGUGACCAUAUAUAGCUAACCAUGGGUGUUGGCUAUUUGCCUUUGUAAUUUAAAAUAGCAAAGCUAUUGUGAAUCUCUUUUUUAGAAGUUUUUAUUUUAUAAAAUGGCCAAAAAAUGGAAUUUAUUAGCUACUAAUUUGUCAAGUUGUUGAAGUUGCUCUAAGCCCUUGUUUAGUUUGUGAAAUUUUUUAGGUUUGGCUACUUUAGCACUUUCGUUUAUAUUUAGCAAUUGCUGUCCAACUAUUAAUUAACUGGGCUCAAAAGAUUCGUCUCUCAAAUUAUAAGUAAAUUGUAUAAUUAGUUAUUUUUUUAUCUAUAUUCAAUAUUGCAUGUAUGUGUCUAAAGAUUUGAUAUCACAAAUAAUCUUGAAAUUUUUAAAUAAGAUCUAAGCCUCGUGUGCAAGUUGAGUGGAACUUUGAGUUGAGGACUCGUACUUUUGGGCCAAUCUCUAGUAGAAGAAAAAACAUGCCUUUAAAAUUGUUUCUAUAGCAGUGUUAGUAUCGAAUUGUCGAAUACUAGGCAUGGUCACAUUCAUGUUAGCAAAAAAAAAGAUUCACACGUAUUCCGCAUCAUAUAUUCAUAUACUGUACAUUUUUUCGAUCAGUGCAAACCAAAUACUACACCGCUACACUGAGCUCCGUCCCACCCAUGGAGCAAAACCAAUGUGUGCGAGAAGCCAAGGGCCCAAGACCACCCACAGCAAGCAAAAAAAUCCAGCCCGCCAGACCGGCUCGCCUCUAUAAAUACCCCAACACCGAUGGCCAUACUUCCUCGCCCAUUCACUCACUCCACACUCACCAUCUCAAAUCCUGGGUAGCAGUUUCGUCGCCUCACCUCACCUCGCCCAUGGCGAUGGCCUCCGCAGUUUCGUCGUGCACGGACAGCACGUGGUGGGUGUACGCGCUCCCGACGCUGCUCGGCUCGGACACCCUGUGCGCCCACCCGGCCCUCCUGGCCGGCCUGCUCUUCCUGACCACCGUCACGGCGGCUCUGCUGGCGUGGGCCGCGUCGCCGGGAGGGCCUGCGUGGGCGCACGGCCGCGGCCGCCUCGGCGCCACUCCUAUCGUGGGUCCCCGGGGUCUCCCCGUGUUCGGCAGCAUCUUCGCGCUCUCCCGCGGUCUGCCGCACCGUACCCUCGCCGCGAUGGCCCGCGCGGCGGGGCCCCGGGCCAAGGAGCUCAUGGCGUUCUCCGUCGGGGACACGCCGGCGGUCGUGUCGUCGUGCCCGGCCACGGCGCGUGAGGUGCUCGCGCACCCGUCCUUCGCCGACCGCCCCGUGAAGCGGUCGGCGCGGGAGCUCAUGUUCGCGCGCGCCAUCGGGUUCGCGCCCAACGGCGAGUACUGGCGCCGCCUCCGCCGCGUCGCGUCCACGCACCUCUUCUCCCCGCGCCGCGUCGCCGCGCACGAGCCGGGACGCCAGGGCGACGCGGAGGCCAUGCUCCGCUCCGUCGCCGCCGAGCAGUCCGCCUCGGGCACCGUCGUCCUCCGCCCGCACCUCCAGGCCGCCGCUCUCAACAACAUCAUGGGCAGCGUCUUCGGCACGCGAUACGACGUCACAUCCGGCGCCACCGCCGGCGCCGCGGAGGCCGAGCAGCUCAAGAGCAUGGUGCGCGAGGGGUUCGAGCUCCUCGGCGCCUUCAACUGGUCCGACCACCUCCCCUGGCUCGCCCACCUGUACGACCCCAGCAACGUCACCCGCCGCUGCGCCGCGCUCGUCCCGCGCGUCCAGACCUUCGUCCGUGGCGUCAUCGACGAGCACCGGCGCCGCCGCCAAAACUCCGCCGCCCUCGACCUCAACGACAAUGCUGACUUCGUCUACGUGCUCCUCUCCCUCGACGGCGACGAGAAGCUCCGCGACGACGACAUGGUCGCCAUCCUCUGGGUAAACUUCAAAUCGAUCGCUUUGUUCAACGCGCAUACUUCUCCGGUCUACAGUUUUGUGUCGGUGGUUCCCGAAAGGGAAAAAAGAGGAGAGCUUUUUGUGUUCCUCGCUGAAAAUAGAAUAUAUAUAUAUAUAUAUAUAUAUAUAUAUAUAUAUAUAUAUAUAUAUAUAUAUAUAUAUAUAUAUAUAUGAUUUGUUUUUGCAGGAGAUGAUCUUCCGCGGUACGGACACGACGGCGCUUCUGACGGAGUGGUGCAUGGCGGAGCUGGUGCGCCACCCGGCGGUGCAGGCGAGGCUGCGGGCCGAGGUGGACGCAGCUGUCGGCGCCGGCGGUCGCCCCACCGACGCCGACGUGGCGCGCAUGCCGUACCUGCAGGCGGUCGUGAAGGAGACGCUGCGAGCGCACCCGCCUGGCCCGCUGCUGAGCUGGGCGCGCCUCGCCACCGCCGACGUGCCCCUCUCCAACGGCAUGGUGGUCCCGGCCGGCACCACGGCGAUGGUGAACAUGUGGGCCAUCACCCACGACGCCGGCGUGUGGGCCGACCCGGACGCGUUCGCGCCGGAGCGGUUCCUGCCCUCCGAGGGCGGCGCCGACGUGGACGUCCGCGGCGUCGACCUCCGCCUGGCACCGUUCGGCGCCGGGCGCCGCGUCUGCCCCGGCAAGAACCUGGGGCUCACCACCGUGGGCCUCUGGGUCGCCCGCCUCGUGCACGCCUUCGAGUGGGCGCUGCCUGAUGGCGCGCCGCCCGUCUGCCUCGACGAGGUCCUCAAGCUCUCCCUGGAGAUGAAGACGCCGCUCGCCGCCGCGGCCAUCCCGCGCACCGCAUGAUCCAUCCUGCCGCUGCCGCCGACGCGUGCAACAAGAACCGAUUAUGCUUUGUCACGUCACGUCACGCGUUCUUUGUCUGUGUGUGUGUGGUUCUAAGCUAGUGUGCUUCUUCUUGUCGAUCGUCGGUUCGUUCUCGUGCCUGCCUUUGCCUAGGGUUUCGUUUCUUGCAAAGUAGUGACAGUGUCUCCCUUAGAGUCAUCAACGGGGCUCCAAUUUUGGAAAGGUGCGUGUUAGGAGUUAACCCCUAGACAUGUCUGCGUCUCGAUCACCACCUACUAUGUCAUUAUCAGCGCAGCACCUAUAUAUAGAUCAGUGUCUGUCGAUCAGUCAUGGAAGUCGAUCGUGUGCUCAAGUCUGCUGUAUUAUAUAUAAUGUAUUGUAAUGUGAUUAUCAAGAACCGUGCUAUCUAUAUGUUGCUGUUUAAUUGUUUAUAUAUGUCCGGAUUGGCCUCCAAUUAACUAGUUAUUUCUGAAUUCAAUUUUCGGUUAUAUAUUUUGAAGUUGAUCGUCUCAAGUAUUCAAAAUCAAGUCACUUAAACCGUAUUCAGUUGUAUGGUGAAAUCUAUGACAAAUGAGACUUGCGUUCAUGAGAAAAACAUGAGUCACCACUGUAAAAUUCUGUAAACGUGGAUGCCGAACUUCCGCUCACCACGGGUCCAUAUGUCGUAUAGUAGCGACCAGGCAACAACCAGGCGCAAGAUUACAGGAAGCGAUUACAGCAGCUUUAAAGUACAGUCACAGAAGUAACAACUCUGACUUCGAACAUAGCUGAUGCAUACCAUAAAGAAGAUAUACCAUACAAGAAAUAUGCACGUACUUAUCUGAUCGACGGCCUCCCUAAUCUAAACUGUCCUUGUGCUUUAGAUUUAGAUUGCUCUUGGAAGCUUCGAACAUUCUGAUGGACAAUGGUUUCAUGAAGCUGUCAGCUAGCUGAUCUUGAGCGGAGACAAGCCGAACCUACAACAAUUUAUUUGCAACUCUUCCCCCGCACAAAGUGAAAUCAAUUUUAACAUGUUUUGCUAUAGCAUGGAAAAAAGGAUUGGCUGAUUAUAACACCCUAAACAGGGUACCUCCUUUUGAUCAAUGCGAAAGAUUAUAACACCCUAAACAGGGUACAGCAAAACAUGUUAACAUGUUUUGCUAUGGUACCGAGAUUAUAUAUAACAUGUUUUGCUAUAGCAUGGAAAAAAGGAUUGGCUGAUUAUAACACCCUAAACAGGGUACCUCCUUUUGAUCAAUGCGAAAGAUUAUAACACCCUAAAGAGGGUACAGCAAAACAUGUUAACAUGUUUUGCUAUGGUACCGAGAUUAUAUAUAACAUGUUUUGCUAUAGCAUGGAAAAAAGGAGGUAGUAAUCAGCCAAUCCGCACAAAAACUAGGACAAAAUUUUCUUCUUCCCCGAGCCAGUCAGUUCGAACUUUGUUCUUGCUUCAGAGCCUCUGUUCUUGCAUUGCUUCUUCAUCUCCAGCCGUCCAUCACUUCUUUGAUAGGCUCAAAAUCACUUGAUAUUAGUUGUAUAUUUGGAUGAAAGGAAGCUUAAAGUAGUUUAUCAAAGCGAGUAAUCAGCUUUCAUUGCUAGUAUGCAUUGCACAUUUCAUGAUUUAGAGAAAUAGCUAGAGAUUUUAGGUGUUUUUUAUCACUUGAUAUAUUUGCAUAUAUUAGCCGCAUUUUUGGAUGAAAGCUUAAAGUAGUUCAGAAUCUUCUUUCAUUGCUUGUAUGCAUUGCACAUUUCAUAUCGUUUAGAGAAAACAGAGAAUUUUAGUUUUUUUUUUAGUUUCAUUUUUUUAUAAAAAGAGAAAUUUACAGUAAUUUACAAAAAUGAGUAUAUAUAGAGAGUAGAUGGAAACUGCUUCCGGGUCCUCAGCCUCUCAUCGGGUCACGUGCUAGUUUUGGAUUACGAAGUGAAUUAGGCCCCAUUUUGUUGCCUUCGUUAAACUUUAACUUCCAUCAUGUCAAAUGUUUGGACAUAUGCAUAGAGUACUAAAUAUAGACUAUUUAAGAAACUAAAAACAUUGCUAGAGAGUAAUUUGUGAGACGAAUCUUUUGAGCAUAAUUAGUCCAUUAGAGAGCUCAACAACAGAAGGAACAAAUGUGUUGGUUUUAUUGAUCCAUAUGUCAUUUUCAAAGACAAGAUCACUCCCCAGCCUACUUGGAGGGCUCAAGCGGAGAGGAAUCUCAUGAGGUUCUUAGUGAACCAAAAAGAUAUAAUAACGAUAAUCUUUUUCUACAACUUCAAGUGAGUGUUAAUAAUGUCGAUCAUUAUGUGCACAUUUAUUUUUUUUUUGUUACUGAGUUAUACCUGCAUAUGCGAAUAAAUACAUGCAGCUUUUACUCGAUAUUGAUGGUAUUUGAUCUGCCCAAUAGUCGGUUGAAAAUCUUGGACUCUAUGAGAAAAGAGCAGAAACAAUACCAAAAUAUGAUAGAUAUUAUCCAGCGGUACGUAAUUUCGGUCUCUCUCUAUAUAUAUAUAUACACACCUCUUAACUCUGAAAAAGUACUAUAAAAAUUUUUACAAAGAAUAUUCUCGGUUCUGUGUUCCUACACAACAUGUUCCCUUUUAAGAGGUUCAUAGGAGUGCUAAAGAAAUAUAUUCAGAACCGUGCUCGACCAGAAGGAAGCAUUGCCAUGGGCUAUGGAAGCAAGUCGUUGAGUUCUGUUGUGACUUUAUUAAUCCCGACCUUGACCUGAUUGGUGUUCCUCAAUCACGACAUGAGGGGAGAUUAAGUGGAAAAGAAACACUAGAGAAGAAAACAUAUAUCAGUCAAGAGGACGACAAUUUCAAUAAAGCACACUUCACAGUUUGCAAAACUCGUUCUUAGUGGAUCCAUAUAUUGAGGUUUACAAUUUCUUAUACUUUCAAAUUUAAUUUGUAUUUAUAUGCAUGGUAUAUUAAUUUCCUUGUCGAACAUUUGGACCAUGAUUGAUGACAAAACAAAACAGUAACGAUCAAAUGUUAUGAAAACAAAUUUCCUGUCAAAAUUCAAUAGUUUGAAUGAUUUUAAUUCAAAAUUGUAUUUUUCACAUUAACAAAAUAGUAAUUGUGCAUUACAUUAUUGUAAGUGCAAUCAAGCCCUAUUGUGGGUAUUGGUAUUAAUGACCACCGAAUUAGAGGACUAAUGAGAUUUGUCGAGAUGACAAGCAAGGAAUCAAAAAUUGAGGAUAAUGAACAGGUUGUAGGUACCCCCAAUUGCAAAAGUGAGCUGAUCUCAAGUCAAGGAGGUUUAAUUUCUUUUAUUUUAAAAAUUGAGUUUAGUAAAAGCCGUACUAUUAAGGGGGACUUAAGAACAGUUGGUCAACUAUGUAACCAAAUGCUCAUCUUUCUGUAAUAACAUUCUCAUUCCCAGCCAAAAUAGCUAGCAAAAUAUCUCUUCACUCUUCCUGUUUUGGCUAGGGCGGCAGUGCCGCCCUGUGAGGUGACAAGAUUUGGAGUUAAAUUUUUAUAGGCCUAUUCACCCCCUUCUAGGCCUCCUUUACCUUCCAGAAGAUCCUACAAUUAUGUUCAAUAUUCAUAAGAUAAAACAAAAUACUUUAGGUUAUUGAGAUUUUCCCUGUGUAUAAUAAAGCAAAAGAAACUCAAGGUUUUUUUAAUAAAAAUUUUAGGCCUAGUAUUUAAUUACUGUGCAUAUAUUUAUGAAAAUAAUUAAAUAAAAAAACCAAAUACUAAAGGGAAACCAGCGGGGAGUGAAACUACAACCCACCUUUAGUCCUGGGUGGUAGAUCCACCUGGGACUAAAGCUGGGUUGUAUUUUCACGGCCCGCCAAAACACCUUUAGUCCUGGUGCACAACACGAACCGAAACUAAAGAUUAAACCUUUAGUCCUGUUCCUUCACCACACUUUCUUGGCCAUCAAACCACAAAGGAUCCGAGUGUUCUCUAUUUUCCAAUCAAUUUCCGACAUCUACACCAAAUCAACAAUAAUUCAGAACAUGCACAGGUCGCUAACAUUAGUACCAAAUCAUGUAUACCAAAUCACAAAGCAUGAGUACCAAAUCAUGUAUACCAAAUCACCAAAUCAGAAAGCAUAUAUACCAUGGAGAUCAAGACAAAAUAUUGCUUAGGGUAUUUGGUUUUGGUGAUCAAGACACCAUAGAGGGUGUGAUCACAUUUAGGAUAGAUAGUCAUACUACAAAGAGGGGAAUUCUUUGGUUAAGCGGUUAUUAAGUGCCACUAGGCGUCAUUGUUCAUGUAGAUGCAUUUGGAACCUAGUGAGCUAACUUAACCCUUGAAAAUAUUUGUGAAAAUAUGCUAACACACGCGCACAAAGGUGGAAUACUUGGUGGUUAGCACUUUUGUGAAAGGGUUGAAGAAGAGGUGAAGUCGCGGGAGUGUUUCUUACUGAGAAACACUCACUGAACGCUGGACUUGGUGUUGACGGUCGAUAACAUCAACUUUUAUUAGAACUUUAAACCCGAAGGAGAACAUGAAAAUACACUAGUCUAGAGUUUAAACUGACAAUUUCCACGAGUUUUGCAUAUUCUGUAUUUUCCAGGGUCUAUUUCCAGAAAAGCUGAAAAGAGGGAUUCAAGUGCAUAUUUACCACAAAACUUAUCCGCCACAAAAAAGAUCACGAACGGGACGUGGGAAGACUCUCGAAGACACCGGAAGAAACUGGGGGCCAGAGGCCGCCAGGUGGGGCCGGUCGGCCCCACCAUGGCACUGGCCGGCGCCCCCCUGCUAGGGUUUCGGCCCCCCUUCUGGAAGCUUCCUCCACCACCUCCGAGGAGUCAUCUUGGCCAUUGGUUAAGUCGGUUUGAUCCUGCGGCGCACGUCGAUCCCACUGGGCUAUAAAUAAAGGGGCAGACCCCCCUCCCUAAGGCAUCAAGUUAUUUGGAGAUCCAUUCGUCAAGAGCCUUCUCUAGUUCAUCAGGGCCUCUCUAGUUCAUAGUUUUAGCCUAGUUAGAUUAGAAGUAGAAGAGUUCUAGUUCUUCAGCAGGAUCCGGAGCCCCUGGCGUCUGUCUGGAGUGCGGAGUUCGGUAUAGCUCUAGUACCUUUCUCUUAUUGUAUUCACUAUUAUGAUUCAGGCAACAUUGUUCUUAAUCUCUUAUAUAUUCUUAAUUGCAAUAGUCAUUGUCUACUUUGAUUAUAUGUCUAGGAUAGUUGGUUUGAUCUUAUUGAAUUCAUGUAAUUGCUCGUAUAGUGUUUACCCAAUCAAUUGGUGGGCAGAUGGUAGACAAUAUGUAGACGUGGUGUCUAGAUAUCUUGUUUAUCUAUGAGGGCACCCGGACGUGCCGGGUCGUGUGGUAGUCUGCGCAGGUGACAGCUACGUUGGUUCCUCUGUAGUCCACCCCCCAUACGUAGGACUAGCUUGGGCGCGGUCGUGAAGGAGGUGACGGUUGCGUCUUAAAACCCUCAUUAGUUGAUGCCUCUUUGCAUGUGAUUAUGAUAUAGGGUUGACUUAACGAUGAUUUCUAGAUGUAAUUGCACUAAUUAGAGUUAUUCAUUGACGUAGUUAUAGAAUUACCUUAGUAUUUAUUCCUGAGUUUAUCCAUUGGCUAGCUAUUACUUUGACUAGAAGAGCUCAGAUAUUUAUCUAUUUAUGAUGACUGAUCAUUAUUUAUCUUAUAUCUUUUAUCAAGUGACUUAUCCCUGUUACGAGUAGGAUUAUAGUUAUGUUUAUCGUUCACACCAAUAGUAUAAGUUAUAGUUAUAAGUCCUACAUAUAGACCUUCCCUGUGGAUACGAUAUUUAAAACCCCUCGGGUAAAAUGUGACAUUGGUAUAAUAUCUGUGCGCUUGUGGAUAAUCUUACUUAAAUCUUAUUUAAAGGAGUGUAGUUAAUUUAUACCAAUACUUGGUAGCGUCGGACACUAGCCCAACGUCCGGUGUACUCUUGGUUUUUGGCACGGGUGUAGAGUGUGUGUCAGAGCGUCUGACGGAUGAGCAUCAGUCGCAAUGCUGACACAGUUCCCGCGUUCGGUGAGUACUGACGUCAACGAGCGCGUGAGCGAGUAGCUUCUGUAGAGCGCGUUGUACGCCAAGGAGCGUUUGGUGAGGAUGUUGAAAGGUCCUAAUAUGGCUAGAGGGGGGUGAAUAGCCUAUUUAAAAAUUCUACAAAAACUCUAGAGCAAGAGGUUAGUAAAUAACAAAGCGAAGCUUUUUGCUCUAGCUCUAAUGGGGGGUUUGCAAGCCACCUAUUCAACAAUUCUAGUUGAUAAGAUCACUAGGCACACAAGAGCUAUGUCUCUACUUAUACUAGAGAGCUACCUAAAGUUUCUAUACAAGUGUGUAAGCUACUCUAGUUUGCAAGAAAGUAAGAGAGAAGGUUUGAUCUUUAUACCGCCGCAUAGAGGGGAUGUACAAAUCAAUAAUAUGAAGUCCAAUCACCGGGAGAAAUCCAAUGAACAAACACAAUGGAGACAAACAAUUUUUCUCCUGAGGUUCACGUGCUUGCCGGCACGCUACGUCCCCGUUGUGUCGACCAACACUCAGUGGUUCAGUGGCUAAGAGGUGUAGCACGAACCUCGUCCUCACUAGGACACCACAAGAACCUACCCACAAGUGAGGUAGCUCAAUGACACGAGCAAUCCACUAAUGUUGCCUUUGGCUCUCCACCGAGGUAGGCACAAACCUCUCACAAUCACCGGGAGAUGGCCACGAACAAUCACCAACUCGUGCCAAAGCUCCUCCGCUGCUCCAAGCCGUCUAGGUGGCGGCAACCACCAAGAGUAAUAAGAAAACCGCAGCCAAAUCGAUCCCCAAGUGCCACUAGAUGCAAUCACUCAAGCAAAUGCACUUGGAAUCACUCCCAAUGUCACAAAGAUGUUUAAUCUAUGAAGGAGAUGAGUGGGAGGUGUUUGCUUAGGCUCACAAGGAUGUCUAGUAGUCAAGAAUGCCAAGAGCGUGAGCCCUAAGCCGGCCAACAACUAUUUAUAGACCCCUCAAACAAAUAGAGCCAUUGGCUCUUUCACUGGGCAAACUGCGGGGUCACCAGACGUUCUUAAAGGGACACCGGACGCUCAACACCUGCGUCCGGUGCUCCAACGUCAGCCACGUGUCGCCUUUUGAACUUCUCGUGUCAGAGCUUAACGGUCACCUGCAGUGCACCAGACGCUGAGCAAGUUAGCAUCGGACGCGUCCGGUGCACACCGGACUCAUGCGCAGAGAGAUCCGCAAACCUGCGGGUCACCGGACGCUUAGCACCGGUAGCGUCCGGUGCUCACCGGACCCAUGCGCAGAGAUGGUCGCAAAAACGCCCGCACACCGGACGCAGGGAGCGUCCGGUGCUUUCAGUCAAAUACUCCGACCGAAGUCAGAUAGCACCGGACGCAUGAACAGGAGCUCCCCAGCGUCCGAUGUUCACCGUCCGGUGCUUAACCCUAGCACCACUGCACACCGGACGCUCAGCCUCAGCGUCCGGUGAGUGUUUCUCUGCGAGGAACACACCCGUGAUUUCUCCAAAUUUUCCCACCGGCGCAAUAGAAAAUGUGCACUUCAUUUUCUCGAAAAGCGCCGAAUCCCGCCUCGCAAGCUCGACGGGAGAGAGAUAGGAACCCAUCCUCUCUCUACCCUUCAAACUCCUCCUCCUUUCUCAAAGUGUGCCAACACCACAACGUGUGUACCAACAAGUGCACGUGUGUUAGCAUUUUCACAAUCAAUUUCUUUGAAGGAGUUAAUUUAGCUCACUAGGUUCUAAAUGCAUGCACAUGAACAAUGACACCUAGUGGCACUUGAUAACCGCUUAGCCAAAGAAUUCCCCUCUUUAUAAUACGGCUAUCUAUCCUAAAUGUGAUCACACCCUCUAUGGUGUCUUGAUCACCAAAACCAAAACCCUAAGCAGUACCUUUGCCUUGAUCUCCAUAGGGUUUUGUUUUUCUCUUUCUUCUUUUCAAGUUGAGCACUUGAUCAUCUUGUGGUCAUCACCAUGAUCAUCUCUUGCUCCAACACUUGGCAUGUACCAACCUCAUUAAGUCUACACACACUUAGCAUAGAGGUUAGUACUAGGGUUUCAUCAAUUACCCAAAACCAAACUAGGGCUUUCAAUCUCCCCCUUUUUGGUAAUUGAUGACAACCCUUUUUACAAAGAUUUUCAAUAAAAUUUUCUUGGAUUCAUGUUGCUUGCUCAAGCAUUUUACCAUGUGCAAAGGUUAUGGACAAGUUUCAUAAACCCAAAUUGGUAGCAAUUGCUCCCCCUGCAUAUGUGCUAAGAGUUUGGAUUUGAAAGCUUGCACAUAUGCUUGAACAGGAAAAAUAGGAGACAAUUUCUACCAAAAGAUGCUAAGGUGUAAAGAAUGGACCUUUGAAGCGUGAUACCAAUCGGAGUUGCCAAUAUACACCAUCCUUAGCACUAUUGGUAACUAGACAUUCACAAGACUAGAACACCCCGUGAGAUCAACAUUAUAAACAAGGUUCUAGUACUACUUGUGAAACAAUUAAAAGUCUAGUUACACUACCUAUGCAUGCUAGUUCUUCAUUUCAUCAAUCAAACCUAUAACUAGCAUACACCACACAAGCAAGGUAUUGGAGAGAAAGUUUCUAAAGCUAAUGGUAAUGCAAGCAAACAUAUGUGAUGCACAGUCAAAUGCAACAAAUAAGUUUAUGAGCUUGCUCCCCUUACUUGUGUUCUUUAAAAUUUUAAUUGAUCCCCCUUCUUUUAUCAUGUUACUCCCCUAUCUUAAAUCUUUGGGAAAUUUUCUCCCCCUUUGUCAUCAAAGACCACAAAAGGUGAGCUCAAAUUUUAGAUAGGUUAUUGUGAAACUAUGUGAAGUGAGAUCAUUUUUCCAAAUUGGUCCAAUCUAGAUUACUUGCCUAAGAUAUUUAACUCGGUUUGAUCCAAGGACAAGCUUCUUCACACCUCCAAAUAAGGGUUAUCUUGUACCAUGUUGAGUUAAACACUUAUAGCUCAUAUUCUAGAUCAAAUACUAGGAUUGCAAGCCCACAAACAUGUCAUAUACUACCACUAGAUCAAGUCAAGCAUAGAAGCAAUAGUGGUACCAUAUAAGCAUCAAAUUCAUUUGAAUUUUAUGAAUGAUCCUAAGACAUGUAAGGAAUGACUAGAUGCACUAAGCAAGUCCUUAGCAUAGGAUGAAUGACAUGUCAAUCAAUGUUACCUUGCUUUGCUUGAAGGAGAGGCAUGUCAUAUUGUGGGGGUGCAUCAACACAUAUUUGAGAAGUCAAGUAUGUUCAAUUCAUUCCUUAGCUUGCAAAACCUCUUUUCAUCAAGUGGCUUGGUGAAUAUAUCGGCAAGUUGAUCAUCGGUGCCUAUACUCUCAAUGCAAAUGUCCCCUUUUUGUUGGUGAUCUCUUAUGAAGUGAUGGCAGACAUCUAUGUGGUUUGUUCUUGAGUGUUGAACCGGAUUGUUGGUGAACUUCACGGAACUUUCAUUGUCACAUAGCAAUGGCACUUGCUUGAAGUUGACUCCAAAGUCCUUCAAAGUUGCCUUCAUAUAGGAUUUGUGCACAACAACUACCGGCCGCAAUGUACUCCGCUUCGGCGGUUGAUAGUGCAACAUUAUUUUGCUUCUUGGAUGACCAUGAGACAAGAGAUCUUCCCAAUAGUUGACAUGUGCCCGAUGUGCUUCUUCUCUCAACUUUGCAUCCCGCAUAGUCUGAAUCGGAAUAUCCAACAAUUUCAAACUUUGCACCUUUGGGAUACCACAAACCAACAUUUUGUGUAUGCUUCAAGUACCUCAAUAUUCUCUUUGUUGCUUUCAAAUGACUUUCUCUUGGUGAGGCUUGAAACCUUGCACAUAUGCAUACAUUAAACAUGACAUCCGGUCUUGAUGCGGUCACAAAGAGUAGGCUUCCAAUCAUAGACCGAUAUGACUUUUGAUCCACCAUAUUUCCACUUGUAUCACUAUCUAGGCUUCCAUUUGUUCCCAUUGGAGUGCUAAUUGAUUUUGCAUCAUCCAUACCAAACUUCUUGAGAAUAUCUUUUAUGUACUUGCCUUGACUCACAAAUGUGCCAUUCUUCAAUUACUUGAUUUGAAGACCAAGGAAGUAACUAAGCUCUCCAAUCAUUGACAUUUCAAACUCAUUAGCCAUCAUGUUGCCAAACUCUUCACAAAAUUCUUGAUUAGUUGAUCCAAAUAUGAUAUCAUCAACAUAGAUUUGCAACACAAACAAGUCAUUGCCAAUCUUCUUGGUGAAGAGAGUGGUGUCAACCUUGCCCAUCUUGAAACCUUUAGAGAGUAAGAAGUCUCUCAAUCUCUCAUACCAUGCUCUUGGUGCUUGCUUCAAACCAUACAAUGCCUUUCUUAGCUUGUUAACAUGGUUGGGUUUCUUGUCAUCUUCAAAACCGGGAGGUUGCUCAACAUAUACUUCUUCAUUGAUAUAGCCAUUGAGAAAUGCACUCUUGACAUCCAUUUGGUAUAGCUUGAUGUUAUGAGCACAAGCAUAGGCCAACAAGAUCCUAAUUGCUUCCAAUCUUGCAACCGGAGCAUAUGUUUUACCAAAGUCAAGACCUUCAACUUGAGUAUAGCCUUGUGCUACCAAUCUUGCUUUGUUUCUUACAACUAUCCCAUCUUGAUCUUGUUUGUUGCGAAAGACCCAUCUAGUACCAAUGACAUUGUGAUCAUUAGGACUCUCAACUAAUUCCCAUACUUGAUUUCUUUUGAAGUUGUUAAGCUCUUCAUGCAUAACAUUGACCCAAUCAACAUCUCUCAAUGCUUCAUCAAUCUUCUUUGCCUCAAUGUGAGACAUAAAGGAGAAAUGCUCACAAAAUGAUGCUAGUCUUGAUCUAGUUUGCACUCCUCUUUGAAUAUCACCAAUGAUAUGAUCCAAUGGAUGAUCUGUUGCAAUAUUUGUUGGUUGGAGUAUUUGCACUUGAUUGCUUGCACUUGGUUGAUCAUGAGAUGAUGUACUAGCUUGUUGAUCUUGCACUUGAGUACCACUUGUACUAGCUUGAUUUUGAUCGUGAGAACCACUAGCUUGCACAUUAGAGGUAGGAAGCACUUGAUCUUUGUCAUCUUCAACAUCAAUCACCUCUCUAGGCCUUAAAUCACCAAUAUCCAUAUUAUUCAUUGCGUCGGACAAUUGAGUGCCUCUCACGUCAUCUAGAUUCUCAUCUUCCUCUUGGGAGCCAUUGGUUUCAUCAAACUCAACAUCAUGCACUUCCUCAAGAGUACCACUAGCCAAAUUCCAAACUCUAUAAGCUUUGCUAGUAGUGGAGUAACCAAGCAAGAAACCUUCAUCAUAUUUCUUUUCAAAUUUACUCAAUCUAGUGCCUUUCUUCAAUAUGUAGCAUUUACAACCAAAAACCCGAAAGUAUGCAAUAUUGGGCUUUCUUCCAUUCAAGAGCUCAUAUGGAGUCUUCUCCAUCAUUGGGUGACAAUAGAGUCGGCUGCUAUAGUAGCAAGCCAUGUUGAUUGCUUCGGCCCAAAAAGAAUGACUAACAUUGUAUUCACUCAACAUUGAUCUUGCCAUGUCAAUCAAGGUUCUAUUCUUCCUCUCAACAAGACCAUUUGAUUGUGGAGUGUACUUGGCCGAGAAUUGAUGCCUAAUGCCAAAUUCAUCACAAAGCUCAUCAACUCCUGUAUUCUUGAAUUCACUUCCAUUGUCACUUCUUACUUUCUUGAUGGUUGUUUCAAACUCAUUGUGUACUCUCUUGACAAAUGAUUUGAAGGUUGCAAAAGCAUCACUCUUGUCACUAAGAAAGAAUACCCAUGUAUAUCUUGUGAAAUCAUCCACUAUCACAAAUCCAUAUUUAUUUCCACCAAUGCUUGUGUAUGUGGUUGGUCCAAAUAGAUCCAUGUGCAACAACUCAAAAUAUCAAGUUAGAGCCAUCUACACUUAUGAUUUCUACAUCAUCAACUCCAAAUAUGCAUUUGAAACCAAGAUCACAAAGUUGAGCUACAGAUAGUAAGUUGAAGUUCAAGCUCUCUAGUAGUAGCACAUUGGAAAUGCUCAAGUCAUUGGAUAUAGCAAUUUUACCAAGCCCUUUGACCUUGCCUUUGCCAUUGUCACCAAAUGUGAUACUAUGAACACCAUUGUCAUCAUUUGAUUUGAUUGAAUUGAACAUUCUUGAAUCACAGGUCAUGUGUUGUGUGCACCCACUAUCAAGCACCCAAUGCCUUCCUCCGGCUUUAUAGUUUACCUACAAAACAAAUCAAUGUUUCUUAGGUACCCAUACUUGUUUGGGUCCUUGGAGGUUAGUGACUAAGCUCUUUGGUCCCAAAUGGCCUUCUUCUUUGGACCCACAAUUGGUGUACCAACAAACUUAGCAUGCACACCCUUCUCACCCUUGGUAAGCACAUAACAAGAAUCAAAAGGAAUGUAAGGUACAUUAGCAUUUUUCUUGUUCUUGUUAAUUUUGUUGCAAUUAAGCUCUAGGUGCCCAACUUGCUUGCAUUUGUUGCAAUACCGACCAUUGCUCUUCACAAAACUGGGCUUGUGAGUUGCAAAGGCUUUCUUGCCUUUCUUGGGGGUAUAGCCUAAUCCCUCUUUGUUGAGAGAAAACCUUUGGCUACCCAAGCACUUUAGCAAGCGGGCCUCACCACCAUAGGCUUUGCCUAGGGCAUGAGUGAGCUCAUCCACCUCUCUCUUGAGAAUCUCAUUCUCAACCUUUAGUGAGGUAUCACAAGUGAAACUAACACUAGAAGUAGAGGUAGAGUUGGUGGUGGUGGAUGAAGACCUACAAGAAGAGUUAGUGGCAACAAUAAUAGGUGGGUUGGGUGAUUCUUUAAUUAAGUCACAUGUUGUGCCCACAUCACAUGAUACAACAACCUUUUCUUUGUUCUCUUCUAAUAACAAGGAGUGAGCCUUUUCAAGCUUGGUGUGAGCCUUGCCAAGCUUCUCAUGGGCUUCCACUAGCCUCUCAUGAUUAGCAUUGAGCUCAUCAAAGGAUUGCUAAAGAGCUUUUAACUUCUUGGCCAAUUCUUUGCACUUCUUGUUUUUAGAUUGAAUGAGAGAAUCGGCUUGUUCUAGCAUGUCCAUGAGUUGUUAUUAGUGAAUUCAUUUUCAUCAUCACUAUCACUAUCAUGUUCAUGUUCACUUUCACUUUCACUCUCAUCAUAUUGUACCUUGUGGCCCUUGGCCAUGAAGCAUGAAGGAGUGUCAAAGAGUGAUGGCUUGUUGAUAGCAAUGCUUGCAAGCGCCUUCUUCUUGGAUGCCUUGUCAUCAUCACUAGAAUCAUCCUCCGAAGAAGCAUCACUAUCCCAUGUCACAACAUAGGAUCCACCCUUCUUCUUCUUCUUGAAGACCAUCUUCUUCUCUUUCUUUUCUUUCUUCUCCUUCUUGUUCUUCUUGUCAUGCUCAUCAUUGUCGCUAUUGUAAGGACAAUCCGCCACAAUAUGAUCGGGGCUUUUGCACUUGUAGCAUAGCCUCACAUGCUCCUUUUUCUUGAAGUGAUCUCUUCUCUUUCUUGUGUGAUAGCCCUUUUUCUUCAUCAUCUUGCCAAACUUGCGGACGAAGAGUGCUAGUGCUUCAUCAUCACUAUCAUCAUUGGAGCACUCUUCAUCACUUGAUUCUUCCUUCUUGGCCUUGCCCUUGUUCUUGCUCUUGGAUGAAGAGCUAGCUUUGAAUGCUACACUCUUCUUCUUCUUGUCAUCAUCAUCCUUCUUCAUGACCUCAUCAUCAUCAUUGUCAUUGUAUUGAUCUUCGGUCAUGACAUCUCCAAGUACCUCAUUGGGAGAUACACCGGUUAAUCCACCUCUAAAGAUGAUUGUUCUCAAUGUCUUGAACCUCUUGGGCAAGCACAUCAAGAACUUGUGAAUGAAGUCCUCAUCCUUCACUUUCUCACCAAGGCCCUUGAGAUCAUUGAUGAUGACUUGGAGCCUAUAGAACAUCUCCGGUAUGGACUCAUCAUCCUUCAUCUUGAAGUUUGAUAGCUUGUCCUUGAGCAUGUACAACUUGGCACUUUUUACCGUUGUAGUGUCUUCAUAUGUUUCUUCUAGUCUUGUCCACACUUCACUAGCCUUCUCAAGAUCUUUGACUUGUUCAAACACCUUUGAAUCAAUGCCAUUAUAGACUAUGUUGAGAGCCAUAGUAUUGCAUUGCUUGUUGGCUCUCUCAUUGUCGGUGGGGUUGGCGGGGUCAAGGAUCACAAAGUCAUUCUCCGUGACUUCCCACACUCUAUCAUUGAUUGAUCCAAGGUACAUUUUCAUCUUUCUCUUCCAAUAGUCAAAAGAACUUGUGCCUGUUGACGGUCCUUAAGUAUCAAAUUUAAUUAUCAAAUAAAUAAAGAAAAGGAUCCAAAUGAAAUCAACAUCUAGACUUAGGGUUUUAUCUGACAGAAUUCCACGAGUUUUGGUGUUUGUCUAUUUCUGCAGGGGGUUAUCAGGAAAUACGGAAGAAAGGCCCACACGUCGGGAUUACAUAGAGAUAUUAACAAGCCGCGCAAUUAUCUUACAUCUAGAAGACUCCAGAAGCCACGAGACCGAAGCGGAGGCGAAACGGGGCCAGAGGCAGGGUGCCCGCCCUCUUGCCCUGGGCGCUCGCCCCCUCUGAGAGUCCAAUCAGGACUCUGCUUCGUGGGAGAUCUCCACCGACCUAAAGGAUCAAGGAUAACCGUUCAAUCUAAGUCGGUUUGAUCCAACGGCCCAUAUUCACUUGAAGGGACUAUAAAACCAGACCCCCUGGCCCCUGGAGGAGAGAGCCUUUCAACCCUAAUUCAUUAUUCCUCAAGGGAGAAGAAGCCCCUGAUCAAGAUUAGAGCCACCACAUCAAUUAGAUAUCUAGAUUAGCAUAGCUACAUAGGAUUAGAACUAGAAGGAGUCAAUCUUUGAUUGGUUUCCGGAUCUGUUAAGAGGAUUCUUGGUAAUUCUCUAAUUGUGCUUCUAAUUGCUUUCUAAUUAUCUUUGUUCUUCAAUAUUAUGAAUAUGACUUUGUUCUACUUCAAUAUAUUGCUUAUGACUUUGCUCUACUUGCUUAUAUUCUAGAUUAUAUUGUUCUUAGUUUACCAUAGUUAUGUACUUGCUUAGUUAGAUUGGAUCUAUAUACAUGUUUAGGAUCGUAUAGCGUUUAUCCAUCGGAUCCAUGGGUAAAUGAUAGAUAUUGUGUAGGCGUGGUGCUUAUACCGUAUUUAUCUGCGAUUGUACCCAAUAUGCCAGAUCGUGGGGUAGUUCGUGAUAGUGACAGCUGUUGACGGUCCUUAAGUAUCAAAUUUAAUUAUCAAAUAAACAAAGAAAAGGAUCCAAAUGAAAUCAACAUCUAGACUUAGGGUUUUAUCUGACAGAAUUCCACGAGUUUUGGUGUUUGUCUAUUUCUGCAGGAGGUUAUCACGAAAUAAAGAAGAAAGGCCCACAUGUCAGGAUUACAUAGAGAUAUCAACGCACCGCACAAUUUUCUACCAUCUAGAAGACUCCAGAUGCCACGAGACCGAAGCGGAGGCGAAACGGGGCCAGGACCUGGGCGCCCGCCCAGUUUCCUUAGGCGCCCGCCCACCUGCCGAGCCCAAUCAGGACUCUUUCUCUCGGGAGAUCUCCACCGACCUAUUGGAUUCAGAAUAACGUAGUACCACCUCGCCUACCGACCCAAAAACGCAUAGAAGGGGAGGACUAUACAAGGAGACCCCCCUGGCCCCUGGAGAAUACAAGAAAUUAUCAUAGAGAUUGAGGGGUGCCCUCGAAGGAAAACCUCUUCUCUAAAUAAUAUUUCUUUUUAGGCUUAGCAACCAAUGUAAAGUAGAAAUAGAUCUUCUAGUUUCUACUAGAUUGAGAGAGAUAGAGUGGAGAGGUGUGGAUCGGAGAAAGGCCGGCCUGUCGAUGUCUACUCCGAGUUGUACCUACGGGAUCAAGUCUCCUAACCCGAGGCUUGCUUCUAAGAUUCUUCAGUAAUUCGACUUCUAAUACUAGUAAGUUCUUGUUUUAUUGUUCUUUGGUUUAUGAGUUUACUUUAAUCCUCUUCCGGUUGAGUAUUAGAGUAAUCACUUGCUAGCGUAAACGUGGUGUUUAGGCUAGGGUACUCAUAGAUAUCCCCUGACUAGCUGGACCGUGGUAGUAGCGAGGAACGUGACAUUUCCGAGUUACCUUUGUAUCCCAUAUCUUGUUAGCAGGACGGGUAGGGUUUAUAGGUGCGGGUCCAACAUCCUUUGUGUUGUCUAGAUUCCAUGAGCCUCCCCAAUAGAACAGUAGAUCAUCCUUACCAAGGUUAGAACGAGACUACGGUUGCAGUCUUCUCUAUACAUCACUCACAUCGAGAAACAUUCUUUGUAGCCUAAAGGGGUAGUAGCAAUAGAUUUGGUUAGUCAGAUGCACCCUUUCUCCCAGUGGUAAAAAUAUAAAUACGAUAACUCUGGAUAACCUCCCGGGUGAAAUGCUCACCGAUAUCCGUGCGCUUGCGGAUCAUUUUCUAAUUGCGUUACCAAAUAUCAACAAGCAUUUCUGGCACCGUUGCCGGGGAGAAAGACGGUUUGCUGAGAUAACUUUGAGUCUUGCUAUUAUCUUGUAUUAUACUUUUAUACUUUUAUUCUUUUAUCUUUUUAUUUUUAUCUUUAUGGAUAACUCAAAUUCCACACCUAUUAUUAAAUUCUUUGCACCUUCGGAGACCAACCAUAGACCAUGGGAGUCAACACGUUCUGACCCUAAUUAUGAUCUGUGUCCGGAGUUGAUUGCAAUAGGUCAAAACCAACCCUUUUCUAUAGCUGAGGUCCUAUCUUUUAAUCAAAAAGAUAAUGCACUUUUAGCUACACCUAGGGAAUCUGUUAAUCUUUCUAUAAAUUCUAGUUUAGACCUAGCCCUACAAGACCAUGUUUUUCCUAGAUAUUUUCAAAUUGGUCUUAAUCAUAUAACCUUUGGUAGAGUCCUUCUUUCUUUAUCUAUUAGUAAAGGAAGGUAUGUCUUCAUUUGUGGACAUCCUUCUUGUACUAGUCUUCAUAGAAUAAUCUUAGAGAUAGAGAAGGAAUCAUCUCCCAGACGAGGAAAGGAAGUUUCAAUAGCCAAUCUCCAAACAUUUCAAUCCCAUGAUUCGGCUAUCCAUCCCAUCCUUGAGCUUAAUAGUUUCUACUAUGCUCUUUCUCUUGAACCUCCCGAUAAUCCUAUGAAUCUCUCUAGACAUCCCAUGCAUAAGGAGGAUCGAGAAGAGCAACAUUGAUGGCUAGAGGACAUUAAAAAUCCAUGUGCUAUCACCAUUGAAUGGAUAGAUAAAACAAACUUGAGAGACAAUCCUAGAGGAAUUUUAAGCAUUCAUGAAGAAUCAUCCUUGGAGUUUGAGAAUGAGAGAAACAACAGUGAGCAUGGAAGUUAUUUCAUAAAUACCCCACCAAAUCCUUGCUCAUAUAAAACAUCUCCCCAAUCAGUUGGUCUCUCCAACAUUACCACAUUUGAGAUCUCCAACCCCCUCUUCCUUUCUAUUUAUAAAAACUUUAAAAGGGUGGUUGUCGAUGCAUAUGUCUAUAAUAAAUAUUGCAGAUCUCGUUGAGUUGAUCUUGAUAUAGGUAGGUGUUGGAGGGGAAACCACUUCACGGACAUAAAUUGAUGGUUUCCCAAGGAUAAGCUUAGCGUCCUUAAACAAGCACUUAUCAGAUCGUAAUAUGAACUUCUAAUUAUUUGCAACAUUGCCUUGUGUAGUAAGCAUAUUGAGAUAAUUGUAGAAAUAUUCCUUCGGGUAUUCUUGUCACUAACUUUUCCAGGAUUGGAGCAAGAAGAUCCGAGGAAUGACAAGCACAAGGUAUGUCCAACCAAACAUCAUGCAACAUUGAAUUAAAUUCAUCCAAUCUUGAAUUUUGCAAAAUUCAAGCUUGGAGGAGUACUUCACAUAAAAACAUCCUUUGCCAUGUUGCUAUGUUGGUUGUCCUUACCUUUGAGACAUGCUCAAUUUGUUAAACACUAAUCACACUACUUCAUCUCCACUUGAGUAGAUCUCUAUAAAUGCCAUCACACUACCUUUGUUUAUCCUAUAAGUAGUUUGGAAGUACUGCACAUACUUCUAUUGGCUUUUAAAUUAAGCAUGGUGCUUAGGUUAAAUAGCCUCCCUUAAUCUGAUUAGACAUGGAGUCUAGUUUGGUUACUGAACUAAAAACUACUUGAGUAGGCAUUGGUAUAUUUUGUCGGACUAACCCCUGCAGGAAAACUUUCAAUAUCAACCUGGGAAGUCCUGAGAUAAACUCACAUUGGAGACAAGGAGAGGGACACAUGAAGUUUAAUAAUUUACACGAGGAAGACGUAGCUCAUAGGAGAUGAUCCAUGGAGGGUGCCACAAACACGAUGCACAACCGCUAAGAAAGGAAAGCUUCUACAAGGUGAUACUGUACCGCCACUCUUCAAGUAAGGUAACAUUCUAAAGUACUUGACUAUCACUUUUAUAAGCUUCUCCUUGGUUCUAGCAUUCACAUAAAUAAAGAGACAAACAUGUAUGAUUUAUAACUCCAAAUUAACCAACCCAAUUAAUUCAACAUGAUUAGUCCUUUAAUCUUUGUUCUUAGUACUACCUUCGUGAUCCCACACUCCUAAUCAUAUAAGCUAAAAUGUUGCACAUUCAAUCUUUGGAAGAUAUAAACAAAACAUAAAUAUAGAUAGAUUAUCUUUCCAUUAGGUUGAGCUAUAUGAUCUGACAAAUGUUUCAAAUCCUACACUCAUGAUCCUAUCAACUUUGUCUUGCUCACUAUGCUUAAGGUUAGAGAAGAACAAAUACACUUUUGGUUCUGUUGGUGUUUUCCACCAACAGGGCCCAUGCACUUGAUAUCUGCCUUGUCUCUAUGAACAGGUACACUUCAAACAAAACAUGGAGGAGUUUUACAACUCCCAGAUUCCACCAAGUGAAGAACCGGGAUCUACGAGCACAAAACACAAUGCAGAUCGGACACUUAGUUUUCUAAAAGAAAUAUUGAAGAACCUCUGUGUCCGAGUUGGUACCUUGUACGCUCCAGCAAACUUCGUGGUGAUAGAGACUGGUACUGAGGAGAGGGCACCCAUCAUCUUAGGGAGGCCAUUCCUAAACACCAGAGCUGUCAUCUACGCUAAUGCUGCCAAGAUCAGUCUCUACAUCAAGGGGAAGAAGGAGACUUUCCUUCAAGAACAAGACUACACAAACUUCAGAGCAAUCCUGACAUGAACCAAGGAAGAGGACCAACAGGAGGAACAAGAACAAGCAAAUGUGGACCGAGUCAGCUGAGAUGGUCACUGCAGCUCAAGGAGGUCAAGAUCGUCGACUCAAGUCACCUUUCUUGAUCAAGAAGGACGACCCUGGUGUUCCAAGCAUUGAGUGCACAAUCAAUGGAUACUCUUUUUAGAAGACAUUCUACGACACCGGAUCUGACGAUAACAUAAUGGCCGCAGUCACUUAUCAGCUCCUGCAUGGAACCAUGCUCCUACAACCAACAUACAUUCGGCUCCAGGUAAUUUUCAGGUCAUUAACAUGGGAGAAGACGAGUAUGAUGCACCCACCAUCCUUGGAAGACCGUUCCUCAACACUAUCAAAGCAAUCAUCUACAUUGGAACCGGAGAUGUCCACACGCACUUCCCCUCUGAGAAGGUACGCCACUACUUUAAUGAUUCUAACUAUAUAGUUGAAGAUUUUAAGCAGGUCAGGACAAGAAGAAGACAACGCAACCGCAACCAGAGGAGGCAAAUCAUCAAGGACGGAUGGGUAGACUACGAAGGAGAUGUGAUAAGGUCUGAAGACAUAUAGCUUGAACAGAACUGUCCUGAGGAGACCGUUAGCGCCGAAUCAGGUGUGGAGAGAGAAGAUAGUNNNNNNNNNNNNNNNNNNNNNNNNNNNNNNNNNNNNNNNNNNNNNNNNNNNNNNNNNNNNNNNNNNNNNNNNNNNNNNNNNNNNNNNNNNNNNNNNNNNNNCCGAACGCCUUGCCAAGAGGUAAACUUGGUAGUUAUCCUUUUCCUUUCAAUUAUUCAAUUAUAGUUUCCUUAGUUAAUCAGGUUCAUGCUAUCUUGAAAAGAAAAUAAAAAUGUUAAAAAAAUAGUAAGCCCCAUGUGAGUAUGCUCAUGGCAUAAAACCCAUAAGUACAUUCACUGUGGUGGCAUAAAAAUAAAAUAAAUAAGUUUUCAUCUUAUAAUAAAAAUAUAAAAAUAAUAAGUGCAUGAUCCUGCUAAAUAAGUAACAUUUAUUGAGGAGGCUCAACAUGAUAAAGGCUAGAUAUUUAUGCUAACACUUAACCAGUUCCACAAAGCUUUGUUGUCUAUUUGAGCUCCACAUAAUUCAAGGAUCAAAGAAGACUAGCAGACGGAGGACAUCCUAAUUGCUGUCAGGGUGCUGCCGACUUUCAAAUACACCUCCAUCACCUGCUAGCUACAUCAGAAGAAAUUACGUCAAAAUCCAGCUUGGGGGAGAGCACCCCUAUUUAUCCAGCUAAGUAUUUCUACUCGCGUUUAUACUUUACUCAAAUGAUAAAAGAUGCAUAAUCAUGAAAACCCAAAUAAAAAUUUUGUGCUUUUAUAUAUAUAUAUAUAUAUAUCUUUGCUUAGUUUGCUAAAUAAAUAAAUAAAUAAAGUUUGCUAUGAACACUCAUGAUAAACUCUCACAUGGAAAUGAUGAAUAGUUGCUCUGCCAUGACUAGUUCUUAAAAUUGAAAUCUCUCUCAAGUUUAGGCAUGACUGUUAUGAAGUAAGAUUUGCUCUAAACCUGAACUUGUGGGAAGAGUACUUGAUCUAAAGUCUAAGUUGUUAACGGAUAUGAUAUGGGAAGGUUGAGCUGUUGUUUAUCUGUUCCUAGAGAUGCUAGAAUUCUGGAGAAUUUUAUCUUUGAAAAAUCUUUAAAAUAACAUAUGAUGAGCUCCUAUAUGAUGAGAGUUUAAAUUCCUACCACAGCCAUAUAUACAUGCUUGCUAGACUUUGAGCCACAUAUUUACUUUUUACUGCUUAUGAGCAUUGAGUGUGGUCAAGCUGUGUAGACCCUUAGGAGCUUGUCAAGUGGUUAAAAUCAAGAUUCACUUGCACGUUCACUCAUACAUGCUACUUCUACUCCGGAAGUACCAUCCACAUAUAUCCACUCAUUUCCAUCUCCACAUUCACCCGAAAUUAUUCUACUCCUAAUCCGGGAGAGAAUAGCCAAAAACAUUUUCCAAUCCCUGUUAUUCCCUGUGAAAUAAAUGUUCCAGUUAUUUUGGUUACUACCACUUGCUACAUUAUUUCAGGAGAUGAGUGCUCUAAAAAAAGAAAGAAAAAAAAGAGAGAAGAAAAAAAUACGAGGAAAUAAAAAGGGGCAAGUGCCCGGAACCUCAAAGAAAAAGAAAAAAGUGAGACGAGAGGUAAAAAUGGACAAGUGUCCGACAGUAGAAUUAGGGGUACAAGAUACCCACCUGAGAGGAAGGAAAAAGAAAAUAUAGAGCAUCUCAUUAUCCUCAAAAAGCUUCAGAGUGCAAGAAAGGUAUGUAUCCCCUCAAAAGAGCAAAAGUAGAAUUAGACUUUCACCACUAUUAUCACCAUCAUCACCAUACGCUAUUCAUUCGCCACACAUGCACAUCUUGAUUUGACUUAUUGACUUGUUUCUCUGGAUCCAUGGUUUGACUAUGCAAUAAAUGUCUUGUAAGUAUGUAUUAGUUGUCUCCCACCUAUGAGCUCCAGAUAUCAAACCUUAUUAGAGUAGGGUGAGAGAGAAGGCAAUAUCACUAUGCCUCAUACCACAAAUACUACAUACUUUGAGAGAAGGCAUGUACCAUUACUGCCAUGGUAAGGAUCUAGAAAUACCACAAAAGAGAGAUCUGAGAGAGUCAUAUAAGGAAUCUCUGAGUUUUAUUUGAAAAAAUCUACAAAAAAACCCAAAGCUAUAGCUGACCAAGAAUAAGAGACAUGGCGCUUGACUUGACCAUUCUAUCUUUUAACUGCUCAAGACACAAGUGACGGUUACAAGCCCCAUGG
rnacentral:lncRNA from 1 species